rnacentral:lncRNA from 1 species
UUUUUUUUUUUUUUUGGUUAUGUCCACUAGCACAUAAAUUAUGUAUAUUAAUUUAUCUAAGUAUUUUUUAUAUACUAAUAAUUAUGUACUUCCUUACUUUAUGGUAGAGUAUGAUUAAUGUACCUACAAAAAUGUUAUUUUCUGAAUAAUGUAGCUAGUAUGAAUGAUAUAUUUGCAUAUUAGGUAGUGACUUGGUGUCGCUCUCUCGUACACGAGGAGAGGCGAAACAAUUGGGGGUUUGCACAAAUCCUCCCCUUUUGUCCACUCUCUAUAGUUGGUGUUAGCUCUUGGGUUUGGUUGCAGUUUACGGUGUGGUAUGUCAUCAGUGCCAUCUUCUCGAUGUGGGUGUGGUUUCAUGCGUGCUUUUGAUGAGAGUUGCGAGUGAUGCAAGCUGUGGGUACAAAGGUGGUUGACGUCAAGGGUUUCUUUGGGUCAAUGGAUCUCUUGCGAUCUAGGAUCUCUAGUUUCGAUCCUCAUUUUCUUGGUGUUAGGCAAGGUUUUCAACGGCUAGGACUAUUGGGUGCCAUCUUUUUACCAAUCUCUAUGGGAUCGUUUGGUUAUUCUGUGAUGCGGAUCGCGGAUCCAGGUGGUGAUAGAGUCCUUAAUGACCUUGGGCAAUUAUUCUGGAGACACCUUGUGCUCACGGAUUUUUCUAGUGAUAGUAGAAUUUGUAUCAAAGAUUGUGCUGAUAAGGCGAAGAAGACCAGCCUAGAGGGGUCUCCCAGGGCUCCGUGAUGUGUUCGCUGGAACAUUUUUGGGCUUAGUAUCCGAUAAACGUUCCUACUCUGAUGAUAUUCCAAUGGAAGUUCGUCAUACUAAGAGGUCAAUCUUGGUCUCCCCUGCCUUCUCAUUUACGAGUCUGGAUUAAGAAAUAAGGAGAUGGCAUUUGGUGCUUAUGCUGGCUUUGUUUUGACGCUUACAGUAAGCUAUAUGCAAUGUACAAAGAACUAUGCACUCAUAGGAGGUUUUUGUCAAUAGUCUUACGUUGUGGUGGAUUGUUAUUUGUUGGGCUUGUAGUAGUGCUUUGUUUUGUCUGGUUGGUGGAGGUGCGAUUGGUAGUUCUUCUUUAUUUUGUGUUUUGUUCUUGUGGCAGUUUCGUUUUGGUGUUCUUUUGGUAAUGAAAUUUUGCAUGCUCAACAAUUCUCGCGUUGUACAAAAGACUAUGUUUAAAUAGGAGGCCUUCUUUGACAGAACCUGAGAGGUGGUGGCGUGCUCUUUUGAUGGGUUCCUUUUAGUUUUCACUUUGUUUCUUUGUAUUUUGUUCCUGUGGACUAUUCAUUUUGGUGUGUCAUUGUUUCUAACGCAUUGCAUGCUGAACAAAUCUUGUGCUAUACAAAGGACUAUGUUUACAUAGGAGGCCUUCUUUGACAGAAUCUGAGAGGCCUUGGUGUCCUCUUUCGAUGGGUUGCUAUUAGCUUAUAUUUGGUGGUGGGUUAGAUUUGUUUUAGAAGUGUCUGUUUUGUGAUUCUGGUUUUGUUUGGACUAUUUUGUUAGUCUGUUGCAUGUGUGACACUCUUUUCUCACUCGGACUUAGUUUCCUAAGAAGGUUUUAAUGAGACCACUGUAAACAUGCCGGUUUCUUUUGUACUGUUCCUGGAAUGAAUUUCUCUUCUAAAAAAAAGAUAGUGACUUGGCUAUUAAGUAUAUAUAUAUAUGAAAUGGGGGUUUUUUUGUCGUAAUAUAUAUGAAAGGGUUUUGUUAUGCAUUCUUAUUCACAAAGUGAUAUUUUUUAUAAAUAAAAAAAAUUCUCCAACUCAUGAAAGCCGCCUCCGUUGCUCUUGGCGGGUCUUGUCCAAGUUGAGGUCUAGUAGUGAGCUGACACAUGAGAUUAGGGCUGGCAUUUUAGACCAAAAAUCGAAAAAUCGCAAAUACCGACCUAGGUUUUACCGCAUCUAAACCGACCUAUCAUGAAAAUCGACCGUAUGCAAUUGCAGUUACGGUUCCACAUUUUCAAAUAAUGCGGUAUACCGAAAACGGCAAUAUAAUUUAAUUAAUUAUUAAAAUAAAUACUUAUAAUUAUUUUAUAUUAACUAAUAGAUGCUAGGACUUCAUCAUUUAGAUGAAUCUUUCUCUCCUCUCUUAUCUCUUUUUAUUUUUCUUUUUAUUCUUCCUCUCUCUUUUCCUCUCUUAGGCUCACCUAGGCUUUGAAUGUAUUACUAAUGAAGUGAUCUCCGGCAAUCUCUUGAAGUUCCCUCUAUUGUUUUUUUAAAAAUCUCAGCCUUGAAAAAAUAUCUUUUGAAUAUUUAGUGAAUUAAUAUAAUUUAAUUAGUAAAUAAUUAAACUUUUUCUAGUAGGAACCUGGGUUUCAAUUAGUAUUACAAACUCAUCGGUUGUGUUGAUAAUUUUCUUAGGUUGUUAUUAGUGGGUUAGCCGAGAUAAUCUCUAAUUUGCAUUCAACUAUGUAGGUCGGUUCAUGGUUCGUCUUUUUACCAUAUCGUAAUACGUCAAUCCGGUUCACGAUUUCAUUGAAAAGUUGCGGAAAUCGAACUGCAACCACCCCUAAGUGGUCAAUACGCUGUAACAACUAGGCCAAAGGGGAGACAAACGUUGGUUGGUUAGUUAGGUACGAGUAAGUCUCGUGCAAAGUCCGCGUCCAUGUGGCAUAAUAUUACUGUUUUGUUCAGCAAGGUAAGUCCCACAUGUCAACAUAUUUGAAACAUUAUAGAUGAUAAAUUGAGAGUGGAGGACAAAUGAAAGAAACAAUUUCUUUUCGUUAGAAAAGAUAUGUAGUCAAGGACACAAAUAUUUCUUCCCCUAUAUACAUGACGUUCUCAUCACUAGAACACACAGUACAAGAUGCAAAGUCACCUAACUGUAAAAUGCAAGAAAUCCUUUUGUUUUGUCUUUUUUUCCUUUUUAUAUUCCCCAACCAAAACCAAUGAUGCAAGGAUCCCCAAAAUGGACCUACUAGUCAAUAAUAAUGAAAUUGGGAUUUAUAUUCACUUUACCAAAAACAUAAAAAGAUUGUGAUUUAUUCACCAAAGGAGAUAAUUUUUGGUUUCCCUAUUUCCCGAUCAAACAAGUUACUAGAAAGUUGACACAAGGGGACCCAACGUACCAAACUUUAUCGAGUCCAGAGGCAUGUGCAUUUGUACUAUUCAGUAAUUAAAAUGGUUGGUACAUAUUUUACCAAAUGUGCAUUUCUAAGUGCUACCAGACUCCAUAUUCAGUCCUCCAAACUCACAACAUCAUUAACAAAUGCAGAAGCUCGGAAUCCUACAAUCUUAUCAAGUUAUAAGGACGAAUAUGUUAAAAUACUUUUGUUAGAUGGAACAUACUCAUUCAUAAAAGUUGUUAAAAUCUUUUGUUAGACCAAAGAAUAAUAGACAAUAAUUUUGUUCUUGUUAUAUGAUUAAAAGGUCAUCCACAUUGUGCAUGGGGUCUAGUUAGUGGAAAAUGGUCUUCGAAUUCCCGCAACAUCAUAGUCUUGUGUGUGUAAAAAAUCUUCCUCUACUGUAAUUUAGACUAUCACUUAUACUAAAAAAAAGGUUAAAAAAUAAUAAGAUUGUGGGUGGACACGUGUGCACUCUGUCCUUUCUAAACAUUAUGUGCAAAAAGCAAAUAGAAGGGAUUUGAGUAAGGGUGGAUGGAAAAGUAGAAAUAAACAUAUGCAAUAUGUAUUGUUUAAUAGAUAAAACGAUUAGAGGGAAUGGGAAAAUGGAUGGGUGAUGAAAACCCCCAUACCACAAUUUUUAAUAUUUCUUUUGGUUAUUUGGUGCCUACCAAACAACAAGAGGAUGCCAUUAAAAAGGAGAAAAAAAAACCUCGUAUGGGUCCUCGAUCCUCCUUUAUUUCAAAAUCUCAAUCCUAAAUUUCUAACCCUUUUCAUUAUGGUUAAUUUCUUUUAGGGUUAUUGAUGAAUUAGUUUUUGGUAUGUUGCAAUAUUGAAAACUGUCUAAAGUUUGAAUCAUCUCUUAUAUGUUAUAAAAAUUAAUAUAAUAAUAAAUCAGAGUUAGACAGAAGCGGAUCGAAAGAGGGAUCAUGAGGGGCAAUUGCCUCCACUAAACAAAUUGAGCCUCCAUUGAUCUUCUCAAUUUCUUGUCUAAGACAUGGAAAAAUAACUAAGUGAGGGCAAAAGCUAAGGAAAAGGGUAAAAUAGCUAAGUUGGUUUGCAAAGUGUUCAUUAAAAUGUCUUGAAGAAGCCGGGCAAGUAAACAACUAGUAGUUACGCAGCUUAGGCCUUUCUUCUUUUACAAAAAUAUUUUGAGAGCUUAUUCAUCUUAUUCCGAGACAAGAAAAUUCCUCGAUCCCUCACUGAUUAGAGUAGCCAUCAAAAGGUUGCAUUAAGAUUUAAACACAACUUGGUAAUUCAUGGAACAUCUGAAGCCAAAGUGAAAAACCAACUCUGUUUUGUGAUGUAAAACCAAAGUGAAGAACCAAUAGCGUUGAAACAGAAAAAUAAAGUGAAAAAAAAAUUCAUGGUGAUAAUAUAAUACACAAAUGGCAUUUCUGUACUUACCUUCAUGUCGUGCAUGGACAGUAAACAUUCUCUUCGGGUUCGCUUGAUCUUUUUAGUCAACCAGAAGAAUAUUGAAUACCUGACAUUGACAAGAAAACUGAAGAAGGAAGAGUACAGAACUUUUAUUUUUAUGAAUAGUUCUAUAAUUUGAAGAAGAAAAAAAAAACUUUUGGUUCCUAUCGUAUUUAUUGCACAAACCGUAUAAUCAGUUGUGACAAAAUAGAGUUAGUUCUAUUCUAUACGUUCACAUGUGUAAUGGUUCACGAUUGGUGGUUCAAACUGGUGGGUCGAAUUUUCUAUAAUCAUUGUUUGAUAUACUGAGACUGAACUUAUUAAAUUGAACAAUAAUCUUAUAUAUUGUUUAAGUUUCAUCUAAAGGAGCGAGACUCACAAAUACUAACUUGAGCAGUCCAAGCAAAAUCAUUAUUUACUGUUCCAAAUUUAAAUAUGAAUUAUUACAAUAUUGGAAGAGAUUUCAAAUUCAAGUCUCUCCACUUCUUUAAGCGAAAAAAAAGUUUAUUAUUAAUAAUAGCAUUUGGCUUAUAAUUGGAGUAACUUCCAUAAAUCAUAUUGUCACACAUGGUAAGUUAGAUACCCGCAAUAAUUUCUAGUAAAAAUGAAUAAAGCUUAUGUCUACAAUUUUUUAUUAUUAUUUAUUUAAGAACAGAGAAUAUCAAAAGAAGAAACUGAAUCUUUCCCAUUCUUUAUGCAUAGGGGGAACCAAUUUAGCUGAAAAAAGCAAAGAAAGGAGGCUCCGAGUGAUCCAAAACAGUACCUACUAAUAUGCCCAUUACUACACAGCCUGUAAGAGCUCUUCGAAACCUCUUAAGAAGCCGACAAUUGGAGAUAAUUCCAAGCACCCCAUGUGAGUGAGACUCAUCCCUUUUAGUCUCCUUACAUCUUUCUCAGUUUCACUGCCUUCUUUCUCUGCUUUGUUCUGCUGCUAUCUCAUACAAUCUCUGUGCCUGCUCUUAUUUGUAGCCACUUUGUCGAGAAAAUUCCAGCUUAAGUUUUCUGGGUUCUCUUCAAAAUCAUGUGGGAUUCAGAGACUGAGUCAGUUGGAGGGAGAGAUUACGGCAAUGGAGUUCUUAGUUCAAGCAAGCACAGUGUUAAGACUGAUGGAUUUGAGCUAAAAGGCAGCUCUUGGUAUGUAUGAAAUUAGAUACAAUACAAUUUAAGCUGCUAAUUUGGACUUUGAAGUGUCUUGGUGUACUUAGUUGAGUCUAAAUAAAAUGAAAUUUUACUUCUUCAUCAUGCUUGUGGUGUGUUGGUUAAAGGGUAGAUGAUUUUUUAGCAUGCAAACUAAUUAAAAUAUUUGGUGGGUUUGGUUCACAUAUAGGUAUGUUGCAACUGAUAUCCCAAGUGACCUGCUAGUUCAAGUUGGAGAUGUGAAUUUUCACUUGCACAAGGUACCAUUUCUAAUUCUCCCUCAAAUCUUUAUAGUUUCAUAUCCUUGAGCUUACUAGUCUAAUAAUUUCUUUUGUUCUGUCAUAAGUUAUAACCAGUCUAAUUAUUUGUUUGGUAAGAACUUAUAAGAACGGGAUUUUAUGUUUCUGUCAUUCUGUUUUGGAAGUAUCCCCUGCUGUCAAGGAGUGGAAAGAUCAACAGAGUUAUGUAUGAAUUACGCGACCCGGACUUGAGUAAGAUAGCUUUGGAUGACCUUCCUGGUGGACCGGAGGCGUUCGAGCUAGCUGCGAAAUUCUGCUAUGGAAUUGCUGUUGAUCUAACAGCAGCUAACAUUUCAGGCCUGAGAUGUGCUGCUGAGUACCUUGAAAUGACAGAGGACUUGGAAGAAGGCAAUCUUAUCUUCAAAACGGAGGCGUUUCUCAGCUAUGUGGUUUUAUCCUCAUGGAGAGACUCCAUAGUUGUGUUGAAAAGCUGUGAGAAGCUCUCACCAUGGGCGGAAAAUCUUCAAAUUGUCCGAAGAUGCAGCGAGUCUAUUGCUUGGAAAGCUUGUGCCAAUCCAAAAGGAAUAAGAUGGGCAUACACUGGAAAGCCACUAAAAGUUUCAAGUCCAAGCUGGAAUGACAUGAAGGACUCAAGUCCAAGUAAAAACCAGCAGGUCCCUCCUGAUUGGUGGUUUGAAGAUGUUUCGAUUCUUAGGAUUGAUCACUUUGUCAGGGUUAUUACUGCAAUUAAGGUAAAGGGGAUGAGAUUUGAACUGAUUGGAGCUGCAAUAAUGCAUUAUGCAUCCAAAUGGCUUCCGGGUUUAAUAAAUGAUGGCGCGGCUGCAGCAGAUGAAGGAAGCAACAGCAGCAAUAAUAAUACCAGUAAUAGUGGCAGCAGUUGGAAGGGUGGACUCCAUUUGAUUGUGGCAGGAAAUAAAGAUGAGCCUCCAAGUGUUCAGGCCAAAGAUCAACGGAUGAUCAUUGAGAGCCUCAUCAGUAUAAUUCCACCACAGAAGGAUAGUGUCUCAUGCAGCUUCCUUCUUCGGCUUUUGAGAAUGGCAAACAUGUUGAAAGUAGCACUUGCUUUGGUUACUGAGCUGGAAAAACGCGUGGGAAUGCAGUUCGAACAGGCUACAUUGGCGGAUCUUCUUAUUCCUUCUUACAAUAAAAGUGAAACUAUGUAUGAUGUGGAUCUUGUUCAAAGGCUUCUGGAGCAUUUUCUGGUUCAAGAACAAACAGAUAUUUCAAGUCCAAGCCAACAAUCUUUCCCUGGAAAACACUAUGAUGACAUUCAAAGGGGUACAGGCCCAAAUGCUAAGAUGAGGGUAGCUAGGCUUGUCGAUAGUUAUCUUACCGAGGUAUCCAGAGAUAGAAGCCUCUCCCUAACAAAGUUUCAGGUGCUGGCAGAAGCUUUGCCUGAUUCUGCAAGGAUCUGUGAUGAUGGACUUUAUAGAGCAAUUGAUUCCUAUCUUAAGGUAUUUGGUUCUUCCAAAUUUACUCUGUCAUAGAACUGUGUUUUCUAUCUUUUGGUCUAUUCUGUUACAGAAAUUACAUUUUCUUAUGCAUGAACGUUUUGAAUACCAAUUGAAGGUGGAAAAACAAAGAGAAAUUAAUCACUCACAAGAAGUUUGCAUACAAUGGGAGGUCCUAUGCAGUAAACUGCAUGAAAAAGUUUUAAUUAUAGAUAUUGCUUUUCUCCAGCUUCCAUGCUUGAUUGAUUUUAAAGCAGAAAACUUUGAAAAAAUGUGAAUCUGAAUUUACUGCAGAGGUAUUAAAUACUUAAUUUGUGACCCUUUUUGACAUGGUUAUGUGCUUUUUUUUACCUUUUGUGCAAAUCUGCCCAGCAGAGGUCCAAAAAUACAACAGAAGUUUUCCUGUCUCGAUAAUUCGAACAUGUUAUAACAUAUAAGUGGAGGCUGUAAAGAAAUCAGAACCAUAAUAAUCAUAAAUCAAAUAUUAGAACGAUGGUAGAGUAUUACAUGUUUUUUUUGGGUCAAAGAUGGUAGUCCUCCACUACUAUACUCCCAAAUAAGACUUAAAGGAAGUCCUAGUAUUACUGAUUGCUUGUAAUGCUACAUUUCUGUUAGUGAACAAAAUGUCGAUAUGGGAUCUACAAUGUGUGUAGAAAGUGCUGCAAGUCGGCUUUCGUGACUAUGAACUGAAAAUACAGUUAGACAAUGUCAUUCGCCUCUGGUUUAUAUAAGUUUGAUGAACCAUUCUUGAUUUUUUUUUUCUGUUUUUCCUAUAAAGCAUGACAGUAUUUUUGUUGAUCAAUUGCUUCAUAUUAAGAGUUCCCAUCUCCUUAUCAUUAACAGGCCCAUCCUACACUUUCUGAGCAUGAAAGGAAGAGGCUUUGCCGAGUGAUGGAUUGCCAAAAGUUAUCAAUUGAUGCCUGCAUGCAUGCUGCCCAAAAUGAAAGACUCCCAUUAAGGGUGGUGGUGCAAGUUCUUUUCUCUGAACAAGUUAAAAUAAGCAAUGCAUUAGCCACCAGCUCCCUCAAAGAAGCUGGAGAAUCUCAGUAUCAGCCAAUGGUUUCGAAUCGAAAAACACUACUCGAAGGGACCCCGCAAUCAUUCCAAGAAGGAUGGGCAGCAGCUAAAAAAGACAUCAACACGGUAAAGUUCGAACUGGAGAGUGUCAAAGCCAAGUACCUUGAGCUCCAGAAUGACAUGGACAACUUGCAGAGACAAUUUGAUAAGAUGUCAAAGCAGAAACAGACAUCCGCAUGGAGCAGUGGAUGGAAGAAACUAAGCAAACUCACAAAGACCACGAACUUAGAAAAUCAGCACAACAUUGGGACUGAGCACCAAGCAGCUGUAGAUCAGCAGAAUAGAAAGACACCUAGGAGGUGGAGAAAUUCGAUUUCCUGAAAACAAAAAGACAGAUUGAAGGAAAGAGAUAUACAUCUACAUGUUUGAAUUUGUGUUCCAAAGGUUUUCUUUUAUUAUUUGGGGGCUUCUUCCCUUUUUAUUUCAACAGGAGUUGGGAGACUUCUUUUCUGAACACCUGUAUCACUAAAAUCUGAUUUUUUUAAUUAUGUGAGUGAUUUCUCCAUGUAUGCUCUAGGGAAUUUGUUUUCAAGGGGUAAAGAAGCUAAAUAUGUGGCUUCGACUUAUAUUCCAUUCAAGGUUUCUUGCUCGAUAGAUCAAUCGUUUGAUUAGAAUGAGAUCUCAAAAGCAUCAUCUACUUAUAUUCCAUAUAUGUCACUCGACAAAAAAAGACCAGAACUCUUUCUAACCGCCAACUGGCCCAAGACAGAAAAACAAUACCUAAGCAAAAGAUUAAAAUAAAAAUUCAAUCUUAUGGUGAUUUUCAGUGAAAAAAACUUUCCCCUAGAAAAUCUAAAUGCCCCUAGAAAUAGAAAAAAGCUAAAAAGAAACACAAGAGCAUCAAAUCGGCAUGCCAGUAAGGUAAAUGUGAUAUCAGUAGUUUUUAGUUUUCCAAAUUAAGCACUGCAUACACUGGGGCCUCUUAGUCAUCAUCAUUCACAAUAUAUGUCUAUUCUGCAUUAACUUUUUGAAGGGCUUUCCAUAUGUUUCUAGAAAUUUGAUGCAUGAAAGAAUUGAUCGGCAGCCGAAUUAGAGACCACAAGUGUGAUUCUAUGGGACCACUAAGCUCAAAGAUGGUGUUCGUUACUACAAUAAUCACACCAAUUUGGAAAACAAUAAAACAAUCAUGAUAAGGUUUCCACUUAAAACAGUAUAUCUCAUGUUACCCGAAACUCGCAUUAUUGACAUAAAAUGUCCAGGUUGAAUGUUUCAAAACAAAUGUGUUCCAAUGUCUUAUGUGGACGACAACUUUCCAGGUCAUCUGUUGACACUACGUCAAGCAACAGCACCAAGGAUAGGGCUUGAAAAAAAUUAAAUGGAACUCUACACUUGAAAUUUUUUCCAAAAAAUGUCUAUGUACUUUUAAGCCCUUUAGGGGCCGUUCGGUUAGGUUUUUACGGCCUUAUUAUCAUUUUAUGUUUUUAGUUGUUCCAAAAAAUUCUUUUGGUACAUUGUUUUCCAAAACUGAAGAAUUCGUUUUUUGAAAACAAAUUUAAACCUAUGUACAAAAGGUGAAAACGGCAAAUUGUCGUUUUCAUUAUUUUCUGAAAUCUUAUUUUGUCCAAACUAAAACCAUUCAUCUGUCACCUAUUUCCACUUCAUCUCUCUAUCUCCUCACAGCUGAGAAUCUCACAACCAUGAAUUGCGUCCAUCUCCCCUGACCCAAAAAAAAACAACCAACUCUAAGCAAAACAAGCACUCUUCUUCUUCUUCUUCUUCUUCAAGAAAGUAAUCAAGACACCCAAGUUGUCAUCAUCCAUUGGUGGUGGUGGCGGGGUGAAGAGAGGGAAGGAAGGACAACCACAUGGGAGGGAUGGGUUGCGAGAAAGUACGGGUCAGAAGAAGGGUGGUGGGAAGAGAUCUUUUGGGAUUCUAAUUGUGGGUGGUAUGAGAGGAUUAUCUCUUGGGAUGGAGAGGUACAAUAAGUGGAAUUAAGAUUGGGUGGUAUUUUUUCAGAUAUUUUUUACAAGUGUUUGUACCAUAAUUAACCGAGCACAGUCGGUACUAGGGGACUUGUCCAUAGACAAGCACACUAACUGCCGAAGGAAAAACACUCUCACGUUAAUCCCUAAAACUCUGAUGACAUCGUCAUGAUCCCAACCUGCCGAAGAGAUACCUCCCUCCGAAGUGGCAAUUUGCCUAUCGAAGGUGGUUGCCAAAGCUCCCAGCUACAUAACCUAAAGCCUUGGACACGUGUCAUCACUGCGGUGAUUUGCACAAAGUUCCACAUCGAAACUUUGUGCAAACUCCCAUUUUCUCUUCUCUAUAAAAGAAGAACAGUGCUCAAGUAAAAGGGGAACUACUUUUCACCUUUACUAUUACUCUGUCAAAAUUACUGUAUAUCCCAUACUUGCUAACUUAAGCAUCGGAGAGCUUUCGGCAUGUGCCACACCAGUACCCGAAGCUUGACGAUUGCUUCUUCCAUCUUUCUUUUGCAGGAUCGCUUUGUGGCCGAAGACCCUUCAUUGCCGAAGGUCCACAACCCUCUUCAUCUUGUUGAAGACUCCACACUUCUUUUAUCUAAGUUAGCACCCGAUUUCGGGCAUCAAUAGUUUGACGUCGUCUGUGGGAAUUUGACUUUUACAUCCCACAUCUCUACUAGUCAUGCUGAGCCUAUCAAACUCCAUCGUCUUUUCAGUCCAUCACACUCCAAAAUUCAAAGCGAAGCUAGCCUUGGCACUCAGCAUCACAUCCCCAUGUGAAGUCUUCCAAAAGGAACCCUCAAUCGACACGCAUCUUCAGGCUAAAGUAGAGUGACUUCGUGCCUAUGUUUCCAAAAUAACGGAGAACUACGACCACCUCCGUACUAAAAAUGUCAAGUUGGAGCAUGACUGCCGAACCUUGAAGCGUAACUGGGAGAAUACUCACCACCAAUUCGUCCAGCACGACGCCAACCACAGUAUAGAGGGCACCCUGUCGAACCAGCUGGUCGUCUCAUUCCAUAGUGCUCCAACGCAGCCUACCUGACAAGGGCAAAGACAUCCUUUAUUCUAAAGCAACCAAGUCACGGCCUCUCGAAAUUUCCCCUCCAAGGGACCAACCUCAUACCCCAAGCAAGAUAUACAAGGACUGUAUGGAUUGUAUCUCGGAGCUUUGGCUAGAGCCCAUUCAGAUUCUUGUAGAUCUCAACGACCCACGAGUAUGCUCAGUUGGCAAGCCAUUCUUGAAAGUGGAGGAUGUGAUCUGAUCAUUACAUCCCACAAUGUUGGACUUUUUGGCUUUGAACCUCUUAAUGUAGUCUCUGAGGGACUCAUCGUGCUUUUUCUUCAAGUUGAAAAGAUGGUCCGCCUACUUCUUAAUCAUCCGGUAUGAGGUGUACUCAUUUGUGAGGAUGAGAGCUAGCUCAUUGAAGCUGUUGAUCGACCUUGGUGGCAAAGUACAGAACCAGUCAUGGGCUGCUCUUCGCAAGGUCAUAGAAAAUACUUUGCACAUCGGCGCAUCUUCAACCUUGAAGAGAAUCAUAGAACUCCUAAAGUGCUUGAGAUGGCUCUCAGGAUUGCAAUCCUCGUUGAAUGGUGUGAAGGUAGGAGUCGAGAACCGCUUCGAUGGAGCUCACUUGGUCAACCUUCUUGCUCAGGGCAUCUUCCAAAUCUCCUCCGACCUUUAAGUCUUGAAGCCGAUCAUUCACGAGCUUCUUGACGUCCUCUACUCGCAAUGCUUGCAGUUCAUGUCGGGGUCGUCUAUGGCGUUGACGUCGUUAGCUAACUUCUUUUAUGGCUAUAAGGAGUUGCUUUGCUCUUCUGCCUUGCUGGUAUGGGGUAUUAGUUGAUUAAGCUUGUGAAAGAUUUUCUGCGACGCAUAGCUGAGAGCUUGCUCUUCUGGUAUAGGCCGGUGGGCAUCCUCCUUCACACUCUUCAUAAAAAGGGUUGAGAGGUUGAUCUCCCUGUGAGUCUAGCCUCAAAUGAACACUUCUUUGUGGACCCAAGCGGGAAAAAAAUCAAAAUGUGCACCCAGCCUUGUGUGCACAUUAGUUUGUGGACCUACUCUCGAAUGGAUACUCGUCCUGCUCUGGCUCGCAGAUGCUCAGGAUAUGUCAGCAUGCAUCACGUUCGUGUCUUCCUCCUCACCUGCUAGUUCCCGCUUGACUUGUCUGGGACCUCUCGUACGGUGAAAAUCCUUGCAAUAGAUAAACUUCAACAAUACAAUCAAAUACAUCAACAUGACAUCUAAAUCACCAAUCCUAACAAGGCAACAAACUAAGAUGCUAGAAACAAAACUAAAGCGGACAAAAGUCGCACUAAAACUACUAGCUCAUACCACCACAAUUAACCAUAAUCCCAAAUAAAACCCACAAACCCGACAUAGUCGAAACCCUAAAGCAACCUAGGAGCCACCACCUCCUCAAGAAGUGGCUUAGCGGCCACACACAUUGCCUCAUAAAAUCUUGAAGUGAGAACAAAAUACGUAAUAGAUAUGGGAAAAACAUGGUUUCCAAUAAUCUACUUGCACAUAAGAAUGAACAAAUAGACCAAAACAACAUUCCUGACCAAGAAAAAUUAGGUGAUUUGCAACAUACACAAUCAAAUAUGAUGUAUAACCAAAUUUAGAUAACAUAAGCAAUGUUAGAGAGCUUGUUAUAGGAGAAAGAUUGGAUUGAGAACAUAAUCCAAAAGAGGUAAUGGGGAACUUCAAUAUGAGCAUGACUUAGAAGAAAUCACCACAAAGGGAGUUUUAUAAACGCUCUAGUCGAUUUAUACACUAACUCAAAGAAAAAGGCAAGAAGAGAGGAUGGGGAUAAGGGAUGGUGACACCCCCCCCUCCAAAUGGAGUUUUUAUUUUGAAACUCAAAGAGGAGAGAUAUUUCCAUUGAUCCCUUGAAAUAGUGCAAUAUGACUGAUUAAACUUUAUUGUGGAUAAUCGUUUAUUAGUUUACUUCAUGACUCUAUACAAAGUUCAAUUAACUGGAUGUACCUAUCACGUCCUAAAAUGGACAUAACAACCCCACGCCUAUUAAAAACACAAGGUCACAGUGUCAAAACCUAACAUCAUAAGCCUCAUCUUUCAUUAGAACUUGUUAACCCAAAAAAGACUUACAGCCUACUCGACAAUAGGCAGUAAUCUAGUGAAACAAAAAAGUCACCUGUUGUAUGUGAUUGCAGCCAUGCAAAUAGGUAGCCAAUGGCCAAACGUACAACUAAUUUUGAUGAUGCUCUGAAUAUGGACUUCUUCAAAUGGUCCUAGCCAAAGAAAGGAGCAAACAUAGCCUAAUUCCUAGAGAAAGAGUUCAAAAAGCUCAAAGAAGAUAGAAAGGAAUUUUGCUUCAAAGGAUCUACGAACCUAGACUUGGCUAACUUAGAAGAACCAUAAUUGUAUAGUAUGCUUAAUAUUGUUUAUGUUUUGUAAUUUUUCUUCAUAGAAAAAAUAAAUUAGAAAAGAAGGAUCAUUUCUCACAGCAAAAAGAUCAUGUGAAACUAAAACCAACUUGAGUUUGUAUGUGCCAAAAGGAUUUGUUGGCUUUUCGUGAACAUUGUAAUGCCCUAAGUUUCUAGCAAGCUAUACUUUGGUUGCUAUAAGUUGCUUGUUGGUCAAGAAAGAACAUAUUAGGCCCUAAAUUGGGCUCAAUUAUUGAUUUUUUCUCAAGUGCUUUAGGCAUGCUACUGCUAGUGUUUUCUCUCCUAGUAGAAAGAUGUAAAGUAUGGUGAAGUGUUGUAGUGAAUGUAUUGUGCUAUUUUAAUCUUAACCUUUAACCAAAGCCAUUGUGCUCCAAGUGGGGAAUCUAGCUUGGAUAGGUUCUUUUCUAUACCUCAACUAAGAGGACUUCAAUAUUUCACUUGUGAUGGAAUAAAACUCAAAAGAAAUAAUGACUUUAAACUGCUAUCGGACAAAAAGUAUAAUACAGACUCAAAGAAAAAAGUGUCUGAUGGAUGUUGUGCAAUUACAAGAGAGUAAACACAAGUCCAAAUAGACUUAAAUAAAUUCAAAUGAAAGGAAUACAAGAUCUGACAAGGCUGGUACAAACCCUAUAUAUCGGGCAUAAACAACUCUUCUCAAACACGACUUCAAUCUGCUUGAGACAGUGCAAUGUGUCUGAUGAGAAGCUGUCAACAAUAUCUGCAGUACAAAGAGGUUGUUGCAUGUAUGAAUUUGAUUUUAAAGAAGUUGGAAUUGGUAACCAACUUAUAAAAUCAUACCGAGCACAAAUGUUGGUAGGUCAUUAAGAUUACAAACAAUACCAAUGUGAUUCCGAUAAGAAGUUUCUAAUUGGGAAUUAAAUUGAGUAUUUGUUUGGGAGAAGAAUAGAAUUUCAAUCAAGAGUUGUCAACUGGGAACUCAAAGAGUGGAAGAGGAUUUGGAUUCAAGUUUUGGCUCUGGUAUGUUGCGAGACACUUUGACAAGGUGUUUGAAUAUGGUUCAAAUUGAUUGUUUGUUCUUGAGAUUGGUUGUCCUUGUAAUCUUGGUUUCUGCUUCUAUUUAUAGGCUCCUUGAUUUAUGAAAUUACACGAUCUCUGGAAGUGUACUAAACUGUUGUCAACUCCUUUUCGGAUGAAUUUGGCAAACUCCGAUUUGCUUUUGGCACACAUGGUUAGUUGUUCAACUACUCCAAGCAUGGCUUAGCUUCAACAAGUUGGUGCUAAUGAGUCUCACGGAUCAAAUCGCAUUUAAUUUGGUUGCUUAAUUUCUCCUUCACCACCAAACUCUUUCUCAACUGUCGAAAUCAGUUUCGAAAUCAGCUUUGGGUGUGAAGCCCAUUUGAAUAGUCUUAACUGUUGUGUGUGCCUAUACCUUAUGCAUGCUCACGGAUUCCGAGGGGGAAUCCAAAGCGAGUCUUGUCAACUUGGUAUCAAAGCAUUAAGUUCAAUUUCCUGUGGACUCUGCACCUCGUGUGCAUCCUUAGUAUUGUUAAGUUUAGUGUGUUCAGUUCUAAAAUGAUGCCUCUUCAAUGUGGAUUUCAGGUACAUUACGUAAGUUCAUCUCCUUUGACACGUGGCGAACUUUAACUUUUGGGUUGUUAAAGUUGUUUGAGUUAACUGUGAGUUUUGGCUAACUCAAAUUAAGGAGUAACGGUUUUUGGGGUAAAACGAUUUUGUUUAUUGUGCUAAUGAGACCUGAAGGUUUCUCUUGUGGUCUCGAAAUGGUUUUACCAAAGGUCUACUGGGCUUGUUAUUGUGAGCCCGGAGUUAAUCUUGUAGGAAAGUUUGCUAUAAACUUUCAAGAAAAAUGUUCGGUUGUUUUGAAGUAAACUUGUAUAGGAAGUUGUUAUGAGUGUAACCACAGGAGGGUAGUGGAGAUUGGUAACCAGAUGAUGACAAGUAUAUCACUGUUAGCAAGGGAACCGUUUGGGUGACAUCUACAGUGUAUUGGAACAAAUUUCCAUAUGACUGAGUACAGAUUGGAGUGCACGUGUUUAGUUGGAAGGAAGUAAGACUAUUGAGCCUCUCAACUAAGUCUUGAGAGUUUGGUGGUGAAAGUAUCACUAGUGGAAGCUGAGGAAUGAGGAUACUUCUGAGAUCGUUCUUAUUCAAGUUAGGAAUAACGUGGUGGUAGCAGGUGUUGUUGGUAUCGUGAUUCACUCAAGAAUUUGAGAGGAUUAUGAUAGAGAAAUAGUUUGUAUAGGGGUCGGUUUCAGUUAGUUGUCUGGGUGGCAUUAGACUAAUGCACAAAUGUUUAGGUUCAUUACACUAGGGUGUGUGAAUCCAAUGGUUGUGUGUUGAGGACCGAGAAAGUUACUAUAUGUUGAGAACCAGUAUGACUAUUUCCUCAGUGUUGACCAUUUCCUCAGGUGGAACUGGUUGUGUGUUAGCAUGGGGAAUCUUGAGACUUAUGUUUCGAGAUGGUCAAUAACCUAGGUCUAGGGAAAUUCAACUGAUGAUUGGAGUUGGCGGCAGUGUUCUUUGCUGAAGAGUUGAAAAUAUUACCUAAUCGGUUAAGAGUUUGGGGUGUUACACUUGUGUAGCAUCUAGGGAAAAAUAAUGUGGUUGUGGAUAUCUCAAGUCCGAGAGUCUAGUGAGUCUUGGAAUGAUGAUGGUGCAAGAAAAGGAAGGUGUCGGAGAUUGCAUCCAGUUUGUGCUGCCUUUACCUUGCUCAUGCUUGAAUUCCAAGGGAAAAUCUGGAGCAAGUCCUGUCAGGUCUUCCCUGGGAUUCGACCUUAAUGGGUCUAGCAUGAAGGAUAAAAAAGGGGUAUGAGGACGGGUUCAGGGAAUUUUUCGGGUAUGGUGUUUGGGGAAUGGCAGGGUUGGUUUUCUAAUUCCCGACACCCUCCCCAUUUAGAAUAUAUACAUAUAUGUAAUUUAUUUUAUCAUAUAAUUAUAUAAUUACAGCAUAUCUAAUGGGAAUGAUCUGGCCUCAAAUUAAAAAAACACACUUUCUAAUGCAUGUGUUUGACCCAGUCCAAUUUGACCUAUGGCAAGAUAAGGCGUUGGUUUUGCCCCAUUACUGGUAUGAGCAAGAGUGGACCCCACGAUCAAGUUUUCAAAAAACAAAAGGGCGCAACUUUGCUGACUUUUCCAAUUACAAUGGCCAUUGACAAGCUGCCACAUGGCGCCCUCAAUGGCAAUGGCCUAACGGCUAUAGUUGUUGGGCUUUUUUGUUUUUUUGUUUUUUUUUUUUUCGAGUUCCUAACUUGCUAACUUUUUCUUCUUCUUUUUUUCUUUUGUUCAUCACCUUUUCACCUAAAACAUCUCUCAAUUACUCCAAACAUUUCUACUUGUUUGUCUUUUUUCAUUUUGCUCAAAAUUGUUGUUCCAAAGUAUGGCUCAAAAAUAAAUUUUCGUGUUACUUUUCUUAUGCUUUGAUUUUUAUCACAAAUAAAAUAAUAAUAAACUAAAAUAACAAGUUUUGAGUUUAGCCCCUAGCGCACACCACCACUAGAACCACAAAAAAUUUGAGAGGCUAGAUUUUGUGAAUAGUUUCAUUUUGAGGGGCUACAACAACAUCUAGCCCCUUAUUCCUUACCCUUGCAUGUAUGAUGGUGGUGCUACUUCUAUACUGAUGAUCAUGUGUUGAACAUGUAGUUAUGAUAUGUAUUAAUUUUUUAACUAGUCUAGAUUUUUUAGUUAAUAAAAAUGAAAUUGAUACAUAUUUUGUGCUAAUAAUAUUUUUUUUUUCUCAUUUGACAAAGUAACUUUUUAUGUUUACUUUUUCAUAAUGGGGUAGGUCGGGGAACCCGUUCCGCAAUAAAGGCGGGAAUGGAGAAUCCCCGACUUAAAAAUUGCGGGUAUGAAUGCUGAGAUAGGGAAAAAAUAUUUGAAAUGGGGAUAGAAAUAGCAUAACCACCCCUGAUUCGGCCCAUUGUCAUCCCUAGCAAUAUUAUGUUAAUAUCCAAGUUUCAACCAAGUCUUUUACAGUUAAUUAGCAUUGACUGUUAAGUAACUUCCAAUUUACAUAAAAUCAACUGGAGAUUGGAAUAAUUAUCCACAUUUUGUAUUUAAAACCAUUUAGUUUUGGUUGAAUAACAUUAAUUGGUUUUUUUAACAUUCCAUCGGACACAUUCUGUCUUAUAGGUCUUGGUCUUCUUGGGUUGACCACGGGCCGGUCAACAUUAGUACUCAAAAAUGCCCCUAUACGAUGAGCGCUGGGCCUUAGAGCAUUUUCACCAGUUGCCCCUUGCCAUGGCAAGAUGAGCCUUAAGGCAGCCACUAUUCAUGUGAAUAGUGGCUGCCCUAGCUCCCUCCAGCAAAAUGUAUUUCCAGCAGUUGGGGCUUGCCAUGGCCAAUACUAUUCAUUUUUUUAUUUUUUUUCACAACUUUGUUUACUUAAACAAUUAAUUUGGAUAAUAUUUUCGGAUAAGAUUUUUGGGUUCCUACGUGUCAAUACUAUUCAUAUCGGAUAAGAUUUUCGGUUUCAAAUUUCAGAUAAAUUUCAGAUAAAUUUCAAAACAAAAAAUACAAUGAAAUCAAAGGCAAGUAAACUAAGACAUGAAAGGCAAACAAACUAUUUUAAUGGUUUCCAUCAUUUAACCAAUCCGUGUUACUAGGUCCAUCGUCACGAAAAAGUCUUCGUCUCAUAACAUCCCUUCGUUCUAGCUUCCAAAAUUGUUUUGUUUCAAGGGACAUAUGGGUUGUAUCCAUGGCCAUGGUUUCCCGAUCUUUUUUUUCAAUGUUUUGUUCGCGUACAUACUCCCUUUCUUUGCGUACAUACUCCCUUUCUUUUGCAUAUUCUACUUGAAUAGCCAUAUCGUGCUCUUGUUGUUUCAAGUCCAUUUCAAUUCUCAUAGCUUGGUGCUUUGAAAGUUCCUCCAAAAAUUUAGAUGCAUUCUUGCUAGAAUUACUCCCUCUAUUCGCCUUCGCCGCCUUUCUCCCAAUAGGCCUUGGCUCCUUUUUAAUGGGUGAGUCUUGACUCAUUGGGGAAUUCAUAGGUGAAUCCGAUGCCGGCGUCUCAUGAAGUGGAGUCUCGUUCAAGACUACCGUCAGACCGGUUGGAAUAAUUUGGAAUCUCUUACAAGUCUUCACCACCUCCCAACAAUGGGUAUGGUUGAAAUUUUUUUUCCCUUGCCCCGUAGCACCAAACCACAUUUGAGCUUGCAUAAUCUAUAAAAAAAAAUUAAAUGGAAAUGCAAGAAACUUUAAAAAAUAUUGGCAAUGCAACAUGUAAAAAAAAAACUAAUGCAAAUUCAAUAAAUUUUAAAAAAAUGCAACAUGUAUAAAAAAUUAAAAAAACUAGAGACAUAUUAACAAAAUAUAUAAAUUGCAAGAAACAUUUAAAUAAAAAUUAAUAUGACAUAGAAAUUAAUAGAAGGAAAAUGACAAAUAAUUUACCUCACUGCUAAGGUUUUCUCCGCUUCGACGCUUGUCCAUCGCUUUUGCUAAGGCAUUUCUCCAUUUCGCCAACUCUUUAUUAAAAACUUUCCACCUACUGGAUAAUGUCAUUUCUGUACGUGUAGAACCAAUUGCCCUUUCACAAAAUGCUUGAUGAAUUUUUUUCCACAUAUGAGAAAAUUUCAUCUCAUUGCCCGUUACGGGACAAUGACUAACUUGGACCCAAGCCUCACACAAGCUAACAUCUUCCAUCAUGCUCCAUGCUCCUCCAUUUUUAUUAGAAGAACCCAUAAUAUGAUAGAAAAAAAAUACAACUUCAAAGUGAAAAAAUAUUGAAUAGAAAGUGAAUAAAUUUUGAGGAGAAAGUGAACAAUAGUAGAAGGAGAAGAAAAUAUAUGAGGAUUUGGUGUUAAAAGUGAAGAGUAUUGGUUGGUAUUUAUACACAAAAAAUUCAGUAAUUUUUGUAUAUUUUUUAUAAAAAAUUUGAUUUUUUUUCAAUUUUUUAUUGCAGAAAAAUUGGCUGCCGUUGGAUUGAAGAAAAAAUUCGAAUCAGAGCUACUAGAGGCUGCCACGUGUCAAGUAGCCGUUGGCUGCUACUGUUGCGGUGAAUUCGAAUUUUUUUUAACGUUGGCGCGUACAAUGCACGCGCCAACGGUAAAAAAAAUUCGAAUUCGGGAGGGCUGACGCCAGCCUGGCGUCAGCAAUGACAUCAUCGCCCUCGAGCCUGAGCUCGGACCGAAAUCGCCUUCGGGCCUGUCCUGUCUGGUGGACCCCACGCUCGUUCGGGCUGCUUCUUCACUGCUGGACCUCCGUUUUUUGCCCAACCCCCCCCCCCCCCCCCCCCCUCAGCCCGAGUCCAAACCAUCUGCUGGACUUGCUCUUAGAUGCAGUCGAUUCUGUUUGGUCAAUGUUUUGACCAUUUAAAAUAGGUCUGGUUUGUUAGGCCUUAGUUACUUAAACCAUAUAAUUGGUCCAAAUACCUACGAAAUUGGGCCAUUAAAAUUUAUUUCAUUUAGAAAACCAAUUUUAGGCAAUGAAGAUAACCGUAGAAUAUUUUUUCUCAAAUCCUUAUUGCUUGGGGAGUCGUUAUAUAGUACCUUCACUUAAAUUUAAUGAAAUGAUCAUGUAACUAAUAUGAAGGUUCACAUAAAGGUUCCAUAUAUGAUACUCUCGCUAUAGAAUUUUGCAUUACCUGGGAACCUCCCAACUUGGGCUAUUUCAAGCUCAAUGUUGAUGGUUCCUGUAAAGUGUGAUUCUGAUACCAUUGAAGCUGUAGGAGUAAUUCGUGAUGACAGAGGGGAUUAGACUGAUGGCUUUGUGGCUAGUUUCUUUUCUUUGCUUUUCUUUUUUUGUCGAAAUCCAAGAAGUUUUUUGGGUGGAGGCUUGUUGUGGAACAAGGUAUUAAGAACCUGAUAGUCAAAAUGGACUCUGCUACUGCAAUUAUGCUACUUUGGAAGCCUGCGUAACAAGCUUUCCGUCCGCCGGCUACCUUGUUGUCCAGCUGGGAUGAAUUUCUAGGCCACGUUUGGUGGGCUGGCUUGAACUGAUUAGAAUAGGCUUUGAUGCAUUGGAUUGGACUGACUUGGACUGACUAGGCUUUGAAUUCAAUACUAUUCAUUUUUGCACCAAACAACAUACUGAAAUUAUUUUUAUUUUUAUUUUUAAUAAAUUAAAAUUUUAUUUUAUUAACAAUAAUCAUAUGCAAAAUUCCAACUUUUUGCCUCAGUGUCUUUCUUGUUUUUUUACCUUUCACUUUCUUCCUCUGUUUUCGGUUUUUUUUUUUCUACUCGAAAUUUCAGUAUCUUUCUUUAUCAUAUAAAAUUCAUAUUUUUUACCAGAAAAAGAAAAAGAGUCAUUCUUUUUCCAUCAUAAUAAAAUAUGUCUUUGUUAUUAUACAAUAUUUAUAAAAAAGAUAAUUACAAGAGAGAAAAGAUUGUAGACUUAAAACAAUAUUAAAAAUAAUAAAAUAAAAUAAAAUAAAAAGAAUGAUGCAAAUUCUGGAAGGGAAACAACAUCUGAAAGAUCUUCAAUGCAAAGUGAAAAAAAAAUAGAAAAAAAAAGGUACUCAACAUCUAACCCAAAUCUUCCAGAUCUUCAAUUCUAGAAGGGAAACAGAGAUGAAUGAUUUUUUAUUUUUAUUUUUAUUUUAAAGAUAUCAAAAGAAAUCAAACCCACAAAACCACACUAAACAUCUAACCCAGAAAAAUUGGCUAAGAAUCAUCAUACAUCUCAAUAUUUAGCAAUAAAAUCGAAAAAUAAAUUGAAAGAAAGCCAAGUAAUCCAGAACAGAGAAAUCAGUUAUUAAAAAAAACAAGAGAGAAGAGAUGAGAGAAGAAGAGAGACGAAAGACAAGAGAGGAGAAAGGAGACCACGCAAAGCAGGUUUAAGGGAGCAAUGCGAAGCAUACUAAGGGAGACGCGAGAGAAGAGAAGACGAAAGCUCAUUUCCAGGUAGUCUUCGAAACCCAUGUCUCAGUGUGGGUUUUCAAAUCCAGCGUAUGCUUGAUUGAUAUCCAUAAUUUUUUUUGAGUCAUAACCACCAGUCGUGGUCCAUUUAAGCCCAUCAAACAGCAGACUGAACCCAUAUUCAUUUUAAUUAAAUUUGACCAGUCCAAUCCAGUCCAAUCCAGCCCACCAAACACGACCCUAAAGCAUUUUGAUCAUUGUUGGGGAUUGCUUGGCCAAGGAGAGUUACAAUUUUGACUUGGGCCCUCUUGUGUUUGCUGAUGAGUCAUUCUACGGUAAGAGUGUCAUAUAUGAACUAUAAAUAUAAACCACAUCAAUCACGUGAUUCAUCUAAAUAGUAACUUCACUUAAAUUUAAUGUAAUGAUCAUGUGGCUAAUAUGAAGGUCCAUAUAUGGCACUCUCACUGUAAAAUUUCGCAAAUGAUGAUAUGUUACAAGUUCAUAGAACUCUUAUUAUUUCUACUGUUUAGUUUUUGUGUUUGGGGUUGAUCCCCCAUUUCAUCCAAAAAAAAGUAGAAAUAAAAAAUACACAAUUGGCCCCCACAUUAUAAAAAUCACAAGAUAACUCAAAAAACAAAGGAAUCCCAGUACAUUAUUCUCAUCUCUCAACAAAUACACAUACAAGCAUACAUAAAAAGACACAACCAAACCACAAUACAGCUAAGGUGUGCAGUACGUACCACCACCACCACCACCAUCAUAUCCCUCCACACCCCAAUUAUUUAUACUCACACACAAUACUGACAAACUCAGAAAAAGCACACCACACAGCAGAAGCAAAUCUCCACAUUCAAACUAGAGAUCUCCCUAACCACGAGCCCAUACAUUUCACUGUACAACAACAACAAUUACUUUCCACACCCACAUGUAAAACAAUCUUACCUUUUGCUGCUGCUGCAUUAUUUGAUCAGAAGAAAGGGCCCCACCUCAACUCAGCACCAAGCAAUAUACUCCCCCACACUAGAAACUUUCUCACCUUUAGAACUUAUACCAAUAUGAUGGGACUGAGAGAGGUAAAAGACAGAGAGAAAGCAAAGCACAAGAGAAUAAAAUCAACAAGAAAAGAAGGGGUAAAGGUGGGGCCCGAUAUACCUAACGCGCAUGCACUAAAUCCACAGGGGUCUUCAUUUUACAGCACAGCCCACCACUAAAAUCUCCCAUGCGUUUAAGUCUUUGGUGACUUUCCUUAAUCUUUAACACCCAAAAAGCUAAAAGAUAAUGAUUUCUGGUCAACAAACAUAACCCUUCUUUGAUCAUCUCCGGCGUGCAAUAUCAUCCCAAUGCUUUGCUUCCUUUAUUGGCCCAUUAUAUACACUGCUAUUUAUAAAGAGAAACCAAAAGGCAGAGAAAGGGCCCCACAAAACCAAAGCUACCUUGCUGAUUUCAAAUUCACCAAUCAUUCAAGCCUGGAAUUCUGGGGGCCUUACCACCUUUUCCCUUAGCAUGGACGGAACGCAGCUUCUUCAUGGAAGCUCACUCCCAGAGUUUCGGCUGCAAGCUUCAUAGACUUCAAGUAUUCUAUAGCUUUGUCUAUGAUGAACACUGAAUCCUUGCCCUUAGCACCAGGAAUCACACUCUCAAGAACUCUAAUUGUCUCACGAAUUGUUUCUUUUUUGGACUUCAUCUUACCCACAGUAGAAUGUAUUUCCUCUCCUUGGAUCUGGCCAAGUCCGUAGCUCGAUUCCAUAUUGUUCCCGUGCCCGUGAGAUCCAUACGGCUGUAUCGAAUUAAUAACAGUCUCCAUUGGUGAUAAUUGCCUGUAACCACCAUUGAGCAAUUUAUGCCUUUUGUUUGAAGCAUCACAACUGAUGACCUUCUCUGUUAAUUCCUCCACAUGUUCUUUCUUUCCAUAACUCACUUGAAGAUCUAUUGGAGAAUGACCCGUGCUUUUUACUUCAUCAUCCUCACCACAAUCACUGUCAUUAUCGUCUCCGUCAUCAUCAUUAUUAUCUUCAUCAUCAUAAUCAUCAGAGUAAAGCAAUGCAUUGAUUUCUUCUGUGUCUUCAUGCAUCUCACUCUCUUCAAUUAUGUGAUUCUCACCGAUCUCUUCAUGCAAGAGGUACUCGGUUGAACCAAUUUGGUCCAUGCUGGUUGUUAGUCCUGCUUCAUGUGAACCAUAACCAUAAACGAACCUUUUACUGGCAAAGGGUGGAUCCUGGCUAGGAGGGCAAUCAGAAUUAUAUAUUAGCUUUGUUUCAUUCCCAGACUGAUCAAAAAUGAAGAAUCCCUUCUGGGAAGACCCUGGAUUUGCAUUUGGCACAGCCAUGCGACCACCAAAUCCAUAAGAAAAUGCUGACUGCUUUUCAUUAAGAUAAGAAUUUGGUGGAGGAAAUAAGGUCUGAAAAUAUGGAGGUAAAUGUUGAAGCACCCCAUGACCUUCAUUUGUUUGUUUCGCCAUAACACCCUGAACACCGGAAACUGUGGACCCUGGCAAUGCCAUAUGUCCAGAAAAUGGGCAAAUGCCCUGAUUUGUAGAUGAUGGUAAACAUUCCUGUUGCCUGGGCUCAAGCAACAUGCUCAUAUGAUUCAAAUUAGGCAGUUGCCAAGCAGAAUUCUGCUCUGGGAAAAGCCAAGAGUUGUUGUUUGCCUUAACCAUCCAACCAAAAAGAUCACCUAUACAUAAGAGAACAAAGAUGAUCACUCAAGCAUGACCUAUGAUUAUCAUAGCUACAUUGACAAGCAAGACAUUACUAUACCUGACAGGAGAUAGAUGGUGCUUUGACCUGUAAUGUUCAAUUACUUUCUGGGUCGUUUCAAGAAUGGAAAACAAAAAGGAACAGAAUACUACAACUUGCGGCUUGGUAAAAUGACUGAAAACCUGAAUAAAUCUACGUAACAGGCUUAAGCAGAUGUCGAAAGUACUCAGCCUGCAGAAUAGCAGUAACAAAAACACAUUAUUAACUACGCUUCUUACAGAACUCUAAGGAAAUAAGUGUAAAUCAUUUCGUAACAAGCAACAAGUAUAAUUCUUACUCUCAUGAAAGCAUAGUUGAGAGAUUAAAGAAAAUAGGCCAGCAAUUGAUCAUGUAAACAGUUGAAAAGAAUUCACAUAUUGAAAGAAAAUGAAAGUUGGUCAGUGUAUGCAACACUAACCUGGCAAUCCUGUAAAGGUUGAAAGCAUGCAAUCACUCUAACUAUUAUUGUUGGUCUUCCUGCGAUCCCAUUUUCAUGUUUCAAUGCCCGAAAUCUUGUUUGGCUUGCUCCUUGGCACACCAUAACUACACUUGAACCUUGAUGGAACUACUCAAUCUAAAAGAAUACUGGAAGGAAGACUAAACAGAUACCCGAUUUGCAGAAUGUGCACACAACUAAGCCAGAUAUUAAAAUCAGCAAUGGAGGAAUCUACUUUACUAGAGAGUAAGAAACAAAUUGAAUAACUGGUGAUAGAGAAGAAUAAUAAAGGCCAAGCUAGAUAUGAUGAUCAACAACUGAUGAGAGCUACACUGCGAGGAUAAUAUAAAAGAAACUAAAAGGGGUUUGAACUUUGAGACAAACAAGGUUUUGCUUUCUAGCUUCAGAUGAUCCUAUAAAUAUCAAGAGAAGUGAGAAAAAACUUAUUUGAUCCCAUGGAAAGUUGAAUGAAAAUUGACAAAAGGAUGAAGAACUUAAAGUUCAAUGAAUGCAGAACAAUUUACAGAAUAACCCUGCAAUAUAAGUUCAAGUGCACAACUUUCCGAUACACGUCGACUGACAGACUCAACCAAGGCAUAUUGUUUCUCUUCUCUGUGAUAUAGAAUUAUCCAAACUUCUGAAUUGAUUUUCUCUCGAUAUUUCACCAAUUUCCUGCACAUAUAGUACAUAUAACUAAAAGUAAGAGAACAGGAGACUUAUCAGACCAAUAACAUAAAGCACACUAAUAACCCAAGAAUUAAGAAACCCAACAGAAACAAAGAUGACCCACUAAGCAUCUAAAGAGGCAGCAAGGGAAAGGAACACAGAAAUUAAAGGAAGAAAAGAAACUGUAGACUUUGCAGUUUAAUCUUCUUAAACCUUUUUCCUCAUUUUAAAAUCUGGCAGCUGAGAAAACAAAUCCACCAAAACUGAUUUUUCAUUUUACUAGCAGAGCAGAGGGUCCAAGAGGAAUCCAAAUACCAAAUGAAAAAUUAUAAACAAAAAAAAAACAUAAAUUUAAAGCCACAAGGCCGACAACCUGUCGAGAAAAAGCUUAGAAAAAUAAAAUUUUAAAAAAAACAACUUUUACAGUUGAAGUGCGUAGAACAGAAUGAGGGUUUUACUGUUCCCAUAGCUCCCAGAAAUUCAAAACUUUAAGAUCCAACAUCCCUAUCUCUUUCCUUUUCUUUUCCCUCACUUUUCUCAGGAACCAAACGGAUGAUAUCGACAAAAUAAAAUUUAUGAAAAAUAAAAUGAAGAAGAAGAAAGCAAACACCAAAUUUAAGAACAAAGAGAAGAGCUUUUGGAGAAUGAAAACAAGGGAUUGAGAUCACGGACUUACAGUGCAAAUUGAAAAGCUUGGAUGGAUCUGAAGGCCAAAGCUCACCGCUCAGUCACAGCAAACAGAGAGAGAGAGAGAGAGAGAGAGAGAGAGAGAGAGGGGAAAGUUUUUAACUGUUUGGUAGUUGGAAAGAAGAUGUCUAAAGAAGUGAAUUUGUUCAGGGAAUGCUAUGAUUAUAUAGUCAUUUAUAUGACCAUUUUGCCCAUCCCAGUUGCCAGUCUCUCUCCUCUGUUAGAGUGGCACUGUUACUGUAAAAGGUUCAGAUUGACCUGCAGACAACCAUUUUUUUAUUUUAUAAUGUAUUUCUUUUUGUUUAAUGUUUGGCAGUAACAUACAGGUCAGAGUCUUCAGAAUAUUAGAUUUGGCUUCGUGUUUCUUAAUCAGAGCAUGCAAUUUUCAUAUCCAUGAAUAUUCAUUAAUUUGUACUAGUGCUUUUGCCAAUUAGUUUUUUUUUCUUUUUUUUUUAAUUAUAAACUUAAUAAAGAUAAAAAUAGGAUUCAUGUUUUGAUUUGUUAUUAUUUUAAAUUUGUUUGCUACGAAAAAGUACAAAAUUAUUAUAUUAUCCUUAUUUAUUUAAUUAUUAUAUAAUGGGAGGGCUUUUUUAAGUAUUGCACUUGCGACGUGUCAAGCCCAACUUUCCUUUUUUUCUUUUUAGGACCUAACUAGGUGUUCAUGCUCUUCCGUUCUUCGCCAUCAAUCGUAAUGAGCUAGAGAUGUCCUUGCUAUCACAUUACAAAAGUAGCAUUAGACAUCUUGAUGUACGCUUAGGCCAUCUCCAGUUAUAGGAGUAAAUGUAGUUUAGGAUUAAAUAUUUAGCUUUUUAAAAUAUUAAUUUUUUAAAGAAUAGUGCAGGGCUAAAUUUUUCCAUAUCCAGUCAUGCAGACUAUAUUUUAUAGUCAUUCAUAUUUUAUUAUUUUGAGAAAAAUUAUAGUACAACACUCAUGCAUUCCACAACUAUGUAUUGUUUAAUUUAAUUAAACUACUAUUUAGAGACAAUAUUCCAUGACCAAUACAUUUCUAUAAUUUUUUUUAAACAACACUUGAAAAAAUUUAAAAGGGUGACCACAUUUAUUUUUAUAAAUAAUAUUAUAAAAAUAAAAAAAAUAAAAAAAUAAAAGAUGGGUUUCAAUGGUCUGACCUUCAAUUAUCAUAACCAGUAAUUUUUUAUAAUUUUUUUACUAAUUGAAAACAUUGAAAAAGGUGACCACAUUUAAAAAAUAAUAAAAUGGUUGGGUUUCAAUAGUCUGACCUCCAAUGGUCAUGACCAAUAAUUUUUUAUAAGUUUUUCUUAAACAACACGAAUUGAAACAUUUAAAAAGGCCUUUAAAAAUAUAUAGAUUACGUCGGCGCUUUUAUUGUUGGAUGUUGGAUAUGCAUUUGCACGAGAUGAUUCGUACUCUUACCCGCACUUGAUAAUUUAUCUUCUUCAAAAUCACAUACAUGGGACCCACAAAAAAUUUGGCCUAAGCCAAAACUAAGCUAAAUGUGGCCCGGUUGGAGGGCUAAAGGGCCAAAUGUGGCCCUUCAAAUUUGGCCAAAAUUUUGUUUAGCCCAUGGCCAGAGAUGGUCCUACGUCCUAGUUUCCAAGCCUUUAAUACCAAGAUUUCAUUAAAAAAAAAUUCUCUUCAUUUAUAGCAGUCCCGAUCUCUUGGACCACAGGAGUCCAAGAGAUUUGUGGUCACUCACCGUUGGAUGUAAAUUCAACGGUUCACUCAAUCUUGAACUCCUUUUAAGAAAUUUUUUUGAACCAUUAGAUUAAAGUUUUGAACCAUUAGAUUAAUAUCCAACGGUGAGUGACCACAAUCUCUUGGACUCCUGCGGUCCAAGAGAUCAGGACUGUCAUUUAUAAUCGUAAUUGUUUAAGGCCAAAAAGUGUUCCUUCCUCAGUCGUACUCACUAAGUUCAUAUCUAGUGCAUUCACCGACAUCAAUUGUACCCUCCAUUUCUUGUGUACUGGCACACCAGCAAUAACACACCGAAUGACGUUCAAUUUACCUAGAAAUACAGCAUGUUUCCAAAUAAGUUAUUUGAUUUUAAGGUCAUUCAUUUUGUAUUGAGCCAAGGGCAACAAGGCUGAAGCUCAGGCUUGCCUUGGCCAUGCCUCCCUUCAGGUCUAAAUAUUCUAGCUUUGGCCAACGGGGUCUAACCCUGUGAAAAAAUGCUUUGACUUACAGACCAGUAGUCUCAAGUUGGAAUCCCUAUGGCACCUUAAGUGCGUGCGUGUGUGCGUGCAUGCGUGCCUAUCUUUGGUAGGCAUUUUGGCACAUGAGACAUAACUGAAGCCCAAUUUUUCUGUUUUCUGGACCUAACUAGGUGUUCAUGCUCCUCCUUUCUUCACCAUCAAUUGUAAGGAGCUAGGAGUAUCAUUACUAUCACAUCACAAGAGUAGCACAAGACACAUUGACAUAUGCUUACGUCAUAGUUUCUUAGCCUUUAAUUCCCAUAUUUAAGUAAAGUUCUCUAUUUUUUUAGGGAGGUGAUUUUUCCACUCUCUUUUUCUGCACUUACACUCCUUUUUGCUUUUUAAUACUUUUUAAUCAAUUUUAUUCUUUCUCUUUCUUAUUCUACCCUUACCCUACAAUUCCCUUUAAUAAGAAGACAUGUACAAUCACUUACUAAUAUUAUAAAAGAAUAAAAAUCUGAGACUAUUAUGCAUACCUUGCUCUCUACAUAUCUAAACUCUUAAUGACAGUUUGGUUAGCAGCAUUCUUUGUGUCUUCUAUCUGUAAAAAUGUUAGCCCAAAAUUUUAUUAUCUAUAUAGACGAGUAUGGAUAUAUUUAAAUUAUCUAUAUAGACGAGUAUGUUAGCCCAAUAAUUUAAAUAUAUCAGUUUAUACCACACAAACUGAUAAGAGUCAAAAUCAAGAAUACAAGACUACACAAUCAUCUUUAAGACAAUGCUAGCACACCAUCAACAACAAACUUAAACAAACCUCAUAAUGCAACGAGUCGACGACCAACAAACUAGAAAACAAAGUAUCCAGGAUAUCAAAUUUGCCAAAACACCAAUCCUUCUCAGCAAAAUCCAAGGACAGGCAAACCACACAAACCUGCAAAAACAAAAGAACAAAAACCACACCAACAAAACAAAGAGGGAGGGGAAGAAAGAAACCCAAGAGAGGGGGAGGGGCGAGUAGAAGGAGGGGAAGGGAUGGGAUGGGAGGAAAGGAACUGAUAGGAGAGGUGAGGGAAGGAAAGGAGAAGGGAAGAGCUAAAGAGAGGCCGCCAACCCCCAAAGAGGGCGGCAGCUAGACGCCUUAGCCUAGGGUUUUAAUUCUUUAGUCAUUUUAAAUACAUAAAUUUACGUAUAUACGUAGCACAAAAUGAAUGAAAAAAUAAAAAGGAAAAAGUAGCCGUCACUCCUCAAGUUUAUUACAAGAGUGUUAGGUGAUGAUAAGUAUAAUAAUUCUAAUGAUAAUAGCAUAGACAUUCCAUGUGGCAUUCACUUAUUAUUUAUAUAAUCUACUCAUUAGAAACAUAAUCUUGUGAUUGAAAGAUUUAGGAUUUCUAAUUACAACGUAGGAUGUCAUAAGGCCAUAUGUGUGCACUAUGGAGGAGCCAGCCAUCGAGUGCAAGCUCCAAUACUUUGCACACUAAAUCAUAAUGCUAAUAUAUGAUCCGCAUGUAUCAAUAACCUAUGAAACUUGAAAAAAGAUAACAAGAAAACUCAUAGGCAUGGUGCCUUCCCAUGUUGCUUAUGGGUGGAGGGAACAAGUGUCAAAUAACCCAAUUGAAUAUAUACAUCCAAUCAUAAGGUCUGCCCUUUUGGUAGCACAAAAAUAUGCUCCAAAAUUAUGUAGUUGAGAUGCGAAUGCUAGAAUUCAGGGAUUCCUCUAAUCUUUUUUAACUAAAGUUUAUUGAAACCCCAUCACUUUACCACUAAUUAGAAUUAUUAUUUCAGAGCACUGCUUCAAUUGAUUAGGAAUUAUAUGCUUGUGCAUUCUUAAGGAAUAGUAGUGGUAAGUGGGUCAACAACAACAACUCUCGUAUGGUUUUAAAUUUGCUUUCCUUUUUUUUGUACUGAAAGAUAGAGAAACAUGUUUAAAUUUGCUGUCACGCACUUGCUUCUCUAAUUUUAUUUUUCAUUACUCAACAAAACAAUCAUGUCUAAGCUAAUGGUUAUAGUAUCAGCAAACUUUAAUUAGAACAGUGAUGGAGAGUGGGAUUGAUCAAGGCAUGUAGUUCAAAUUAUUUCAUUUGUGCAGUGAAGUAAGGAUACCAACCACAUGGUAAUUAUUGUGGUCAAGAUAGGUUUCAUUAAUAAGAAACAAAUCAUUACAAACAGGGAAUACAUAAUAGCUCAGUCCAGUACUGUAUAUUACAACAGAAUAAAAUUAAGUAAACUGAACCAAGGCCAAUAUUACCACAAACCUUAACAACCCUACCAAAAAAUGUUAUAAUUAAACACCAGCCGUCGCCCUGAUCAUUGUCGCCGCCGCCACCAAGUUCAUCACCACCGCAACCACAAGAACAUGGUUUCAUGAAGACACCUGAAAGAACCGACGGGCGAGACCAUAUGGUAAUUAUUAAGAUAUAUAUAUUUUUAUUUUUUAAAAAUAAAAUUAAGGAUGAAAGUAUAUAAUAUAAUAAUAAUAAGAAAAGUGGCAAAGAUAACCACAUCAAAGGAAAUCAAUGAGUAGGUUUGAUUGUCUGGCUCGCUGAAUCUUCCACCUUCGCCUCUCUUUGGUUCCAUUUUUGUAUCUGAUUCGGGUGAAUUUCGUUUAGUCCUUUGUUUGUUUCCUUUUAGCCAUUUUUUGGUCUUUCUAUAGAAUUUCAUGUCGACCAAAAAAAUAAAAGAGAAAUCAAUGAGUAUCAUGUUUGUCAUGAUGCUUAUAAUUCCCUCCUUUCCACAUAGGGUUAUGCUUCCAACAAUCAUAAUUUUGUAUUUAGUGGUGUGAUUAAGGUAGAAUGCAGAUGUAAGAAAUUUGUAGCUUAAGUGGUUAAAAACAAUUUUCCCUGCAUCUGAGAUUCUACGUUCGAAUCUUCCCUAUCUUAAUAUUGCUUGUAACUUUUUAGAUAAUCUAAAUAGGGCCGAUAUGUGCGAAACUGAAAAUGAAACCUUUUUCAUAUGUCAAAAGAAAAAAAAAACUUAAAAAAGUUCCAAAGAUAUUCGGAGUACAUGACCAUUUGGACUUCUUAUGGAGGCUAGCUAGUUUUGCUUCAAUAAUGAUGGAAUCGGAUGCUCAGCCGGCCAAGCAUGCCUAUAUACAGACUUUGCAAAGCACGUUCUCUCGAGAAGGACCAAAAUGGUUAAUACAUACGGUCCAUGCAUUUGUAAUGGGCUGGAAAUGGCCCCUCCUCUUCUUUGGUCUAACGAUGCUUUUUUUGUGGAUGGAAAAAUUAGCAUAACUUCAAGAAAGAAAAAAGUCUCAGGCAUCAUUAAAAGGCAUUUCCACAAGUUCUAUGAGUGCAAAUCCUUAAAACCAAAACAUAGUAUAUAUUAUACCGAGAGUUUAAGGAUGCCUUAUUUUUUAAUGCACUCCCGAGGGCUAUCACGAUGCAAUUCAACGAUCAGAACCGUUUAUAUUUUAUCGGCUUAUUAUCACAAAAUAUCUUUAAGGUUUACGAAACUAUCAGAUUGCAUCUUUAAUAUUUUUUUGUGUCACUCGUGGUCUUCAAGAUUAAUAUAUGCGAUCACAAAUGGUCUAUGUCAUUAGGUUCCGUCAAAAACUCCAUUAGUUUGUUGACGUAUCAUAUAUAUAUAUAUAUAUCACAAAACAUCCCUGAGGUUCACGCACCUAUCACAAAUGGUCUUUACGAAAUUUUUAAAAUUUAAAAUUCAUAAAAUUGUGGUUUUCUUUUUAAAAUUAUUUAUAAAUGAAAAAACCAUUUAUAGAAGGAUUUUAAUUUUGAGGACCAUUUAUGAACCAUAAACCCUUAGUUUUUUCAUUUUUAAAUUUUAUGAAUUUUAAAAAAAACUCCAUUAGUUUGUUGAUGUGACAUAUAUAUGGAGCCCACAUCUACAAUAAUAUAGUACCACAUGUAUUUAAAAUAUAAUAUAUAUUUUUAAAUAAUUUAAAAUUCAUAAAAUUUUAAAAUUAUGAAUUUUAAAUUAAAAAAUUAAAAAAUUUCGCAGGGACCAUUUGUGAUAGGUGCAUGAACCUCAGGGAUGUUUUGUGAUAUAUAUAUAUAUGCCAUAUCAACAAACUAACAGAAUUUUUGAUGGAACCUAAUGGCAUGGACCAUUUGUGAUCACACAUACUAACCUUGAGGACCACAAAUGACACAAAAAAAAAUAUUAAGGAUGCAAUCUGAUAGUUUCGUAAACCUUAAGGACGUUUUGUGAUAAUAAGCCUAUUUUAUCGUUUAAUCUUUAUCAUGUUCAAAAUUUCAUCUAAAAAAAUAAAGGAUGAAGGAUGAGCAAACCACCACUAAGUAGGUAUAAGACUAAUAGAUUAGUACCAAUUAAUCUUAAGGAAUUUGAGUAGUCUCAAAACUACAAAGUUAACUAAAAAGAAUUGUGUCCCAAUUGAGUUAGAAUACAUCCCUUUUUAACGACUCACAUACAUUUAUUGCAUGAAAUAUGAUUCAUAUUGCUCUUGAAAUAUUCAACAUUACUCUUUAAAUUCUUGUUUGUAGUUGAUUCUCAAGGCCGGUUCAUUUAGGCCUCAUCAUUUGGCCCGCGGACUCAUGGGCCAAUGGGGGCCCUCUCGGCCCAUCGAAAAAAAGUCCGGCCCGAUCCGUUAUGGGCUUUGAGAUGGCCCGACCGUCUUGGGCCGAGCUAGGUUUGGACUUGAGUGUUCGAAGCCCUGCCCGACCCAUAGGCCCAACCCGAUUAAGCCCAAGAAGCCAGGCCUGGCCCACCCACAAAAGCCUGGCCCGUUAGGCCCCCAUACAUAUAUAAUUAUGUAUAAAUAAGAGUUUAGGUUUAGGAUUAUAUCACUUAAAUCACAUAUAUAAUUUGUUUCAUUUCAUUUACUUUUCUUUACUCAUUCCUAGUUUAUAAUUGGAUGAUUAACACAUUAAUUUAUGUCAAUUAUUAAUUCAACAAUUAUACAUAUAUAAAAAAAAAUAAGAUGAACAAUAUAUCACAUCACCAAAUAUAAUCAUAUCACGAAACAUAAUCGUACCACCAAAUAUAAUCAUGCUUUUCUUGAACACGUCACCAAAUAUUUGCAUAUUUAUUCAUACCAUCCUUAAAAAAAAUAUUUUUUUGAUACUUAUUAUUUUUUAAAAUUAUUUCUUAAAAUAUAUUACGAUCUAAUUAUGUAAUAACCUCAAAAAUAAUACUUGGUUUUAUUAUUUUUGUGGAAAAUCUUAUAAGUUGUGUGACUUUAUUGGGUGUUUUAUGAAUUUGGUUUGAUGUGAAAAUAUUAGAAUUAAGUGAGUUUAAUCUCAAAUUUGGACUAAAAUGCCCUUGUGAUUAAGUUUAUAAAUUGUUUAAUAAAGUAGGGCCCGUUGAGCUUAGCCCGGCCCGGCCCGAUGGGCUUUCUCAAGCUCGGCUCAUAGGGCUUUGAAUUUUCUUAAAAAACCCGGCCCGAUAUUUUCUCUCUCCUCUUCAAAGCCCGUCUCGAUCUGACUCAAGCCCAUUAAAUUUGGACCAGGCUAGUCCGACCCGGCCCAUUGACAAGUCCUAGGUUGAUUGAUUUUGGAGAUCCUUAAAAGAAAUAAAAAUGCCUAAACCCUAAAAACAUAACCCAAACUUAGCCCAACUUGAACUUUUAGGGUCAGGCCCACCAAGCCCAGCUUAGUGAUGAACCCAAGAAUGGAUAGGAACAAUACAUUGUAAAGAAAUUCAUUACAAUGUGUAUUGGAACUCCAAAAAGAUCAUCCAACAUUUUUUCCCGUAUAAAAACAUAAGCGGCAAAGUGUACUAUGAGGAGUGCUUGAUAAUAAUAGUUCCCUUUAGAUGUUAAUAAGUUCUUUUUUCUUCUUAUGCGUAAGGCUAUUGUUGGUAUUAACAAAAAUAUUGAGGAUAAUACUAAUGAGUUUGGUAUAAAAGGAUGACUACUUUUUCCGGUAUAAAAAUGAUGUUAUUUUUGGUAUUCCCAAGUUACCUAUUAAAAAAAAAUACCGUUCCUAACAAAUCAAGAGUGAGAUUCUGAUUUUAUGUUUAGUUGUGUAGGCUUCAUAUAAUAUAUAUAUAUUUUAAUACAAGCGAUAGUCUAAACUACAUGGGGAGUUCGAACUUAAGACCACUGAUUUGAAAGUCAAGACCAUUUUUUCACUGAACAAGACCUUGUUGGUGCCUCGAUAUAACUUUUAAUUUUCUCCUCGGGCUAUUUUUAUUCCUUUCAAUUUCCAUUUCUAGUUAGUAAUCUAAACGGACUUUUAUUUUUUGAAUUUUUCAACGAUCCAAACGGUCUAUGUUACAAGUGUUCAUUCAUAGAUCAUCCUAGCAAAAAAAAAUCAAACAAAUUGAAAAUCAGGCAUCUAUUUGAGACUAACAAAAUCAAUGAACACGUUGCUUCAAGAAAGUACUUAAAUUUCAAUAAUAUAAAUGAAUGGUCAAAUGAUAUCGGAUUCAAGUAAUUUUGUGUAGAGAUGAUCUUUGAAUGAAUAUCUACAAAAUAGAUUAUUUGGAUUAGUGAAAUACAAUGCGGAGUGGGCCUUACAAGGGUGUCCCUCAAAUAAGAUUAUUUGAGGGAUCCCUCAACGGAAACUCUUUGUAUAUAUAUGCAGAUGAAAUGAAUGGUGAAAUAUUCAAAAUACAACAAAAUAUCCUUAGUUUAUAAAAAUAUUAACAAAUGAAAUAUUCAUUACAUAAGGAUAAUAUAAUAAAUUAACAAAUUUUCAUAUUUUAAAAUGUUAAAUUUUAAAGAGACGAGCGGCGGCUCACUACUAGCAAUACUGAUAUUAUUGUUAACUUAACCAUCUAUAAAGCUCAGUAGAUUUUAGGUUUUAUAACAAAAAGAUCGAUAUUAUUAGUAGUGAAACCACUCAUUAUAUCUUGUAAUUUAUGUAGUUAAGUAUCCGAUGUGGGACUUUUACAUUCUUAAAAUAAAAACAAAAACAAAAAAAAACAUAUGUUCUAUUUUCAUGGAAUACACCUAGAUUAAUUUUCUCAUUUAAAUUCUAAAAUAAAAGACCAAAAUAAAAAAUUGAAAUUCAAGAAUAUUGUCUUUAAAAAAAAAAAUCAAUUAACACACACUUGCGACUAUAUUAAAGUUCUCAAGUAAAACAAAUAAUAUCGUCCCUAGUCUAUAUUAAAACUGUAGAGUCCCAGAAUGAAUCAAAUUAUAGGUCUACGAGUGGCAACUGACACGUGUAUGACUCCCGAUUUAUAUGAAACACACUAAACAAAACUCAUUUUUUUUACUAACAUGAGCCUCUCUAAGUCAAAAGCGCAGCACAGCACGCCAAGAAAGAAGAAAGGUUUAGUCUCACCCUCUCACUCUCAGGUCAAACCACAACAUCUUCCACACACAGUUAAUAGAACCCGCGUAAGCACACGCUUUGCAAUUAAUACCUCCGUAUCUAUAAAUCCACGCUUCUCCUCUUCAACUUUCUCAAAACACACUGCAACCCAACAACACAAUCUCUCUCUCUCUCUCUCUCCCUCUCUCUCUCCUGAAGUUGGAAAUUGAAAACUCUUGUUUCAUUUCAUCUUCAUUUUUCUAAGUGUAAUUCAUUAUAAUCGCAAAAUGGGUGUAAAAGGCUUCGUUGAAGGUGGCAUAGCUUCCAUCAUAGCAGGAGCUUCCACGCACCCACUUGACCUCAUCAAAGUCCGCAUCCAACUUCAAGGCGAAUCCCACCUCCCCAACCCUUCAAUGCAGCCUGCUUUCCGCCCGGCCCUCGCCUUCACCUCUGCCACCAACUCCAUGCCUUCUACAUUCUGCGCACCCGCUCCCCAACCACCCCGAGUGGGGCCUGUCUCCCUUGGACUCCGCAUUGCGCAGACCGAAGGGGUUGCAGCGCUGUUCUCCGGGGUCUCCGCCACCAUCCUCCGCCAAACCCUCUACUCCACCACCCGCAUGGGCCUCUAUGACAUCCUCAAGCGGAAAUGGGCUGACCCUGAAUCCGGAAACCUCCCGCUCCCGCGCAAGUUAGCCGCUGGACUGGUCGCUGGAGGAGUUGGCGCCGCGGUCGGCAACCCCGCUGACGUGGCAAUGGUCCGCAUGCAGGCUGACGGGCGCCUCCCGAUCCACCAGCGCCGCAACUACAAGAGCGUGAUCGACGCAAUUCGGGAAAUGUCGAAACACGAGGGGAUCACUAGCCUGUGGCGCGGCUCAUCUCUUACGGUGAACCGCGCCAUGAUCGUGACGGCAUCACAGCUGGCGUCUUACGAUCAGAUGAAGGAGGUGAUAUUGGAGAAGGGCAUCAUGAACGACGGGAUUGGGACCCACGUGGUGGCGAGCUUCGGGGCCGGGUUAGUGGCGGCCGUGGCGUCGAACCCGAUCGACGUGAUCAAGACGAGGGUGAUGAAUAUGAAGGUGGAGGCCGGGGCUACGGCACCGUACUCGGGUGCGUUGGAUUGUGCGAUGAAGACAGUGAGGGCUGAGGGUCCCAUGGCUUUGUAUAAGGGCUUCGUUCCUACCAUCUCAAGGCAAGGACCUUUUACUGUGGUCUUGUUCGUUACCUUGGAGAAGGUCCGGGAGCUCCUCAAAGAUUUUUGAUUUUUUUUUUCCUUUUUGUAAUUAACAUUCAUUCAUUAUUUUCCUACCAGAAAAUCAUAUUUUAUUGAUAAAAGAAGUAUUGCAAGGACUUGUAGUUUAAGUGAUUAAUAAAAUUUAUUCAUGCACUCAAGAUUCUAAUUGAGUAAAUAAAAUCAAGAGGAUUAAGCACCCAAUUUAACGAAUCAUCAAUCGAAAUAUCAAACCGGGCAAUACAAUGACAAAUCCCAUUACAUUCGCAGAUCUAUUGAGGGAUGAGUGCAGCUCAAUAUGAGACACACCCAUUAAAUUGCCCAGCUGCUUUGUUGUUUUCUUGGAGCCUAGGGGCAAAGGCUGCAAAAUGUUUGAUAAAAUGUCUCAAGGAAGGCAAAGGAAUGGAUGAGACUUUGUUUGCAUUAGGCCAAACUUUACAGGUUAUUUGUAGGCUCCAUUAUCCUCUGCAUCCGAGGCGAGACUCCACAGAUUCUUGCCCCCGAGAAGGAAAAUUCAUGGAUCCGUCAAUGCCCCAUUACACCAACUAAGAACACAAGUAAACCCUUCAUCCUCAGUAUGAGAACGAAGGUUCUUGACGAGAUUAAUGAUUUUACUCAUCCUCUUUUCAAACCAGUGAAUUGCUACAAAAUGAAGCUUUAGGAGCCUCGGAUUUGUUCAAGCAUGUUUAUCGUAAGCAAAAUUAACAAAAGAUGGUCUGGCCAACAUGAGAUCUUAUGAACUUCGUUCUAUCUGUUCUAGCUGCUGAUGCUGUUAAUUUGGCUAGACCCAAACUGGUUUUCUGUCUUGUUAUUUUUAUUGUUGGAUUUCGGCCCGUUUCACCUAAAAUAGAAAAACGCCAUAUAUAAUAGGUAAUCAUUUCAUUAGAUGACAGAGAGAAAUGAGACAAAGCCAUAAAGCCCACGUCGCCUCAUUCCUAUUUUAUUUCCAGUGUUCCCUAUUUAAUUAAGAUCACAUAAUUAAACAAGCUAAAUAGCACAUCUAGGGCUUAAUUAAUACCACCGGGUUCCUAAAUAAAUAGGGCUAAGGCCAAGAACCAAGUGACUUUUGGUUUAGUGGUAUUUAUCUUCCUAAUGUUAGGUAACAUUGCAUCAGAACCAAUCCUUAAAACGUGUCAAAUACGAAAGGUCGCAAGAAAUUAUUUCUAGGAUAACCAUGUGGAUAUAUCCACCAAACCAAGUUCUAAAAACAAACAAUGUAAAAGGUCACAAAAGAUUACACAACAAGAUUUUUCGAAAAAUAACGUGUCAUAAUACUAAUAUAAGCCCAUGGAAAAGCAAGUUAAUUAGGAUAACCAUAUAGAUUUGCAGAGGGUCCGACUCCCUGCCCAAAUGCUUACUCCGCACCGAGGACUUCAAUCUCAAAAACCAAAGCCGAAUUAGGUUGUAUCCCCCAUGCACCAAAUCCGUUAGCACCAUAAGCAUAAUCUGGAGAGCACUGCAAAUUCAUCAAGAAGGAAUAUGAGAUGUUAAUGUGAGAUAAAGUGCAUUCCAGUUCCAGACUUUCAAAAUGCACACCAAAUGAAAAUAAGAACAUGAGACAUUCCUAGCUUCUUACAUCUUAAAUCACUAUUUUAGAAACGGCAGAUUGCUAGUCGAAAUAAUAGAUUUAAGACACUGGAGUCUGGGACCAUUCAGUUUGAAGAGGAAUUCAUAAUUUGGGCAUCAGUCAAAGAAAUAUCAAACAUUUUGCAAGGUCGCAAAUAACACAAUGAGAACCAAGCCUAGAAGUUGUUGGUAAAUUUCAGGAUGGGGCAAAACAUGUUGUCCCAUAAAGAAGAAAAGAGGUAAAUUAACUCUGUUUCUAUAGAAAACAAUACAGUACUCUUAGAGGAGUGAAAAAAUGUGCGAAGAUUCAUGAAAACAUGACCUAAAUAUGGGAGUUUAUUGCUAAUAAAUGCAAAGAGAUCAAUUUCACAAUGACAAACAAAUACAAACGAGAUACUUAAAAGUUUUCCAAAUGAGUCAUUAGGAUCAUGUUCAAACGGCCUCCUAAUGGCCUUCUAAUUGCACCACGAAAAUUUUAUAAUAAGCUUCAGAGUACAGCAAAACUAUUUGUUAAAUCAUAGAGCAUAAAUCUUCCGGAGCACAGAAGAUGAACAUUACCCGUAGACGAGCAACUUCUCCCACUUGCAUUUGGAGCACACCUUCAUCCCAUCCUACAAAUGGGUUCCAACAAAACAAGUCAUAUAUCAGAGAAAAUUUGGAACGAACAAACACACACAUAUACACACAAUCACAUAUAUGUGUACACAUACAUAAGGAAAAAACAUAUAGUUACCUUUUAUAACAGCACCCUUCCCAAUUUGGAAGCUGAAAGGAUUCUGCCCAGGGUCCUUCGUACUAAAAAGAUCAAAGAAAGAAAAAAUUACAUAUCAAAUUUACAUAAUUCAAUUUUGAGAAUAUAUAUACAAGCCUGAAAAGACCCAUGAAAGCAUUAAAAAAAAAAAAAUGCUCACCUCCAAAACUUCUGACUCAGAUCACCAUUUUUUCCUGGGUUAAGGACACAACAGACCAUAUAAUGAAAUUCAACUACAAUAAUUAUAUUGGGUUGAAAAACAUUCAAAGUUCAAGCAAUGAAAAUAAAUAAAUAAAGUAAAAUUUUGUUUUUAUAUUUCAUAGCUCGAUAUGUGGCUAAGAAAAACGCAGAUUUUAAACAGAAAUAGAAUGAAGAGCUAACCGUAACCAGUGCAAUGAACGGUGACCUUCUGACCGACGGUCGGUUUUGGACCGGUUCCAGCACUCACGACUUCCCUCUCCACUCCCAUCUUCUUUUCUCUGUGCUCCUGCUGUUGUUUGCUCACUUUGCUUAGGGUUUUGGUUGUCGAAUCAAUCGAAGCGUUGAUCAAAAUAGAGAAAUCAAUCUAAGAUCGUUUUAGUGUCGACCAAAAAAAAUCUUAAGUUCUUUUUAGCAGUUUUGUCGUUUGAAAGCCCACUGGGUGUGAACUAUUUUAGUGGGCCAUGUAAUCAUGCAUUUGGUAGAAUUCUAAAGAGUUGACCGAUUCUUUUUCAUUAUUGGCACUAGGAAAAAUUCAUUAUGCACUAUUUCCUUAUGAAAAUUCAAGUAAAAAAUGGCAAUGUAUGACCACUAUUUUAGAGUGAUAGAACAUUUCACUUUUCAUUUUUCAUUUUUAAAAUUAUCACUCUACUUAAACCAUUAACUUUGCUAUCUUCAAUUUUUUUUAUUUAUUGGGUAAUGAAAAUUUUGUUUCGUUUUUUGUUAUUUGUCUUAGGCUUAAUUGCUUCAAUGCUUCUUGAAGCUAUGAUCAAAUUUCAUAUUGCUCAAUGAAAUUAGGGCUCGGCAUCUGAAGCCGAAGUACCGAUACCGUACACAUACCAAAUCGUAUCGUACCGAUUUUAUCCCAUUUCCUUUGGUUUUAGGCUGCAUCCGGUAUGAUACCGAACUGUGUCAACUUUGUAGGGCACGAUAGCGGUACCGAAUAUUUGAUACCGUUUAAUCCCGUACCGUACAAUAACAUAGACUAAUUUUUGUACUUCUUUCACUCUCGAUCUCUCAGCUUCGAAGAAUCUCGAUGCCUAGCUCUUUCUCUAUCUCUCGAUCUCACUCAAUCAUUCAAGCUCUCUCCAAGCUAAACUCUUCUCAUCUCGAUCUCUUGACAAUAUCUCUCGAUCUGUCUUAGUCUCACUCUGUCGAUCUCUCUUGAUCUCUCUUUGUCUCACUCUUUCGAUCUCACUUUGUCUCACUUUCUCAAUCUCUGUCUCACUCUCUCAAUCUCUCGGUCUAUCUCUAUCUCACUCUCUCGAUCUUUCGAUCUCUCUCUCUCUCUCUCUCUCUCUCUCUCUCUCUCUCUAUCUGGAAUCUAGAUCAGCCCCAAAUCGACAAAGCCUCAAAUGGUAAGUUGUUCUUGUUCUGAUUUUGUUAAUUUAUUUUGGGUUGAUAUGUUUGUUGUCUAAAUUUGGAUUGUUUGUUUAGGAUCUCUCUCUAUUUGGAUUGUUUGUUCUGAAUUUUAUUAAUUUGUUGGGGUUUACUGUCAUGCAGUCUCGAUCAAGUAAGCAGUUGUGAAACUCCGUAUUUAUAAAAUUAUAUAUAUAUAUAUAUUAUAUUUUAGAAAAUUAUAUAUAUAAUUGCCUUGAUAUAUAUUGUACUUUCAUAAAUAUUUUCAUUAAUAAAAAUAUACUUUAUUUUCGUUGCAUGCAUGUUAUCAAUACUUGGUGGCUAAAUUUAAAGGAUUGUAGUGAUCAACUUUGAUUGAUAUUAGUGAUAGACAUGUCCAUUUUUUAUAGCCAAGCAAGGAGCACUAUCACCUUGUGAGUUGUCAUAUGAAUAUCUUGAGUUUGAUUAGCUUUGAACACCUCCUACUAUAAUUUCUUAUAGCUGGUAGCAUUAUAGUCAUAUGCACAUGCCAAUUGACACCACCUACUUGAUAUGCCGCUAUCUCAUCUUUAGCCGACUCUUAUUGUACUAUAAAUAGGAAUCUACAAUUACAAACUCUUAUUGUACUAUAAAUAGGAAUCUACAAUUACAAAUGGUUUACUACAUCUAGAGAAAGGCAUGCAUAGCUUGCAUGAGAAACGAGAGACAAAUAGUGGUAGAGAGAAAAAGAAAGAGAGAGUGGUAAUAAUAUUCUUGGAGGAGUUAGAGGUCGGAACUUUUGUUUUCUUAACUUGGAGCUAGCUUUGGAUGACAGGACCCGACCCAAUUUUCGCUUUGAAAUUCGAGCCAAGUCCUGUGCGUGUCCGACACCUGGUGAAUGUCAGGCACAAAAGACCUUUUUACCCUUUUCGUUUCAAAAUUCUUUUAAAAUGUCCCUUAGACUUCUGCCGAAAAUUCGGCAGAGUUUCCCCUGAAUUUUGACCAAACCCAAAGUUUUUCACCUGUUAAACAAUCAAUUAAAUCCACACCAACUGCCAGAAUAUCUCAAAUAACAGAUCUCAACUCCAGUUUUUCAGUUUCAACUAGAUAUCAGAGCAUUUUCUAAAGUUUACAGAGUUCCAAGGGCUUUUCUACAAAACUCUACCUGAUUUGAUGGCGCGGAAGCUAGGAAUGGCCCGGUGGUGGAUCCUGCGCACUUCUACGGCCUGGGGGCGAAAAACAUGUUGAAAAUGUGAGUGGACAAAAAGAAUGUUCUCAAACUAGUUUAUAAACAUAAUAACCCCCGUAGUCAAAAUAAUUAUGUAUGUAAAUCUAAAGUUCAUCGGCAAUCAAAUAUAUAAAGCAUGUAAAUCAACAGGUAUACGUAUAUGUAUAUAUAUAGAUAAUAAACGGCACGAAUGUUAAGAAGACUGAUAUAAAAUUUUCUGAAAACAAUAAUUUCAUAAAACACUGAAAUUCCUUUAAAAGUACCACCUAGAAGUACCCCUGUAAGUCCGUCAAUUCCCCUGGCAGGUCUCGGGCGCCACGCAGUCUACCCGAGCCGCAAACUGGCGAAAUCAGGGGACUAUGAUCAGCCUGAUCUGCCGGCAGGUCUCGAUGACACCAAGUCGACUCGAGCCGCUCUGGCAAGAUACAUGGGACCGUAAUCAGCCUGAUCCGAAAUCCUGGCAGGUCUCGGGGACACAGAGUCAGCCGAGCCGCAAUCCUGGCAGGUCUCGGGGACACCAAGUCUGCCGAGCCGCAAAAUCCUGGCACUCACGGUCCGAGCGUCCCCGAAACUCGUGAGGCAAAGUCAAGUGCACUGACGUAACUGAAAUCAGACUGGAUGUCCGUAGACAUCGGUCCGACUGUGGGUAAUCACCAAAGAUAAAUGGGUACACGGUGGUUUUAAAAUAAACUAUUUUAAGAAAAAUCUAAUAACUCACUGCAUCUCGGUAAAUCUGAAGCUUUGCUGCUAUCUCCUCUGGUAAAGUUCUCAAACUCUGCUUUUUAUAUUACUAGAGCUUCAGAAAUUAAGCAUCACGUAGAUCAAAGUACUAAACCGUACAAAUCAUGCUUAAAGGAAACAGUUCAUAAAACUUAUCCAAAUAAACUCAUUUAUAAAAGCUUAUUUAUAUAAAAUCAAUAUAAAAUUAUUUAAGUAAACUUGUUUAUAUAAAUCAUUUAUAUAAAAUCAUUCAUGAAAGAAAGUCCACUCACUGAUGGUCCGAGCUAACUGGACCCUUUGAAGGUCCCUCCUGCGGGUCGCUUGGACCUCUGGUGCCUGAUUAACCAUGAAUAGUAAAUCAAUAAACUACUGAAUAAAAAGAAUUUAAAUUAAACACCCUGCCCCCGGCUCCUAGAAGUACGUGCACUCGUUUCAAGUUACUCCUAUGUCUACAUUAGCUUUUUAGGCUCUUAGAUCAGUUUUGGAAGACCCGAUGCUUAACUAAGCGAUAAACCACCAGACCAGCCGAUCCGGGACCCCGUGGGUCCACGGUCUCCGAUGGCCAAUCUGGGCUUCUCUAAAGGUUCCUCAUAAAGAAGGAACCAUGUUCCGCGAAUUCGGUCUGAAACGGACGGUCGGAUUGGCCAGAAUCGCGUUAUCGCUUAAAAUCGAAACCCUAGCCCCAGGGUUCGCGAUUUCGGAGUAUCCGGGACUCCGAUUCACAAUCCGUCGAAUCCUACACGAUCCUGAAAUCAUGUAGACCGACAUAUCCAAAAUUCAGUGCGAUCCGACGAUUAGACGACAUUGCACCCAAGGAUCGUGCGAUAUGGAAAAUCCGUUCGGGGCUCAAACGGACUCCGAAUCGAGAUCCGCGAAAUCCUACGCGCUCGUGACUACACGAGGAUCUCAAAACUGCCCAGAGUUACUCCACCACCCUUGCCCACGCGCCGCCACACGCGCGGGCAGAUUGGGUGUCCAAAGCGAUUAUGGGUUGCCGGAAAAAAACUCGGAACCAAGACUCCAAACUCCUAUCCUAGGUAAAACACCCCAUUUGGAGUCACUUUUGUUCUUGGACAUACCCCAAAAAGUGGCCGAAAAUGGCCGAUCACGGCGGCCGAAGUUCGACCAAUUUUCAAGUUGAAAAUCGAGUGAUCUAGAGGUGAAAUCGAUCAAAACCCAGCCAACCAUCAGUUAGAGCACGAAAAAUAGCUGAGAAUCCAUACCUUACUCGAACGAUUUGGUUGAGAAACGAAGGAGAACGAAGGAGAUGAAGUUCGGGUGAAAACCGCCGAUUCUUGUCCAGUUUCCGGCGAGCUCCGGCCGGUGCAGGUGCGGCGACGGGUCGGGGCGUGACGGCGGCGACAAGACGAAGCUGGUGGUACCAACAUCGGAGAUCGGCGUGCCCUGUGGUGGCGACGGGAGGCGCUGGAAGGGAGGAGGGCGCACGGCUUGCGCGCGACGGGAGGAGAGAGAAAUGAGGAGAGAGAAGGGAGAAAGAGAUAAAAAAAUCUGACUUUUGUCCAAAUUACCAUUUUGCCCUUCGCGGUAUUUUGACCGUAUUUUCUUCGUUACAACUCCGAUUCGAGUCUACUCCGUGUCUACGGACUCGUUUCGCCUUACUCUACGCAACAGCAUAAGCGGAAUUGCCAAAUUCUUUCCCGAUCAAAAAGUCAACUUUUUCUCUAUUAAAAAAUGCGAGGGCAAAAUUGUCUUUUUGCUAGAAGAUAUUAAUCCUACUUUUUAGAUAUUAUAUUUCUUUUUAGACAUUUUAUUUUGGGUUAUUACAUUGGAAAUGAGGUUGGGGUUUCUUGAGGGCCUUUUACGGAGAUUGAUUGAAUUAAAUUUCGUGAGCACUAUAUUAUGCGUGAUAUGAUUAUAUGUACAUUGGUGAUGUUUAAAUGUUACAUUAUUGUGAGAUACAUGGAAGGCAUAAUUAUAUCAUGUCAUGGAUAUUUGGUUGGAGUUAUUGGGUGGAGAAGAUAAUAAUGGAAAAGAGGGUAAUGGAUAUAGUCUUUUGUGUAGUUGAGUCUAACUCUUGGCAGGUACCAGGUCUCAGGGAUCCCACAGUGCACAUGGUUUUUAUUAGGUGAUUUGGGACUGGCGAAAAGGAGUUAGACAAGAUGACUAACAAAAGGGGAAUUAUGGGAUGACUGAAAUCGGUGUUAGUUCAUAUAAAUUUCGGGACCAAGUGGUAUAAGCAUGGUAUGGGACGUGCAGGUCUGCAUGUCCAGUUAUACGAAUUAACGGGAGUAGAUGAAGAGCAUUCAUGCAUUAUAAUUAAUAAUGUGAUAUUUGGCUGCGUGAUUAUUUGUCAUUUAAUUUAGUUAUAUCAAUCUACUGUAGUAAGGUCUCAUAUCCCUAUUGAGCUGUGGUUGCUUACUCCUCACCUUAUUUAAUUUUUCAGAUGAAUUAGUGGGCAAGAAAAGGAAUAAACCAGUUGAGGCUGAAUUAGAUGAGAGUGAUCGAGCUUUAUUUAUUGUAAAGUUGUAAGAUUUUGGAUCUAUUUUUAUAAAAGAAGUUUAUUUUAAACCCAUGUCUUGGCUUCUUUUUAUUUUAUUUUAUUUUAUUUUAUUUUCUCAAGCGCCGGGUGCGGGGUUUCUGCCGACCCCUGGGUCCGGGGCGUGACAGCAGUAGCAUCAAGAGCACAUUGGGCUUGCUGCUUCGUCAACAGCAACAUCACCAGCACCACUAUAAAUGCCACACCAUGUGCAGUUGGAAGGCCAACCCUUCUGAAGCUCUUGUGCCAGAGCCAGUGCAAGCCCAAGCUGUUAAGAGUGAAGAUACAGAAAUGGUUAGUGAAAUGAACUCAAAUAGCAAAGCUAGAGGUAAUAAGAGAAGUUUGGUUUUGGGAUCAUUUUACACCCUAUGAUCAUAAGAAAACUGUCAAAAGAAAGGAUGAUGCCACAAGGAAGAUGAUAGAUGUAGAAGUUGUGAAUAAAAGAGCUAAAUGCAGAUAUUGUACUGUCUAAACUUGGUCUAGGAGAUAAUGCAUGUGAAAGUGGGAAAAAUGGGACUUAGGAAUGAUAAGCCACAUUAGAAAAGACUGCAAAUACUACCCACCUAACCAAGAUAAAACACAAAAGAUCAUUGCUGGUGAUAAGGGUCAGGGUAACAAAAUGGUUGCUAGGGGGUUUGUGCAGAGUGAUGUUAUGGAUGCAUGUGAAAGAAAUGACUGUCAUUGAUGAGAUGCCAUUUUCUUUUGUAGAAAAGAAAGGUUUUAGGAGGUUUUGUAGUGUUGCUUGCUCAAUAUUUGAAGUGCUUAGUCGGAGAAAAAUAGUGAAGCAAUUUUUUUAAAUGUAUGAUGCACAAAAAGAACAGCUGAAGAAGGAUUUAAGUGCACAUAGGAUCAACCUCAAGAUUGACACUUGGACAAGUGUCCAAAACACCAAUUACAUGGUGCUCACUGCUCACUUUAUAGAUUGUGAUUGGAAGAUGCACAAAAAGGUUUUAAACUUUUGUGUUAUUCCUAAUCACCAAGGCAACACCAUAGGAAACCUCAUUGAGAGUUGUUUGUUACAGUGGGGUAUAAAGAAGGUUUUAACCAUCAAUGCGGACAAUGCCUCUGCAAAUAAAGUGAAAAUUGACUGGGUUAGAUAUAAGAUGAAUAAAUGGAACAAUUCACAAGCUGUUUUGGGUGGGAAGUACUUAUAUGUGAGAUGUUGUGCUCACAUCACUAAUUCAAUUGUGUCUAGUGGGUUGAGGAAGCUGCAAAAAUCUGUUUUUGCAAUUAGGAAUGCUGUGAGGUAUGUGAGGUCAUCUCCAUAUAGAUUAUAUUAUUUUAAAACCUCUGUUGAGAAGGAGAAACGGACAUGCAAAGGUAUUGUAUGCAUGGAUGUCCCCACAAGAUGGAAUUCAACAUACAUAAUGUUGAAUGCAGCCUUGAAGUUUAAGAAGGCUUUUACUAGAAUGGCAAAGGAUUUGAACAACAUGGCUUAUUUCAAAGAACCAGAUGAAGAGUUGAUAACGAUGAUGUAGUUCAGACUAAUAGUAGGCAGUCUCGUUGGACCACUAACUGAUGUUGAUUGGGACAAUGUAGCAGUGUUUGUGAGGUUUUUGAAGGUGUUUUAUGAGAUGACCUUAAAGGUGAGUGCAUCUUUGCCCCCCACAGUUCAUAAAAUAUUUCAUGCAGUUAUAGCCAUGGAAAAGGAGAUUGACAAGUUGUUUGUGACACCUGAAAUUUCCAUUGGUUCAAAUGCAUAGAAAGUGUAAAAUGACAUGGCUGGAGUUAUGAGAACAAAAUACAAUAAGUACUUUUAUCAAAUAUCAGGAUUUGAACAUAUUGGUGUUGAUUGCACUUGUUUUGGAUCCAAGGUUCAAGUUGAGGCAUAUCACCCAUCUCUUUAAAAAGGAAAAAUUUGAUGGGGAUGAUGUGCAAAUGAAGACAAGAGAAGUGAAAUGAGUGUUAAUAGCCUUUAUUAUGAGUAUGUAGCAAAGGUAGAUGGUGGCAUUCACAUGAGACAGAAUUCUACCACCGAAAAUGUAGGAUCUGCAAGUGGUAGUAAUAAUAUCGUUGAAGAAAGUGUUGCUGGUGAUGAUUUUUUUGGAUGAUUGGAUUAGGGAGGUAGGAGAGAGUGAUGAGGCUGUAGUGUCACAUGAAGUUGAUUCUUACUUGGCUGAUCCUUUGGCUUUAGUUUUCAAAGAUAUAUUUUUUCACAUAUUGAUGUGGUGGAAACUCAUUGGGCCCAAGUAUCCUGUCUUAGCAGCAAUUGCCCAUAGAUGUCCUUUCAAUUCAAACUUCCACAGUGGCAUCUGAGAGUUGUUUUAGCACUGGUGAUAGAGUCAUAGAUGCAUUUGGGAGUUCAUUAACUCUUAGAUCAGUGGAAGCUUUGAUUUCAUGCAAAAUUGGUUGAGAGGGGAUGAAAUUUCAAGCUUGGAAGAUACACAUUUGAUUGAAGAAUUUGAAUUUUUUGAAACUAUUAAAUCAGGUAAAUUAUUUUAAAUAUUGUUUGUAAUUUGUAUUAGUUUGCAUUGAAUUCUAAAAGUUGUUUAUGUAAUUUGUAGAACAAGCAAAUGAUGGGGCUAUUUGAAUUGAAACCUCGAGCUGCAAAUUUAUUUGUGUUUGUAACUUUGUAAGCCAUAAUGUAUUGAACUGCAUAAUUUUAACCAUUUGAGUUUAUAAGCCAUAAAGCAUUGAAUUGCAUACGUUUAUGUUUAUCACUUCAUUUCAUGAAUUUCUUAAGAUCUAUUGAUCAUAAUUACAUAAGUUAUGUUGAUAUGAAUUGAUGAAUACGAGCAGGUAUUUGAUGAAUUUGCUGAAUUGUUGAAUUUGUUUAAUUGCUGGAUUAUGUUUCUGUUUUGUCAUUUAGUACCGAAAUGGUACUAUUAGCAGAACCGAUCGGCUGCGGUAUAGUUUGAUAUCAACUUCUGCAAAUGCCAAUCCCAUACUGUAUCAUACUGGUUGCAAUUUUUGAUACUAGUAUCGAGAAGUAGUCCAUACUGUACCAUACUGUAUCAUGCUCAGGCCUAAAUGAAAUUCAAAGUAACCUACCUUGCACCCUUUACAGAUGUUUUGUGUCUCACCUUACACAUCGUGGUUAAGUUGAUAAAAAAAUUCAUUAAAACACAAACGUGGCAUUAGUGAGACCCAUUUGUUAAAAUAUAUGACAUGUAAGUGUUGCAUGCACAAUUUUUUUAAAUAAUGGUUUAAAACAUCAGACAAACAAUGAAAAUAAAAAUUAUUUUGGAAUUCUUUAUUGUUUAAAACAAACAAUUAAAAAGUUCAUCAAUCACAUGAUUCCUACCAGAAAUCACCCAUUCCUCUCCUCCUCCUCCUCCUCCUUCGGCGAAAACCCAACAGACAUCACCACUACCCUCACACUAAAGCAAUUCUAGUAACAAGCAUCAUUCUUGCUCCAAUCUGCAACCACCCCACCUCCCAUUCCAACCACAAAAUUGAUUAUCCUACUCAACCUCAGCCCCCACCCUUUCUUUCUUAGCAUCUCCACUCAUCUAUUCCUCCACACAAAGGUAUCACACUAUGAAUGACUUGCCAUCAUCAAGGUUUUUCCCCAAAAUAGGGACUUGUCUUAUCUACAAAGUACAUCAUUGCAAUCUUUCUUAAUUUGUAAGGGUCCUUGGGAUAAGUUUGCAGUGAUCGCUCUUAAAAAAAGGAUAAAUAUGGGGACCUCCACUCUUCUACAAAUGAGAUUAUGAAUGCUUCCUCCGUUGAGAGCACCAUGGAACACUUAGGACAGUUGGCUUGAACCUUUGUAGCUUGCUUCUGCAUCUCUGGCCAAUAGUAGUCUUUGCGUUGUAGGCAACCCCAUGACAAAAGCUUCAUAUUUGGCUACAUUAUUUGUGCAAUAGAAGUUCAAUUUGAAUGAAAGAGUCUUGGCCUGUCCUUUGGGAUUAAUGACAACUACUCAUGCUCCUCUUCUGUUAGUAGUAGAAGAGCCAUCAAAGUAUAGAGUCCAAGGUUCCUCGUUUGUAGUAGUUCCUGCCAUCUUCAUUAACUCUCCUAUAACUAUUAGUAGUAUGCACUUAAAAGCUAACUAAUAUGAUAAUUAAUGUUAAGGACAUCUUUUGUAAUAACUUAUUAAGUUAUUCGUGGGUAAGGCCAGUUGUUUUCAACCAUGAUAUUUGGUAUAUUAUCAUAACAGUAAAACAAUUAUAGUCCUAGGAAAUAUAAGUGGACAUGAGAACUAUGUAAUGAGAUUGCAUGCAUCGAGACUUAUCAUGAUCCUAAUCCUAAACAUAUUCCUGGUCAUAGGAGUAUCAAUUGGGCGUUGAUAUUCUGUCAAGACUAGUACACAUAGUAUCUUCUCUCUAUGUAGAAAAUGAUGAGGUCUCAAGUCAUUAAGUGUAUCGACACCAAGAUAUGUGUGUAGGUGCUUGCAGGAGAACAAGUACACUGAAGCGGUCUAAUAUAUGAGUUCUAGAAUGGAAGUCUUUACUCACAUGUCAAACUAGAACUCAUAGAUUGCAAUAGUGCAAACUAAUCCUUGGACCUAAGACAUCAUAGAUGUCUUGUGGCUAUGUUGUUAGGCCAUCCCAAUGGUUGGGGCUCUAAAAAAGGUUGAUAAAACCUAGGGCUGUCUUUCGGCCGGAUCGGAUCAGAAACAACAAUUCCAAUUCCAAUCCAAUAUCUUUCGGAAUUCAAUAUAGAGUUCCGAUUCCGAUUCCGAAAAAGUUUGGAAAUUUUCGGAAGAUUCCGAUUCCGAAGCCCUUAACUGACAAAAAAAAUUUAAGAGAUUUAAAUGCCCAAACUAGCAUUUUGUAAAAAUCUCAACUAAACUUUAAUCAAGAAAACCCAGCUUAGGGGUUUAACAACUAGUCCAACAGGAACUUUACAGGCCCAAAUAGGUUGUACUUUUAAGUCCCUACACAAAAUGACUGAGUUUGAAGAUAUUUAUAAAGGACUAAACACCUGAAGUUUAUUCUUGCAGUCGAUAUGGGACUCCAAGAAGAAAUGGGAGUGCAACUUCUCUCUCCACUCUUUUCUUGAUUUCUACUUGGUUACUCAUCCAUCACUUCUCCUCUCUCUUCCGUUUCUUCCUUUCUAAUCCAUGAAUGCCAACCUUCAUUUUCUUUCUUACUUAAAACUCUUCAGAUAUGGAACAAUAUGUACGGAUCCCGUUAGGAAAAAAACAAAAACACUUCUCCAACCAAAAAAGAAAUCAUUCUUCAAUUCUUUAUCUCUACUGUUUCUUCUCUUGCAUUUUUAUUUUUCUGGGUUUGCACUAAAUCAUUUAUCCGAUGUAUAUGUUCUCCAUUGAAUCCUCAUUGGAGCUCUCUUCCCUUGUUGCAAUACCCCACACCAUCCAGAUUUUUUCUUUAUCAUUUAUUUUUCUGUUUCUGCACAAAUUCAUUACUUUUUUGGUAUUGAGAUGGAAUGAAAACCUUUAAUUAAGAAAGAAAUAAAAUCAAAGAAUGAGUUUUAAAAAUUUAGAAAUGUUUCCUUCUUUUUUUCGUCACUUCAAUUCAAUGUAGGAUUGGAAAAAAAACGCAGAUGAUUUUUUUUUAAAGUUAUAAUUGCCUUGGACCUCCUCUUUCUGAUUAUCCUUGGAACCUAUUAUAAUUGCCCAAGGCAUAGCUUAUUUUGAAAGUUAUAGCAUGUUUGAAUUCACCUUAUAUAUAUAUAUAUAACAAUCUAUUAUUUUAUAUACAACAAUCUAUAUAGUAUAUUGAUUAUUAAUCAAAGUAAUUUGUCCUACAUAUUAUAUAUUUAUAUUUUGUUCAUGUGAAUCAAAUUUUUUUGAUUCCAUGCUAAAGAUGGAUUCACAUUCAUCAAUUGAUGCUCAAGACUUAAGUUAUAGCCGAGUGACUAUCACAUUGGUUUUAGAUUCUAGUGGGUCAUGAACAUGUAUAAAGAGUGUUAGACGUUAAUCAUGCUCUAGACAAUUGUAAUACUACAAUUUUCAGGUUGGAAUACUACAAUUGUUAAAGCUCCAAUUAAUAUACGCACAUUAUAUGUGGUGUUUCAUGUAUAAAAUGAUUUUAUAAUUAAAAGUUUAAUUGAAGAUAGUUUAUAAUUUUAAAAAUACAUACAUAAAUAUAAAAUGCAAUAGUAUAAUACUUCCUACAUUUACCAUAUAUGUACAUAGUACUUAUGGAUAUAACAAGCACACAUAUGCACCUUUUUGUUAUAUUAAAUCAAGCAUAUUUGCCAAAGAUAUAUAUUGUCUUAAAGUUACAUACUACUAUGUUUAGUUUUUUUUUUUUUUUUUUUGUCAAGCCUAUAUUUAGUAUGUACAAAUAUUUGUAUGUGGGUACUAAAACUUAACAAAUAAGAAAUGAAACAUAUAUAAGACCUAUAAACUAAAAAUAAUGCAAUUAUACUUAGAAACUCGGAAUUUUUCGGAAAAAAAUUGGAAAAAUCGGAUCGGAAUGGAUUCGGAGAACUUCGGAAUUUUUCGGAUCGGAAUUUCGGAAUGUUCGGCAUUUAUCGGAAUUUUCGGAUUUCGGCAUUUUCGGAUAUCGGAUUUAUCGGAGUCGGAUUUUUUUGGAAAAAAUCGGACUGGAAUCGGUCGUAAUCGGAUUUUUCAAUCCAACUUACACCCCUAAUAAAACCCCAUUUAGAGCUCCGAUGGAAUCUUUAGGGCUCUAAAGGCAUCUCUCCCACAAUGGGAGGCCCUAUAUUCAUGGCGGGCUCUAUAUAUUUUUUUUAUGAUGUAAUUUGAUUUACGUAGUUUUUUUUUUGGUUUGUGGUUAAUUAUUUGACUUUAAUGUUUGUUCAUGUUAUUAUUAUUAUUAUUAUUAUUAUUAUUAUUAUUUAUUUUUUUUUUUUGUGUGUGAACAUUUCAACAACAAAAAAUUCAAAAUUUGGACACGAUUGGAAAUCAACAUUUUAUUUCAUAGAUACGAUACAAGAACAUGGUUAAAUUAAGACAAGAUGCACAACAUUUAUUUGGUGGUCCUCCAAAGUUGAAUAUGGGUCCAUUGCAUUAUAGCUUUCCACCCCUCUCUUAUCUACAUUGUCAUAUAAUAAUUGUGGUAGCAUGGUGAUAGCUGGAUAUGGGUCCCCUUCGUUAUGGCCUUCCAUACUUAUGCCAUUUACAUUUGUCAGAUAAUAAUGGUGGUAAAUGGAUAUGGGUCCCAUUUGUUGUGGCUUCAGAUAAAAAAUCUUAUCUCUUCAUAUUACAUCUUACAAUAACAUAAAAAAUCUUAUCUCUUCAUAUUACAUCUUACAAUAACCAUUGGAUCCAAUUACCUCAUAUGAAUCUCAUCCGUAUAUUUGUUAUCUCUUAAACCAUCAUAUCCUCUAUAAAUGAACAACCACCUCAUUUUCAUAACACACCAUCUCCCAACUCUUGUAUUCUCAGUAUUCAUUCAUCUACCACCGUACUAGAAUGGAUAACAAUGGAUAUGAUAGCUCUUCUAGUGAUGAGACAGGUGCCAACAUAAUGUUUUAGGAAAUGUUCGAAAGCUACCCAAGGAAAAAAGCAGCUAAGAAGAAAGAGAAGGCCUCGAUGGUUGUCUAUGGGGGUACAUUGUCACGACGACAUAUUAUACCAAGAGAUCGAGUAAGUGCCUAUAAAAAGCUUUUUCAAAAUUACUUCUCUAACCAUCCAUUGUAUCUCCCGUUAGAUUUUUGUAAUAGGUUUCGCAUGAGGCGUGAGUUGUUUAAUUGAAUAAUGGAACAAACUGUCCCUUCCGACGAUCACUUCAAACAAAAACUUGAUGCCACUGGAAAGCUUGGUUUCUCACCACAAGUGAAGAUGAUAGCCGCCUUGCAUAUGCUUGAUAUGGUACAUCAGCUGACCUCAAUGAUGAUUACUUGAAGAUAGCAGAGACCACAUUAUUUGAAGCUUGUAAGAGAUUUUGUCAUGCAAUCAACAACUUAUAUGGAGCUGAAUAUCUUCGUAAACCAACGAGGGCGGACAUACAAAAAUGCUCCAAAAAGCUGAGGAACGGGGGAUUCCUAGCAUGUUAGGAAGCAUUGACUACAUGCAUUGGAAGUGGAAAAACUGCCCAAUGUCACAAUGUGGGGCAUACACAGGCCACCAUGGUUGUCCAACCAUAAUCCUUGAAGCGGUUGCUUCUUACAACACAUGGAUUUGGCACGCCAACUUUGGAAUGCCGGGAGUAUUUAAUAACCUCAACGUACUAUACAAGUCACCCCUUUUGAUGAUGUCAUUCAAGGACGUGCUUCGCGGGUCCGAUAUUAUCUGAAUGAAAAAUAAUACAAGCAAUGGUACUAUCUUGCAGACGGAAUGUAUCCAAGUGGAACACAAUUGUCCAGUCAUUUUUGGAUCCUCAAGGACGACGACAUCAAUUAUUCUCUAAGAUGCAAGAGGCGUAUUGUAAGGAUGUGGAGAGAGCUUUUGGAAUUCUUCAAGGUCGUUUUGUAGUUGUCUCGAGGCCUGCCUGCCAAUGGUACCGAGAUGACAUUUGGGAGGUACUGAAGACUUGCGUAAUUAUUCAUAAUAUGAUUAUUGAAGAUGAGUGUGACCAAGACUACAUAACUCAUGUAGAGGACACACCAUAUCAUGUGGAGGAGGCUUUGGUGCCGCAUGAACGUGGAUCAUGCAAUAUAUAAAUAGAAUAUAUUAAUUGAAACAUAAUAAAUGAUCCAACCUCCGAUCUGAUAUCAUUCAACACUUGUGUGAGCAAUAUGAAACAUAACUUUAAUUGUUGUCUUUUUAAAUUUAGUGUUGUGUACUUAGCAUUCAAUAACUAAAUUGCAAUGUCCUUGCAAUUUAGAGUUGUGUAUUUAGAAUUCAAUAACUAAACUGCAAUGUCCUUGAAUUCAAUCAUUUCACUAAGUUAAACAAACCAGAAUAUUUUUAAAAUAAUAAAACAAAGUACAACGGAAUUUAAAUAAAACAAACUACAGCAUUCUUUAAAUUAAACAAACUACUAAACUAUUCUAGAAAUCAUCAUUUUCUGGGGGUUGGGGACGAUAGACUUCAUCCUCAAAGUUUAGCGAAUGGGAAGAACUCUUCGCGAUAAUAUUAGUUUGUUUCUGUUGGACCCAUCGCCUUCUCGCUGAAGUUUGGAUUGUGGUAGGUUUCCUUAAACAUAACCGUCAACUCUUUGUUCUCAAUCAUAUAAUCUUUGUAAGACCUCAUAAUAUCUUUGAGCUCUUUAUUAUCUUGAGAUGACUCUUCCACAACAGCCUUUCUUUUAGCUCCUUAGCGUUUUUGUGUCACAUAGGCCUUCACCGUGGGUUUGAAGUUUGUGGGAGUGCUUGAGUUUCUGGAACGGUUUCAUACGGUGAAUCAUCAUCUACAUAAAUGGAUUCACUCAUUGGAGAAUCGUUCACAAAGGGGGUGGAUUGGAACCCUUCAAAGGGUUGCCACUUAUGAGCAUAUUGGACAAUAUUCUAAUAGUGGUCAAAGAGGAAUGCUUUUUUGGUCCUCUCGAAAAAAAGUCAUUUUGCAUCAAUAAUCUACACAUAUUAUAUGCAAGAAUUUAAAAUAGUUGACAAAAUAUUAAGUUGGCAAAAUAAAUUAAUAAAUUAUAAAACUCACAUUGUCCAUUUCAAUUUGGCCACUCUUGUUUAAUCUUGCCACUUGAGUAAGACACUAGGAGAAUUUGUUGCACAUUUGAGAGAUGUUCGUCCAAUGCGAUUUCAAGCUUUUUGAUGACCUAACUUCCUGGGCAUCGAGAUGAAAUUGUAUGAAUUGAUCUCUUAUCCGAUUCUACAUCGUUCCAUUUGAUUAACAAUUCCCGAUAAUUAGAUCUUCACUAAUGAUUAUCUAAGCUUGGCAUAGAGCAACAUCUUCAUCAAUGAAGUAAUUUGCACCUUUUUGCUUAGAACCUUCAGCCAUUGGUAGAAAAGAGAUUAACAAAAACUUAAAUAAUUUUGUGAGUGAACAAAUUUGACUAAUUGAUCAAGAGUGAUAAAGGUUGUGAUGUGUAAAAAUUAUGAAAGAUAUGGUGGAUAUUUAUAGGAAGAAUUGAGUUGCAAAUUUAUUUAAUAUAUAUAUAUAUACAGUCCUGAUCUCUUAGACUACAGGGGUCCAAGAGAUUUGUGGUCACUCACCGUUGGAUGUAAAUUCAACGGUUCACUCACUCUUGCACUCCUUUUAAGAAACUUUUUUGAACUUUUAGAUUAAUAUCCAACGGUGGGUGACCACAAUCUCUUGGACUCCUGUGGUCCAAGAGAUCGGGACUGUAUAUAUAUAGCCAUUUAUAGCUGUUGGUCUCACUUGUAGUCAUUUAUAGCUGUUUAUAGCCGUUGGUUCCACAACUUUUGAAAAAGUGGGUCAGCAUGGUGGCAAGCAUGUUGUCGACAGAAGGAAAAAAAAAAAAGCAAGUAUGGCUUUCCACAGCCGCAAGGCAAGUGAGAGACAAAGUAUAUGGGCUACAACUUUUCUCCUUGCGGGACCCAUUAAGUUUCAAGGGUUUCAACCAAGCAUAUAGAUUUAGCUAGUGCUCCGGUUGGGCUUCAAGUUUUAGAGCCUUGAAUUUGCACCAUUGGGGAUGCUUUUUAAGGAAAAUUUCUAUUUAUGGGAGCCUUAUGGUGGUUGAGCCCUAAAUAGAGCCCCCAUUGGGGAUGACCUUAGUCUUUGAGGGCACUAUAUAGUUGUGUUGAUGAAUACAUGACCUAAAGAUAUUUAUCAGAAAUCUCAAUAAAGUCAUGGAUACAUGAAUGUACAACAAGGAACCUGUACUUAUAGUAAGGAGAGAGAAUACUCCAAGAAUAUGAUUGAUCAAAUCUGUGCACAGAGUUGGGGAUAAGAUUUGAAAAAAUAAAUUUUCAAAUCUUUUCAGGAUAAUCAUAUAAAAGAAUAAUUCACGUUAGGAUAUUCAACAUUAGAUUCCAUUAUCAAGUAAUGUGAAUAAGGAGUAUUGUAUAGGAGAACGAUUCAAUUGUGCGGUCAUUCCAAUUUGAAUAGGUUCUUUCCUACAUCCUAUUUAGCUCAAAUAACCAUGACAUGCUGCUAGGCGUCAACCAUGAUUUGUGGAAGUCCUAAAAGGUUCAAACAUAUUUGAACUUCACUAAUAGGAAGAAUUAAAUAGUGAUACUUAAUUCACAAAUUAACUCAGAGAAGUUGAGCCUACCCACUGCCUUGCUAAAAGGAACCUACGGAUCACACACCGAGAAAUGAGAUUAGAGGUACAAAUGAAGCAAAAAGAAAUUAGGAGUCAAAAGUCAAAGGUCAAAGUCAACAUUCAAGUCAAAGUCAACAUAUUUGACUGGAGCAAUUAACCAAGUCAAAUUAGUAAGACCAUAAUAGUAGUUUAAAAGUUAAAUUAUAUUUCAUAAUUAAAAGUUGAUUAUGAAAUUAACUUUGACAUGAAUAAUUAGGUUGGGCUUUUAAAUAUGAUUUAAAAGAAGAAUGACAAAACUUGUGCGCAUCUCCAUUUGGAUCUUGUGGACAACCUUCUUCUAUUAAACCAUGCAUAUCAUCGUCUUGCUCCAUACUGGCCACAUCAUGUCCAUCAUUGUCAUUGUCACUUUCAUCACUUUCAUCACUAUCCUCAUCCUCACCCUCACCAUGCAAAUACCAUGUAGUAUAAUUUAGUUUAAUUCCGUUAUAAAGAAGAUGCUUGUGUACCUCAUACCUUAGAUGUCUAUAUCUAUUACUGCAUUUAGAGCAAGGACAAAAGAUAUUAGAAUCAUCCGGCUUAACAUGGUUGUAUGCAUAAUUGAGAAAACUUUCAACUCUUGCAAAAUAAUCUUCUGACGACCUUCCAGAUUGCAUCCAAGAUUUAUCAAUAGGCAUUUCUCUGAAUAAAUAAGUUCUAGUUAAUAUUAAUAGAAUAAAUGACCAAAAAUUCAGAUAUUAAAACUAUAUCAAAAACAUCAAAAUCAAAGCCACAUUUAUUAUUGUAUCACUAUACUAGAGAACUGGCAUGUAAAAAAGCAGAGGCAUGUAAUUCUUUAAAAUCACGAAGCAGCCGAACAUAUGUAGGCACCAGGUCAGACCUAAAGUAUGGCAACAUCACAACAAUCAUCAAUUAGAACUCAAGUGACAAAUUCACAAACUAUCACUAAGAUAUUGGCUCACAUCAAAAUUACGUCAGAUGAAAAAUUAUAAAACUAAUAUAAUUUAUAGCUUACUCUCCAAAUAUUAUUGCACAAUCAAGCAAUUAGGCCCACCCAAAGGGCCAAAAGCAGCACUGCAAAUGGUCCCUAGUUUUUAUGCAUUUCCAUAUGUUGUAUAUGUGUGUUAUACAAGUUACUCAUGUUUUUUUUAAUUUAUGCAAAAGUUAGGAAGGGAGAAGAGAACAGUCUUUGAUUUACUUGCAAGUCAUAAGUGUACAUAUUCACAUAUCAACAAUUUGUACUCUACUGCCCAUCAUGCAUAUAAAAGAAGAGUAAAAAAAACCAUACCCAUCUCUCUCUCUCUCUCUCUCCCCUCGACCAGCUUCUGCUUUUUGCUGAGGAAACUAAAAAUUAUGCAGCCAGUAGAUUCAGUUAUAAAUUACAAUACCCAACUAAUACAACAUUCAAAAUAAGAGCCCAGCCACACCAAAAAUAAAAAUGAUUACCUUAGCUUCUGGACCUACAGCUUCACACAGCUCAUAUAAUUGAUUUGCAACCAUAUAACGAACGCGCCAAGACUUAUCCUGGUCAAAAGAACCAAGUUUACACGUAUAUUGGCAAGAGCACAUCAACAAACAAAAGGCGCUGGCUAUAGUCUGGAAUACCAUUCAGAAAUAUGAAUACCUGUGAAAAAUUAACAAUGACAGGAAGAAUAUGGGUCACACAAUCUUGAUCUGAAAACAUAAUCCUAAUCUGGCCCAACCCUCUACUGCCAAUAACCGAACAGAAUCCUGAUCUGAAAACAAAAGUGCUUAGAGACAAAUUCAUAUGCAAUACCAACGCUAAAUUUUGGUCAAAAACCUUGUUAAGUACUCAAAUUCAUUAGAUUUAUACUUCAUAUAUAAUAAACCAAAGCAAACAAAGGCACAUACCUGGAAGAUACUGGACAAAUAUGCUUUGGCCCUUGGGAUUGUAAGAAAUAUUGUGGAGAGGGUUUUAGCGUGUGAAGUUAUGUAGGUCUUUUUAUCUUUUACUCUUUUUGCUGCUGUUGAAGGUUGAAUACCAAUGAAAACUAUAAGGGUAAGCUAAAACUUUCAAAUGAAAAAAAAGAAAAGAAAAAAAGGGUAAGCUAAAACUAAUAUUAGUAUUCUAUAAAUAGAAUUUUGUAUUCUGCUUUUUUAUUGGUUAAAGAACUUUUGACUCUCAAAAUUUUAAUUUUAAUUUAUUUAUCCUCCAUCAUUUAAAGUCAUAAUUUUUAUGUAUACCCCCAAAUAAAAAGUCAAAGUUUUUCUCAAUUGUUCAUUCUUUAUCUUAUUUCCAAUGAGCGGGAGCAAUUUUUUUUGUAUCAUUGCAAAUCUUCUUUUAUUCUUUCAUAUAAAUCCCAGCACGAGCAGGAAACAAUCUAAACAGAUGGACCAAACAUUUUAGCUGUGGGUUAUAAUUAUCAUGUAUUUGUCAAGGGGGCGAAUGAUUUAUGUCCUCACAAAUCCAAAAAAAAAUAAUUGAAUUCCUUAACAUGGUGAUAUGAGAAACAAGACUAUUGACUUCAUGAAUUUGGAUUCAAUUGGCCUAAUUCGAAUUUGGAUCGUAAACAAAUUGGAUUGGAUUACGUUGGCCUAAAAUGCAAUAGUUAACACGUCAAUAGUUUUUUUAGUUUUUCAAAUACUCUUGAUCACAUGUUCUUCCGAUUGAUAAAGAUAUCAAAUUAUCAAAUAACAUAAAAAAGUUUGAUUUCCCUCAUCAUCAUAUCGAAAGAAUUAAGUGAAAUUACUAAUGUAAACGAAUUCAAUGUAACAUAAUGGAGUUGAAAUGUACAGCCGGAUAUAGAUAAUGUGAUCAACACUAAAAAAAUAUAGAUGUAGAUCAAUCUCAAAUAAUUUAAGGAAUUCAAUUAUUUAAGUACAAAUAAUAAAGAUUUGUCCGUUUCAACAGUAUUGAUUUCAUGAAUUUGGAGUCAAUUGGCCUAAUUCGAAUUUGGAUUGUAAACAAAUUGGAUUUGGAUUACAUUGGCCUAAAAUGCAAUACGAUAUCGAAUUUGAAUUUGAAUUAUCAUAUGUAACACAUCAAUGAUUUUUUUAGAUUUUCAAAUACUCUUGAUCACAUGUUCUUCCGAUUGAUCAACAUAUUUAAACUUGAUCAAGUUUAAAACAGACUCUCUCGUACUAUAAGACCAUCAAUUUUAGCUUGAUCAUUCCUUUUGUUUUAUCAUUGAAUAUGUAACAUAAUGGAGUUGAAACGUACACUCAGGUAUAGAUAAUAUGAUCAAUACUAAAAAACAUAGAUGCCUUUACCAAUCUCAAAUAAUUUAAGGAAUUCAAUUAUUUAAGUACAAAUGAGUAUGGACUUGUAACUGAAUCAAGAUGGUGCCUAACGAGUUGCUUGCACUGUUUACCAAGAUCCUUUAUAAAGCGAGUGUACGCCUACCUAAGAGCAGCAUGAAAACCAAUAUAUCCAUCCAUAUUUCCUGAUUUCCUCCCACCUAUACAGUGAACAAGCACCGCAAAGGUUUUAUUAUCAGAAUUGAAUACUACCAGCCCCAUAAAACUAUAGAUGUACAUCGUUAUUGUCAUAAGUUGGAGAUUACAUAAAAAAGAAAUCAGGGGGAAACGUAUAUUUGACAAUUACUAAUCUCAAAUGUGAUCAAGUUUCAAAGCCCUUUCUUUUAUUUUCUUUAAUUAAUUAAUUAAUUAAACAAAUCAGCAAUUAACUCCCGCUUGCCCAAAAAAAGUGGGGGAAAGCCCAAAUUAAUUAUUUGUUUGCCGCUCAAGCCUCUUUUUUAAUUUAGGUUUUUUGCUAACCUUAACAGUUAUCAGUUUUCAACAACAGCCACAAAAGAGAAAAAAAAUCUCCCAUACGUCUUCUCCCUAAACUCUAUUCUCCUCAGUAAUAUCAAGGAAGCCAUUGAGCCAUACAGGUAACCUACUACAUUUUUGCUAAUAUCCAUGUAUUGUUAUAGAUAUAGAAAACGUCAACUCAUGCUUCACGUCGUACCGGCUCAUGUAGAGGUUAUUAUAGAUCUUUAGCAUCUUUAAAGAUUGUUAUAGAUAUAGAGAAAUGGGAAUUGAUAUAGAAAAUUGGGUACUGGGUAUUAGCAUACCUUUAGCAAAUUGUUUGAACGGACAGCAAUUUCCUCUUUCGAAAGAGGAAAUUAUCUAUGGCAGCCUUUAGCAUACCAUUAGCAAAUUGUUUGAACGGACAACAAUUUCCUCUUUCAAAAGAGGAAAUUAUCUACGGCAGCCUUUAGCAUACCUUUAGCAAAUUGUCUUCCAGAAAGAUAGAAAUCAAUACCCAUGUAUGGUUAAAUUAUCAACGUCUAGGCAUGUAUUGUUAUAGAUAUACCAAUAUUGGAAUGCAUUAUUGUGAUAAGGAAUCAGGACCCAUGCUAAUACCCAUAGGGCAUGUUUGGGAAGCUUCACUGGACUGGACUGUGUUAAAUAACACUUGAAACUCAUGUUUGGUAAGGAAAGGGACUAACUUAAAUGAGAUUAUAUAGUCCAACAGUAAAAAAAAUUGCCUCACUCGCUCUUCCAAUUUAGCGAGCUUGAAACAUGGCUCGCAAAAUAGCGAGCUCGCAAAACAGAAUACUCGAGUCCAAGGCGAAACCAAUUUCUUCUUCUUCACCUAGACACGAGUCUGGGCAACGAACUCCGAGUCCUUCACUUCCGAGCUCAAGUUCAUCAAAAAGGCUUGAAACCCAGUAAUUGCCUUGAGAUCUUGCUGCUGCUGAUGGUCGUUGAAAUAGUCCGAGGUUUCGUCUUACAUGUGGGUUGGGGACGACGAGUCUUGGGGUCUCUGUUUGGAUAUAAUAAUAGAAGCCAUGAUUCAUUGAAUUGGUGCAAGGUCGAAGCAGCCAUGGCAGACACAAAGAAUGGAGAAGAUGAUGGCGAGGCAUGAGAUUUAGUUUGAAUUGUUCAUCAUAUGAACAAAUUGAGUAAAUGAAAAGUGAUUAGGAAGAAAAUUAGAGAAAGAAUUGAUGAAAUUUGUGAGAGAAUCACAACUGAAGAGUGUUUUGCAGGGAAGAAAAUUUGAGAAAAAGCUAAAAAGAGGGAGGAUCAAAAGUUAUGAGGUGUUCAAUGAGAAGUUUGAUUGGAAAGUUUGCACGGUUUUUUUUUAAUACAUAAAAACAUCCGAAGUUAAAUCUGUGAAGUUUGCAUAUCUUGUGCUGGGACUUCGGGUUUGUCAGCCUUUGAGAAAUAGAAGAAGAAGGGAACAAAAAACAAAAAAAACAAAAACGAAAACUCUGAUGAUUAGCACAUGCAGUUGAGAUCAAGCAAAAAUGCCAUAAUUUUUAUUUAAUAAAUUAUAUAUUUUUCAUUAUUUAUGAUAAUUUAGCCUAAAAAAAAAAUCAAGUUUUUAUUUGUUUUAAAUCUUUUUUUAGAACAUAAAUUAGCAAAAAUACACUUGAAAAAUAUGUAAAUAAUUAUUUUUUAGUCCGACAGAGCACCAAACGUAGGUCUUCACUAUUUGUACAAUCCAGCUUCAUAGUCCGAUGCAGCACCAAACGCAGGUCAGUAUUUAAUCCAGCUUAGUCCAAUCCAAGCUAAUCCAAGACAGUCCCAAGAUUUAGUCCAGUCCAUAACAGUCCGCCGUACCAAACGACCCCAUAAAGUUUGAUUUUAUGGCUGCUGUUUCAUGCAUAGGUAGCUGCAGCAGAGUGCAAGUGUUUUUGGUUUGGCAGCUUUUAAUUUGUUUCUGCAAGUGUUUGUGUGUGUGGAUUUGUUUGUUUUGGUUUGGAGGGUUACAUAUAAACAAAUUUGUCGUUAAACUCGAAAUAAGGUCAUAUUCGUCAUCAUCAUUAUGUCUCAAAUGUUGUAGAUAUAAAAAAGAGCUAUAUGCCCAAUAAUACAAAGCAGCAGAUAUACACGUACACACCUUUUCUUUAUCAAAUGAUAUGGGUUCUUUUGAUUUAUGUUUGUUUUUAAUUAUGACAAAUCAAACAUGCCAUGACAUGGGUUCUUUAUGUUUGAUUUAUGUUUCUUUAUUAAGAUACUAUUUUUUAUUUAUGUUUGUUUUUAAUUAUGACAUGGGUUCUUUUGUGAUUAUAAAUGGCAGCCAUGGCAAAAAAGAAAAAGAGCAAUAAUAGAGCAUCACAUGAUCGCGAAAUGCAAGAGACAAAUCAAACAUGUAUGAGUUAUUUGCGUGUUAUUAUCGAUUAAAUUCUUGUUUCUAUUAUUAUUUUUAGUUGUAUUUCGAUUAUGUGAGUUUUUAAUUUUUUUAAUUAUGUUUUGUGUUUGUAUUUCUCUUACAAAUGAUAGCCGUGGCAAGAAAGGGAAAGAGUCAAGAUAGAGCAUCAGGCACUGCACAUCCUCAGUUAUCUAGACUCUCAUUCGAUCGCCAUAUUCCCAAUGAGUCAUCACAUGAUAACGAAAUGCAAGAAACAUGUAUGAUUUAUUUUGAAUUUUUUUUGUAUAUAUGUAUUUCAAUUAUAUGAUUAGUUCUCAAUUAAUUUCUAAUUUUUUUCUCUAUUAUAAAUUGUAGUCAGGGCAAGAAAGCGAAAGAAUCAGAAUAGAGCAUCUGACAUUACACAUCCUCAGUCAUCUAGACCUUCCUUAGACCAACAUGAUGACCUCAUUGAGCCAUCACAUGAUAAUGAAAUGGAAGACAUGCCUCUUGAAACUGAACCAUCAAAUAGAGAAGGUAAUUUUUUAUACAUAUUUCAUUGAUUCGCACUGAAAAAUUGGUUGUAGUAGAAGUUCCCCAGUACUUCAAAUAUUUGUAUUUUUUUUUUAUUAGGCUCAACUAUUGGAAUAAAAAAAGGUAGAGGGAAGGCUAAGGGUAAAGAUGGAAACGGCACUCCAAUUCUAAUACGUAGAGGAAGAUAAUAUAUAAGGCCUGCAAAGUUAGUCAUUUCUUGUGUAGAUUUAUUUUUAUUUAUUUAUUUAAAUUUGGUUUAAAUUUUCAAGAUAUAACCACUGGAGCUGUGCAAACUAUAAUAGUACUUUUUUAUCAGGCUAUCAAUGAAGCAUGGCCAACAUUUAAAACAUUUCCAUCAACUCAAAUGGAUUUACUGUAUAAUCGCUUUAACGCAACAGGAUACACAUACACAUGCUCAGAGGAAGAGAUGAGGAAGGCAUUCGAACAACAUAUUAAAUUGCGAUAUUCUUAUUGGAUGUCCGCAUUGAGAAAUAGCGUUUUUAAGAAAUACAAGACUGCUGGUGAUAGAUACACUCAUUGCCCAUUAGGGAUAUUUUAAGAUGUUUGGUCUAAACUGGUUGAUCAUUGGUUGCAGCCUACAUGGCAGGUAAAAACUCAAUUUAAAAUAAUAUUGUUAUGACUGGCUAGUGUAUGCUUUAGUUUAUUUAUAAAUGCCUUAUAUGGGUUCACUAAAUUGAUAUUCGAUUAUGAUUUACUUUUUUCAUGCAGGAUAAAAGUAAAAGGAACAAGUCUAAUAGGGCGAAAUCCACAAUUGUGCAUACCACAAGUUCUGUUCCAAUGGAAAAGUACAGAAAAGAUGAGAUAAAAAUAUCUAUUUGGUUGUUGCUUUUUGUUGACUGUUCCUUUUGUGGUUAUUUCCAAAAUUGGUCCUAACAAACUUCAUUGUUUAAAUCUUAAUAGCUUGAUCGAACUGGAAUUGAAUCGAGUCCAAUUGAUUGUUUCAAAAAUUUCCAUGUAAGUAAGCCUAAGAACGGAGGAGAAGAAAGUUGGGCAAGUGAAAAGGCUAAAGAACUUUUUGUACGUUGCCCUUACUUUGUUUCUCCUUUUUUUUAAAAAUAAAAUUUUAUUCACAUGACAUUUUUUUAUAUCCAUGUUUAUAUUUCUACUAUUUCAUUGAAGGAAAAAAUGGAGAAUAAAAAGGUUGCUGCAAUGGAAGACGAGAAUGAAGUAGAUGAUUGGGAUAUAUGCAAGGAGGUUAUUGGUAGGCCAAGUCACGGUCGUAUCCUUGACCUAGGUGAUGGCUAUAGUACAAAAGAUGUGUAUCCCUCAAAUGACCAAGGUUGUAAUAAACGUAUAUGCUUAAAACGUGAAGAAAAGCAUGAGAAAUUAAAGGAGGAAGUGAAGGACUUGAAAAGUGUGCUGUAUGAAUUGAACGAUCUAGUUCAAAAUAUAAGGGAAAACAACUCAAAUACUUAUGCACGCUCAAGACAAUCUGCUCCAAUAGUGAACUCUUUUCUUCUCAUUUCAAUAUUUUGCUCAUUGUUAAAUAUUGUAUUUGUUAUUUUUAUUCUUAAACGAUUUAUGUCUUAUUAAUUAUUAUCUUUUAUUUGACAGAACAAUGUAGAAAGUUGUUCAAAUGCUCACCUCGAAGACGAGUAGUGCAACAUCAAUUGUAUUUUGCUACAAUAUGUAUUUUGAAUUUCAAGGUUCUGAUAUAUUUGCGGAAUGCUUAUAUGUUUUAAGUAUGAUGGGGAUUGUUUAUGUUUUAACUAUUUAGAAUAAUUUUAAUUGAACGCUUAAAAUUUUAGUACAGUAUGGUGUCGUAUGAUUUUUUUUUUUAUAUUACAAAUUAAAAACGGAUGAUUAGAAAACUAUUUAUAGCAAAUAUUAUAAUUUAAAUUUCUUUUUAUUAAUUUUUUUUAUAAAAUAAUUACAUUUUUCGACCGCAUUUCUCUCUCGGUAAUGCAUAUUUCCAACAAAAACUUUAUCAUUGGAAAUACUUUCCGACAAUAAUUGCCUGUUAACGACAACAUUCCCCACGACAUAAUCGGGUCGAAACAAUUAUAUUUUCAACCACUUCUUCGUCGAAAAUAUUUUCCGACAGGAUUAAUCUAUUUGCGACAAACUUUGCGACAAAUAAAUGUGGUUGGAAAUAUAUAUUUCCGAGGUAACUUGCUCAUCGAAAAUAUUUUGUUAUACUCUUUUUCGACAAGCUAUUAUAUAUUUUCCACAAACUCUUUUGGUCGGUAAUGAUAAUUGCGACGAAAUCUAGCCCUCACAAAUAAUAUAUCAUUGUCGGAAAACAUAUUUCUGAUGACACUCAUUGGUUGAAAAUAUGAAUUCGCAAAAACAAGAAAUCACGAUAAAAGAACUAUUUUCGACAAUCAAAUAAGUAAUUACAACCACAAAUACGGUCAGAAAUAAAUAUGUUGGAUCGUUUAAAAAAUCCAUUUCCGAUAGAAAUUUAAGCAAUAGCUACGAAGCAUGGGCGUCGGAAAUACAUUAUUUCUGACGGAAUGAUCGGAAAUGAAGUAUUUGCAACCGGUCUUUUAGCGACGACUUCCGACGGACUUUUGCCAUCGAAAAAGGGUAUUUGCGAUGGCAAAAGGCUUUUUGCAACGACAAAAUGCCCUUGCAAAAGAGCUUCUCUUUUGUAUUGUCUCCCGACGACCGGUGAAUCUACAUUUACUGAGUAUUACUGGGAAUGGCUUGAAGAUGUGCUGAGUAGAAAUACCCAGGUUCUUAAGAGUGCCCCUUCUAUAUAAUGCAGUGUUUGCCUCGUUAUUUAGCUAUGAUCGACAGGCUCCAAUCAUCCAAGCCUUUUGCGAGUACUGGUGUCCUGCAACAAAUACUUUUCAUACGUCGCAAUGAGAAAUGUCUAUCUCCCUUUGGGAUCUUCAUGAAAUCGGCGGUCUCCCCAUUAUAGGUCAAUUUUAUGAUGAGGUCAUUCCAACCAUUGAGAGUCUCAACAGGAAAGACCAUAAAGACGUGUCUUAUAUCCCCCACGUUUGUCACUACUUGUUCUUAGCAUACCACAAAAUUUUAUGGGACUCUAAAAGAAAAUCUGGAGUGAGAAUGACUUCUUGGAUAAAGAACUGGUAUCGAGGGCCAUUUAAGUACCAAAAUUCUUCGAGGAAAACCAUACGGAACAAGUCACAAAAGCCAAAGGAAGACUUUGAUUUGUCUAGUACCAUUUCAGUGGCCCUGAAACGCGCUGAGGAAGAGGAAGGGGUUUUGAAGAUUUGGGUAUAACUGAUGAAGAAAAGAUCAUACUUGACUGCUUUCCUUGCUUGCUGGUUAUGCAAAUUUGUAUUUCCCAAAGACGACGUCACUUUGACCAGACCAGGUGUUUUCAAAGUUGCUGGUUGAAUGGCACACUGUGUAUCAUUUGGCCUAGCAAUUCCAGUAUUGGCUAGUAUUUACAAAUGGUUGAACGAUAUUUCUAGCACAGAUGAUCCAGGAAAUUGCACAACUGUUCUUCCUUUCCAUUAUGUGUAUGGGUGGUUGGGCUAAUAUUUCGACACACACUUUGCAUCAUCUUCCGAGAAGUCUAUUCCUAUCAUGACAAGGUUCUCAAGAAAACUUUCGGCGAAAUUUUUUGAAGAUUCAACAACUCGAGCUUUGUUUCGGACUUGUGGUAAAGUGGAAAUGAGCCAUCUAGCAAGAGUGUUUUCAGAGUGCAAACGACUGACUGAUGAAGAUCAUAUUUCUAAAGAAGACUAUGUGUAUUUGAUAUGCCUUCAUUCAGGAUACGUUUCUCUACGACAGGAAAACUACCGAGUCAUCUAACCUUAUAGCCCACACCGGUUCAGUAGACAGUUCUACUAUGUAUAACAUGUGCCAGGAGAACUUAAAGAUGACAUUCGGAAUGGGACUGUACUAUCAGUGUAUUCACAUUGGAAGUCAUGCUUAAAUGUUGGCAGUGCAUCUACAAUAACCCUACCCACUAAGGACAAAUAUCCGGGAAUUUGAGGUCACAUCCUAUUAUGUUGUUUGGUGGUCAAAAGUGCAUCGCUUUGAGUCAACGAAGUCAAAGACAGUCUCAACUGUAGGCAAGUCGUCGUCGCCAUCUCAGCUAAAAUAUUUUAAGUCUCAAGGCAACAAAACUUUGGUUCAUGAUAAACUCAUACGUGAUAGAGCACACAGAGUUCAUCCAGAAGUUGAAGGUAGUUCUACUACUCCCACGCCUCGAGUUCAACAUCCAUCUCCAGUUGAUGUUCCUUCAAUUCGGGUCCCUAAUGAUAAAGGCGAAACAGAAAGUGUAGCAGAUUCUUAGGAAGAUUUCAUUCCCCUCGGUCGACGAAUUCGCAAUUUGAAGCGAGGUUAUAUAAGCAGCAAUGAAGACAGUGAAGUCAACUUUAUGCAUAAGAAGACAAGUGUUGAACCUCUCUAUUGUGAUCUGGACAUGGCAUACCCAAUUGAUGACACAUUUUUUUUGUGAUGUGCCCGCUGUUUCACAAUCAGUUCUAAUGAACGAGGUACGUAUUUUGUUUCGCUUUGAGCCUCCUUAUUAUUAUUAUUAUUAUUAUAUUAUAUAUAUAUAUAAAUUAAUUAAUUAAUUAUAUAUAUUUUAGGGAGAAGUAGUACAUCAUGUUCCUACUGUGUCCAAGCUUGUGUCAUUUAACCGUUUGCUUAUCGAAGGGGAAAAUGAUACUUUGCACCCGAUAAGUGGUUCAGUGUUAGCCUAAAAUGUAUGAUUCAAAUCUUUAUUGCGUUCUGUGUUUAGAAAUCUUUGAGUAUACUUGCUUAACUAUUAUUCGUCGGUCAAUGUAGGUUCGCUUGCGCAGCAACAUUUAUUAAAGCUGGCUAAUCAUGCAUCAACCUCUGAAAUGUCAUGUGGGGAACCUAAAUUAGGUGUUGCAGACAAAACCCUUCGCAAAGUAGUUUCCAUUUUAGGAAACCAAAUAAAAAAAUCUUGAAUGCUUCAUUAGAAAGGCAUCCUUCAUUCAAAGAUGAACUUGGCAAGUUGUUGACUACCCUUGACAAUGUGGGGGCAGACGUCUCAUCUUUACGAGCUAUGAUCGAUGCACUUAAGGUGACCGUAGUUGACUAUUAUUUUGCACACUCUACUUACUCCCAAAAGCUGUCUCUCAAGGCUCAAAGUGAUCGUUUAGCUGUUGUUGACUCUUCACUUUCUAUUGUCUUGGCUCUGCAACAAGUUGAAGAGGUUAAUCAAUUUUCCAUACUGUUUACUAAAUCUGCCAACAAGCGUAUGGAAGAGUUGAAGAAAGAACAAGAACAAUUGGAGUUAAGACUGUGUCAACUAAACGAAUCACUUUCUGAGAGUAAUGCACAGCUUUCUUUUCAUCAUGGUGAGGUUACCCGCUUGAGAUUGCAGUCGAAGGAGCUCCCGUAUUAUUCGCUGCGGAUGCUGAGACUUUAGAUGCAUUACGAGUUUCAUUUGAGAGAUUGCGUAACAGCUUCAAGGACUUGUACUGGGAAUAGCAAAUUUUUGUUGUUGUUGUAAACUUUCUUUGCUUCAUUUAUAUUUCUCUUCGAACUUGUCAAAGUGUUGAUGUUUGAUAGUUAACUUUCAUAAUGAAAUAAAAGCAUUUUCUUAUUUCAUUAUUUCUUUCGAAUGGUUCGGAUUGAUGAGGAAACCCUUUUAUUUUUAUUUUGAUGUGACUGAACUUGGAAUUAUUUGUCCAAGCUGCCUAUGUACCCUUGAUGAAAAGGGAUCAAAUCAUCAUGUAGUUCAAGGGAAUUUUUUUUGUGUGUCCUAACUUUUGCUUGGGAUGCCCUUUCGGGUUUUCAGCUCAACGAACUUUCUUAUGCUCUAACUUUUGCUUGGAUCGCCCUUUCGGGUUUUCAAUCCAACGAGUCACUUUUUUUUUUUGUUUUUUUUGGUGCCGUACGCAGUUUAGGCUUACGUGGGCCAGGAUCUUGUAGUGACUUCAUGCAUAGUGUCGUUUCAAGAACUUUCUGUUGAUAGGGCCGACUCUUAAACUAUCCUCGGCUAUGAUCUUGUAAGCGCCAUUUGUGUAUACUUCUUGUACUACGUAGGGCCCAUCCCAUUUUGAAAUAAACUUGCUUAUGGUAUUGUGUGUUGUGAUGAUAGGUCUAUGUAAUGCUAGGACGAGAUCGCCUACCUGAAAAGAUCUGGGGCGGACUUUCUUAUUAAAAGCAUUCGAAAACUGAGCUUGAUAACACUCUAAUCGUUGUUACGCUUUGAGUCUCUUUUCGUCUAGUGCUUCUAAUUCUUGGAUAUGCAACUUCGCAUUCUCUUCAUCAGUCAAUCUCUCUUGUACGGCCAUCCUUAAUUAUGGGAUUUGACUUUUUAGAAACAAGACUGCUUCCACGCCAUAUACAAGCGAGUACGGUGUAGACUGAGUAAGCGUCUGGUAUGUCGUCUGAUAAGCCCAUAAUGCUUCAUCUAUCCUUUCAUGCCAAUCUCUCUUAGUUCUCCCAACAACUUUCUUCAACAGAUUACAAAGAGUUUUGUUGAACGCUUCUGCAAGACCGUUGGCUAGAGCAUUGUACAUUGAAGAGUUGCGUUGCUUGAAACCAAAAUCUUCACAGAAUUUAUCCAUUAACCGGUUCGAGAAUGGCUUUCCAUUAUCUGUGAUGAUGUAACGUGGUACACCAUACCGAUGAAUGAUGUUUACUUUGAUAAAGCUCACUACAUUUUCUUUCUUCUCUUCCUUUACAGGUACAGCUUCUGCCCAUUUUAAAAAGUAGUAUGUGGAUGCAAGGAUGUAAAAAUGAUCGUCGGAAGAUUUGGGUGCAAUCGGUCCUACCACAUCAAGACCCCACACAUCAAAUGGACAUGAAGUAAUUGUAGGAUGUAGCGGCUCCAGCGGCUGGUGUAUAAAGUUAGCAUGAAAUUGAUAUGCCUGACAUUUCUUCACAUAAUCCAUGCAAUCCUUGACUAUAGUCGGCCAAUAGUAGCCCAUCCUCUUUAUUUGGAAAUAUAGCUUUGGCCCUGAUUGAUGAGCUCCACAAAUACCUGAGUGAGCCUCCUCUAUCGCUUUGGAUGCAUCUUCUUCAGCCAAGCAUCUUAGAAACACGUCUUCGAAUGAACGACGGUAAAGAAUUUCUUUGUAUAAAAUGAAUCAAGGUGCCCGACGUCGUACCUCUAAUCGAUGUCUCGAAUCAUCUGGUAGUUUCCCAUGCUUAAGAUAAUCAAUUAAAGGUUGUCUCCAAUUGUCAAUGUCAAUUGACAAUACUGAGAUAACGUUGACUCCUUCUUGCGAUGCCCCGAGUGUUAAUGAAACGACCCAACGUUGGCAAACUGGAAGAUUCACCACUACAUCUUUUGUCAACACCAACGUAGUGGCAAGAUUGGCCAAGGUAUCUGCUAUAUGGUUAUCUUUUCUUGGCAUAUGUUCCAGCGUCACGAAGUCAAACUUUUCAAGUAACUGCGUGCUCAUUUGGUGGUAUCGAAUCAGAUCAUCCUUCCUAACCUCGUAAUGGGUCAACAGCUGGUUGAUCACUAACAUAAAGUCACCAUACACUUCUAAGCUUGAUAUCUUCAUCUUCACAGUCAUUUGUAAGCCCAUGAUUAAAGAACAUCAUCCAAGCAUAAGAAACAUCAGCGAAGAAGACUUGUUCGUUGGGUAAGUCAUCUGAAAUUUCCUAGUCUGCUGGAAUUGGAUGAUCGGCUAGGAAGUCUGCAACAGCUUGACCGUUAACCGCUUUUACUGGAGUGUAGAUGAUUUCAUAUUGAUUGAGAAGUAACGCCCACUUGGCCAAACGCCCCGUCAAGACUGGUUUUGUCAUAAUGUACCUCACCGGGUCAGCUCGUGCAAUUAGAUGAAUUGUGAAGUGCCUUAACUUUUGAAUAGCAAAAAUAAGUGCAAGACACGUCUUUUCUAUAGGCGUAUAGUUUAGUUCGAGACCAAUAACAGUUCGGCUUACACUACUACAAAAAAGCAAAAAGACGACGGUAAAUCACCGUCGUGUAUUGGGUUUUUCAAUGGUCGUGGAAUCCACCGUCAUCUUUUCCCUCAUAAACCACGACGCUAAAUAACCGUCGUUGUUAAAAUAUACAACGUCAUCAACAAAUACAAAACGACGUCUUUGUACUGCAAAAAGAUCUAAAAAAAGCAAUCGAGGAUGAUAAUAGACGACCAACUCUCUAAAAAAACGGUCGUUAAAAAGGAAAAAUAUGACACAGAACAAGGCCGCAAGAUAGACAUACAACGACGAAAAUACAAAUACGACGACGUUAAAUAUAAUUUUCACGACAAUAAAAAAUAUGACGUCUUUAAAUACAUUAGAAGACGACGUUAUUGAUACCUACUACGUCGCAUAUAUAAAAACAACCGUCGUAAAAUUAAUUUUCCACUUCGAUUUUUUGAUAAAAGAUGACGUGGAAAUAGUUGUUAGUGUCAUUAUUUACGACGUAUAUGUUUAUAGAGUAGACGUUGAAAAACUAAACAACGUCGGUUACAAAUAUAUGAGAGUCGUAUUACAAAAUUUAUACGUCCUAUUUUCAGAAACAAACAACGACGAUAAAUAUUAGACGUUGUUAAAUAAAACAACGUCGGAAAAAAAUAAAAACAGACGUGUUUAGUUUGCUAAAGUUCUAGAAAAUAGUCGAGGAUGAGAAUAGACGACCAACUCAAAAAAAUCACCGUCGUUAAAAAGGAAAAAUAUGACACAUAUUAAAAGAACAAGGCCGCAAGAUAUAUAUACAACGACGACAACUAAAAUACUACGCCGUUAAAUAUAAUUUACACGACAAGAAAAAAUAUGACGUCUUUAAAUACAUGAGAAGACGACGUUAUUGAAAUCUACUACGUCUCUUAUUUACAAAAAACCGUCGUGAAAUAAAUUUUCCACUUCGAUUUUUCUAAAAAAUAUGACGUGGAAAUAGUUGUCAGUGUCAUUAUUUACGACGUAUACAUUUAUAUAGUCGACGUUGUAUUUAUAUGUAUUCAUUACUCACGACGCACUUAAUAAUAUAGACGACGUUGAACUUCUAAACAACGUCGGUUCCAAAUAAAUGAGAGCCGUAUUACAAAUAACGUCGUUUAAUUGUUAUUAGACGGCGGUUAUAAUGAAUUUCCGUCGGAAUUCAUUUCGUUCCUCUUCGUUUAUAAAAGAACUUGCGACGUGAAAAAUGUAUGAUGACGUCGUAUUUUUUAACGUUCAGAUUAUAUAUCUCGUUUUUUAGACGUCGGUAUUAUGGGAUUGGAGUCGUGUUAUUCUGAAUUACAUGGCGGUUCUUAAUCCUUCACCGACGUGAUAUCCUGAAUAAUUGCUUCACAAUAGCGUCGUGGUUCUUCAUUGUUACGUUGCUUUAAGACGUCGGUAAAUAUGCUGAAUAACUGAUUCACAAUAACGUCGUGUUUUAUUUGAACGUAGAAAGUGAAGAAAUCGCAUUACAAUAUAUUACAAAAUUAAUGUCAUACACUGCCAAUUACAUAAGCAUCAUUCAAUCCAUAUAUCUUCACACCCAUCUCGAAUAUUUUGACCGCCUAACUCACCUACCAGUUCAUCAAAUGUGUCAAUAUUUGGCAUCCCUCUAGUAAAUGGCUCACACUCAAUUAUCACAUCACCUAAGACUUCAUCACCAAUAACAUCAUUAUAUUCUCUAUUAGGCAUUGAUAACACUACCGACCAACCACGAUGCAUCGGGUCGUCAACAAAAAAUAUUUGUUUGACUUGAGAAGCCAAAACAAAUUGGUCAUUCCUAUGUCCAAUUUUACUCAAAUCUACAAGGGUAAAUCCAAGUUCGUCGACUACAAGACCAGAACUAUCUAUCCAAUCACACCUAAAGACUGGGAUUGUAAACUUUUGGUAGUCAAGGUCCCAAAUUUCUUGAAUGACACCAUAGAAACCCAUAUUUGAGAGAAUUGGGUUUUUAUCCUUGGCACUAGCAACUUGCAUGGUAUGUGCAAGUAAAUAAACUCCACUAUUUUGAGUUGUCCGCACAUCAUCUUGUGCCUUGAUAUUGAAUUUAAUACCUUUAAUAAGAUAGCUCCUAUAUAAUGGCACUGACAUGUUUGGACCAGCUGCUAGCCACCUUAAAUUUUCUGAUACGCCAUGAUUGUCUUCCUCAAGUUCACUUUGAACCUGCAAAUUAAUCAUAUCUUAAUUCAAUCUAACAUAUAAAUAAGAAGAAAAUUAAAAGAGAAAUAUGUUAUUCAACAACAUAUACCUUGAAGCGUAGCCAUUGAAUGAAAGUGCUAUUGUGCUUAUCCUGCAGCCACUUUGUUCUCUUUCUAAAUUUUGGAUAAGCAGUCUUGAUGUGAAUCAUAUGUUGCCUACAUGACACGAAAAAUUCAAGCAUUACGGUCCUAAAUAUAGAAGAUAAACAUAAGAAAUAAUUUAAAAUGGAAACUUAAAGAAUAAAGCUCAUACGUACUCGAUAUAAGGUAGGACUUCCUCCGUAUUCUCCAAGACAUAUAGAUGUGCUUGAUUCAACAGGUCCUGAUCAACUACGCUCACUGUGCAACCUGAUAAUGGCUUUGAAAGUCCCAUCUUUUGGCUUGAAGGCACUCCAACUGUACUAACAUCAGAUAAAUGCUGAGUACAACACUAUUUUCCGUCGUUGUACAUUAAUUUAAUACGGCGACAUUUUGUAUUUUAAAGCCGUGGAUUUGUUUGUAAUUAUACGGCGUCUUAUACGAAAAUUUCGUCGUGUUAUUUUAUGAGUAAAAACGGCGGCUUUUAUUGAAAUCGUCGUCUUUACUUUCUACGUUAAAUUUUAUAGUACGAUUUAAAGAUAACGUCGUAGAACUAUACGAGAAUGACGUCGAUAUAUUUAUAUUUUCCGUCGUUGUACAUUAAUUUAAUACGGCGACAUUUUGUAUUUUAAAGCCGUGGAUUUGUUUGUAAUUAUACGGCGUCUUAUACGAAAAUUUCGUCGUGUUAUUUUAUGAGUAAAAACGGCGGCUUUUAUUGAAAUCGUCGUCUUUACUUUCUACGUCGGUCGAUUCAUAACUUCUGCCGUUCUUUGUUGGCUUUGAUUUUACACUGCGGAAAAUCUGUUUCAAAUAAACGUCAGUUUUUUAAUUAGGUACGUCGUUAUUUUUGAACAGCCAUUUGAAUCUCCAUUUUUAGUUGUCUAAGGUGGUAUUACACGACGGUGUUUUUAGAACCGUCGUCUUUUUAAAAACCACGACGGUUUUCACUUAGACCGUCGUUGUUUUCUUGUCGUCUUUUUCACUUUUUGUAGUAGUGUUAGAUAGUAGAGUGCUUGCUCUUUAUGUGACUCAUUCUCUUGUGUCAAUAGGGCUCAAAUUGAUCUCUCUUGAGCCUCAAUGUACAAUAUGAGUGGUCUGCCAGGAAUAAGAGUUCCUAAUAGUGGUGAACUCGAUAAGUACUUCUUUAUGCUCUCAAAGGCAUUAUGACAAGCCUUAUCCCAAAUGAAUGGGACAUUCUUUUUCAUAAGACGACUGAAUGGCUGACACUGUCCUGCUAAAUUUGAGAUGAAUCCGCGAAUAAAAGUGAGACGUCCUUGUAAACUUUUCAACUCGCGUAAAUUUCUUGGCUCGGGCAUAUCUCCGAUGGCUUUAAUCUUAGACUGAUCUACUUCAAUGCCUCGAUGCUUAACAAUGAAACCAAAAAAUUUACCUGACGUGACAUCGAAAGCACACCUCAAAGGGUUCAUCUUGAGUUGAUAUUUCCGCAAUAUAUUGAACACCAUUCUCAAGUCUUUCAAGUGAUCUUCUAUUCUUUAUGACUUGAUCACCAAGUCAUCAAUGUAGCACUCGACAUUCUUAUGAAACAUGUUGCCAAAGAUCUUUUGCAUUGCACGUUGAUAGAUCGCACCUACAUUCUUAAGGCCAAAUGGCAUCACCUUGUAACCGUAAAUGCCUUUCGGAGUGCGGAAAACUGUAGUUCUUCAUUCUCUGGCCACAUUCUUAUUUGAUUGUAUCCAGAUGAACCAUUCAUGAAAGAUAAGGCUUCAUGACCUGUGGUUGCAUCGACCAUGAGCUCAAUUAUUGGUAAUGGAAAGUCAUCCUUCGGGCAAGCCUCGUUCAAGUCUCGAAGUCAACACAAAUACGAAUUUAUCCUGUGAUAUUCUUCUUCACCGGGACAAUGUUCGCUAUCCACGUUGGGUAUUUCACUUUCCUCAUAAAUCCGGCGGCAAUCAACUUGUCAACUUUAGCUUCAAUUUGACCUAAAAGCUCCAGGCAGAAGCGAUGUUGAGUUUGUUUGAUUGGACGCGUUCUAGGCUUGACUGCAAGGUGAUGGACAACAACUUUUGGAUCAAGACUUGACAUCUCCUUAUACGUCCAAGCAAAGACAUCUUUAUACUCAAGUAACAGUUGAUGAUAUGAUUCCUCUUCGCUAGAAUUCAAAAAGGCACUAACGAAGAUAGGUCUUGGGUCUUCAUUUAUGCCCAAGUUAAGUUAUUUUAAUUCAUCUACAGUCGCUUGCCCCCCUCUUCUAGUGCGGCAAGGGCAUCAUGAACCUCAUCCUCGAAAGGUUCCUCUUCAUCGAGCACUUUAAUUGUAACGUGAUGAACAGCUAGGACCUCUGCUUCUUCAUUGUCACUUUUGUUUUGCUGACUCAAAAUUUUCUGAGUAUAUAUGAUUGUUCGUCAUUUUAGUUUGAGUUAGUCACCUGAAGUUACGUCUAAUGUUGAGUGACGUUUCAUACGAGACGAGAUUAGGCUCUGAACUUCAUUAUCUUCUGCUGAAUCGACAUGAACUCUACUUUUCAACUCUCGUUGGUUUUUCUCUUCAGAUGGCUUGCUUGGUACUCCGAGUCUUUCUAGCACCAAUCUACGUGGAGCUGAUCGAAUUCCCCUUUGACUCUUAUAUCCAUAUAUCCUUUUGAACAUAGAGGGUCGUGAUAUUGAUUCUUUGAUGCGGCUAAAAACUGAGGUCCGUUGGGUAGGCUUGGCUAAACGGUUAAACACUAAGGCUCUCUUAAUAGCCUUUGGUUCUUCUUCCUCCUCAACCAAUUCGACACUAAUGUGUUGAGUAUCUGCCUUCUUUUCUUUUCUUCUAGCAGAGAUUUUCAUAGGUGCGACAUGAGUAAAACCAAGGCCUGCUCUAGUUGAGUCGAUUGUGUAACCUUGCUCUUUCAACUUCUUUUGGAUUUCGCUAAGGCCAUGUGUCCUUUCUCCGGUGACGUCUGGAUUAAGCUCCCCAGCGAAGGAGAUAAGCCGAAGUCAUAACCUGCCUUUGACAUGAGCUUAUAAGCAUUAUGAUCAAAACCUUCUUUAGUUCUUUUGACCAGAAGAGAUUCUUGUCUUGUUGCGUCUUGUGAUGGUUUGACGAACCCUGGUACCGAAGAUUUCGAAAUGUCUGAAUUGCUCAACUUGGGCAAAUGCAUGGUUGUUGUCUCUUUCAAGAACUUCAUGUCACUUUCUUCUAACUUCCUUGGUUUUACUUUUUUUCCAAAUGGGGAUUACCCUUCCUUUCGUUGGGAUGAUGAGACAUAACGAAGAACAUGAAUAGAUACCUUCUGUGAAUCUAUCAGUAAUGAUCCCAUUUGUCCAACCAAAGUACUUUUUGACUUCUUAUCAUCAUUCUCUUUAGUGGAAAGGCAUUUUGAAUGCUCAUCUCUUUUUGGUAUGGCCUUGCCUGUCGAGUGAACCUCAACGAGAAUAACUUUAGACACCAUGUUUUCAUCCAUGUAAAACUUGGCAUCGGCGAAAUAAGACUCGACUUCAGUAAAUGGUUUGACGUCAUCCAAGAUUUUCUUCACUCCGCCUCUGUAGAAUUUGAAACACUGUUGUAAAGUUGAAGGCACUAUUCCAUUUUCAUGUACCCAUGGCCUUCCUAAGAGAAUAUUAUAAGAAGUCUUGGUAUCAAUCAUGUGAAAUAAGGUGUUUGACCUUAAAUCACCUAUCAUGAGCUCAAUUCUGAUCAGGCCCAUAACUCUUUCCCUUCCUUGAUUGAAGCCUUGAAUCACGAGAUGACUUCGAGACAAUUCGUCCAUGGUGAUGCCUAACUUUAUCAUUGUGGACUUAGGCAUGAUGUUUACUGCCGAACCUCCAUCCACGAGCAUGCGACUAAGUUUCUGUUCUUGCACAUACCGUGACACGAAAUGCGGACGGUUAUGUGGUUUGGACCCUAACAAGAGAUCUUCAUCGGUGAAUGUGAUGGAAGUACAUGUCAUACAACAAAUAGCACGAUCUUGAGACUCAGGCUCUAAUUUUUUGGCCUCUCCUAUUUUAUUUGGAUGAAUAUUGAGAUCCAUCAGCGCCUUGACCAAUUCUAUGCGUAUUGCUUCAGGAAGUUCCACCGACUCCUCAAUAUUAAAGUGCGAUGGUGAAUCAUCUGCCUGUGCUGAGACCUUUUGCUCAUCAUGAGUUUUAGAUUCUACUUUCGAGGCAUCUUCAUUAUCUACUUGAUAGUAAGUUGUCAUAUGAACUGUCUCCGUCGGCCCUCUUACGAAGAACACUUUAGGAAAGUAUUCUCCUAGCAUAAUGGGAAUUCGUGGUCCUUGGGUUAGUGGUCCACUUUCUUAGUCAAAGUUUCUAGUCACCAUUAUUCUGGUUUUGCUUUUAGAGCAUUGGUGCGAGGUUCUCUUUCGUCACUCCUUCUUUGAUUGAGCAUUUUGUCAUUGAGGAAUGCGCUUCGUACGAGACUUCCCCCGAGUAACGAGUGUCCAUCCUUCAUUAUCACCGAAGUGUCUAUCACUACCUCGAUUGUUCGGUUCGCCUGCCACUUCUUUUGUACGCAAAUCAGUCACCUGAUGUAUGCUCCUUGUUGAUUGAAACUCUGAUCUUUUCGACAAUGCGGGCACGGGUACCGGAUCAAAGGAUCCAAACACAAUUGUGGCAACGUUCGCAUCUGCGAUUUCGUCAACGUCCAACUCAAUCCUUCCUUGCCUAGCUAAGUUCAUAAUUAGCUCAUUCAACACGAAGCACUUCUCUGCUGGAUGGCUGACAAUUCAAUGGUAUUUGGAAAACUUAGGGUCGUUAACCCGGUUCAUCUCCUCAGGCCGCUUACAUUCUGGCAAUUUGAUCACCUUUUCUUUCAAGCAAGUCCUUGAGCAUACUUGCGACAUCGGAGUCAGGGAAAAUGUGUGUUUUUUCCUCCAAAUCCUUCAAGGUGCGUCGACGUCUGGCUCCAUACUUUUGACUUCUCUCUUCUUAUCUCGGGUGGAGAUUUUGAUAGGGACAGUGUUGAUUUUCAUUGCUUCCUUGGUAGGCUUCUUGAUAGGCUUAUCUGUCUUUUGUCCAAAGACUUACUCCUUCUUAUGCUCCAUGACGGGCUCAUGCUUUCCUCCGUGGCUAGCUAUACUUAACUCCAUAUCAUAGGCAUGAGCGGCUAGCUCCUCAAAUGUGCAGGGUUUAAUCCCUUGUAGAAUGUAGAGUAACCCCCAAUGCAUCCCUUGAAUGCACAUCUCAACUGCUAAUAUCUUCAAAAGCCUAUCGUUGCAAUCCAGGCUUAACAAGCACCACCGAUUAAUGUAAUCGACGACAGGUUCAUCUUUCCAUUGCUUGGUAUUUGUGAGUUCCAUCAUACUCACAGUGCGACGAGUGCUAUAGAAUCUGUUCAAGAAUUCUCGCUCCAUUUGAUCCCAAUUGUCGAGGGAUUCAGACUCCAAGUCCAUAUACCAAUCAAAUGCAUUUCCUUUCAAGGAACGAAUAAAUUGUUUCACCAGGUGGUCACCCUCCGUCCCAGCAUUGUUGCAUGUUUCGACGAAGUGUGCAACGUGUUAUUUUGGGUUGCCCUUUCCAUCGAAUUGUUGGAAUUUGGGAGUUUGAUAUCCCAUCAGCAUCCUCAGGUUGUCUAUCCUCUUGGUGUAUGACAUGGAAUAUAUGAGCGUGUCUCCAGAAGGUACUCCGUAUUGAACCCUGAUGGUGUUCGCGAUCAUGUCUUGAAGUUGUUGGACCGAUAAAGAACCCACCGAGGCGGUGUCACCUUUUCUGUGCAACUUCUCACCCGACUCUGUUUCAUGACCCAAUCCUUUUUCACUGGAUUCAGCUUCGUGAUGUGGUCCUUUCUUGUUUACAUCUUGACCAGGCUCUUUAUCCUGAUGUGCCUCCCACUUAUUAAUGAGAGAAGCAAUAUGCGCACAUCUUCGUCAGUUUUGCAACCGCUUCGCUCAUAUGGGCCAACUAUUCUUCAAUAAACAUAGCUCCUAUCACCAUGACCUGCAUGGCCAUAGAAUAAGACUCACCUAUGGACGCCGAGGGUUUCGUGGCUAUCUUAUUCUGUUGGUCGCCAGGCGGGGAUCCUUGGUAUGAGCAUGUGCUCGAGUCAGCAUCUGAAACAAGCAAGAGUGAACGUUCUCUUGAAUUCUUCGAACCCGAAAAACUCCUUUCUUCGUUCUGAGAGUUUCUCUCAUCCACUCGAGAGGUAUUCUUCUUUGCCCCUAAGGAGGCCAAAUUGAUAACCGAUUCACGCCUUCAGUUCACAUCUUUCGCUUUGGCUUGAGUCCGUAUAGAAGUGACAUGUUGAGUUGUGGAUAUCGCCUUGGCCUUACUCCAGUGAGGAGCCUAGCAGAAUCUCCGCUUGAGAAGGAGGCGCUCACGCUUUUGCUUCUCAUCGCGGGAACGGUUUAAAUCUUCUUGGAAGCCAUCAUUUUUGGUGUGUUGAUUGAUUUGGAACUGGAAAAAUAGAUGAGAGGCAGAGAUAGUCCCACCGAGCGUGCCAAAUUUGUAAACACGAAGAUCCUACGAUAAAUGAGACAAGAACACGUGUACAAAAUAAUAUUUGUAUUAAUGAAAUUUAGGGUUACAAUCUCUGUAUUAAAUGCUCUGAUUCGAUCUCCAAUGUGUUUAAAGAAAAUUUACGUUUGAUACAAGGGUCGUAGAGACUUGAUCUUGAUCAAACGAGUAGCACAAAGCUUGUUUGGUGUUUGGCUUUUUCUAGGGUGAAGGAACCGGCACGUAUUUGUUGUGUUUGGUGGCUCUUCCAAUGUGAGGUGAAGAAUGCAGAGAGUUUUCUGUUUCUUCUGAGUGCUUCGUUUGUCUAAACUCCCUCUUUCGUCUUGAGGCCUCUUAUUUAUAGGCUCCUGCAGGAUGCUUGACCUAAAUAGCUUUCCUUCUUUAAGACCUUUAUUUGUGGGAUUCUAAUUUGAUUUAGAAUCAAUUCUAAUAAUUUGGCAAUUUAACCAAAUUAUCUUCGAUUGAUUGACUUGAUUAAUAUUUGAUUUAAAUCAAAGUCAAUCACAGAAGAUUCUUUCCUUUUAUUUUGUCUUCACUUUGAACCGUUUGAUGCACUCCGUCGGAUGUCGAUACGUGUCACUUCUGACAACUAAUCCAAUUUUAAUGAGUCAUAUGCCAUAUGGGCGAAUUAGAGGUGUAAGUUGGAUUGGAAAAUCCGAUUCCGGUCCGAUUUUUUCCAAAAAAAUCCGACUCCGAUAAAUCCGAUAUCCGAAAAUGCCGAAAUCCGAAAAUUCCGAUAAAUGCCGAACAUUCCGAAAUUCCGAUCCGAAAAAUUCCGAAGUUCUCCGAAUCCAUUCCGAUCCGAUUUUUCCAAUUUUUUUCCGAAAAAUUCCGAGUUUCUAAGUAUAAUUGCAUUAUUUUUAGUUUAUAGGUCUUAUAUAUGUUUCAUUUCUUAUUUGUUAAGUUUUAGUACCCAUAUACAAAUAUUUGUACAUACUAAAUAUAGGCUUGACCAAAAAAAAAAAAAACUAAACUAAACAUAGUAGUAUGUAACUUUAAGACUAUGUGCCAGUUUGGCAUUGCUUAUUUGGGAUGAUAAGUGAUUUUUUAAAAAUUUUGGGAAGCCCAGCCCGUUUGGUAAACUAUGAAAAAAUCACUUAUUAUUAAAAAUUGCUAUGAGAGAAAGCUAUAAGGGAAAGCAGCUAAUGAUGUGCUUUCAUUUUUUGAUUAUGCAUUAAUCAGUUUUGAAGAGGGCACUGGGUUUGAUUAUUAUGCAAGAAUUAUUUUCUAAUUAUAUGGGAAUCAAUAUCAACAACACUUUGAACAAAAAGUUUACCAAACGCCAAACUGCUUUAUCUCACAGCUGAUUUCUCUCACAGCAAAUCUAACAGUGAUUAUUUUCACAGCACAACAAUGCCAAACUGGCCCUAUAUAUAUAUUUGGCAAAUAUGCUUGAUUUAAUAUAACAAAAAGGUGCAUAUGUGUGCUUGUUAUAUCCAUAAGUACUAUGUACAUAUAUGGUAAAUGUAGGAAGUAUUAUACUAUUUCAUUUUAUAUUUAUGUAUGUAUUUUUAAAAUUAUAAACUAUCUUCAAUUAAACUUUUAAUUAUAAAAUCAUUUUAUACAUGAAACACCACAUAUAAUGUGCGUAUAUUAAUUGGAGCUUUAACAAUUGUAGUAUUCCAAACUGAAAAUUGUAGUAUUACAAUUGUCUAGAGCAUGAUUAACGUCUAACACUCUUUAUACAUGUUCAUGACCCACUAGAAUCUAAAACCAAUGUGAUAGUCACUCGGCUAUAACUUGAGUCUUGAGCAUCAAUUGAUGAAUGUGAAUCCAUCUUUAGCAUGGAAUCAAAAAAAUUUGAUUCACAUGAACAAAAUAUAAAUAUAUAAUAUGUAGGACAAAUUACUUUGAUUAAUAAUCAAUAUACUAUAUAGAUUGUUGUAUAUAAAAUAAUAGAUUGUUAUAUAUAUAUAAGGUGAAUUCAAACAUGCUAUAACUUUCAAAAUAAGCUAUGCCUUGGGCAAUUAUAAUAGGUUCCAAGGACAAUGAUGGGGAUCGGGAUCCAGACACAGGUCACCAACCACAUACACGAGCACCGAAAUCUAGAGCUAGUGCAAACUCACAUAUAUCGUAGCAAAUCCAUGCCACAAAUAAACUAUUUUAUUAAUCAUCAACAUAUCUUCCAUAACUAUUACAUUAGCCUUAUUUAUAGGCUUUACAAGACUUGGGCACCAAGGCUACUUGGUCUAAAAGUAAACUAAUUAAUUAUAAAAUCACACAUAAAUAAUAAAAGAUAUCAUAAAACUACCUAAAUAAGAAAAUAACAACAUAUAAUGAAAUAACUAAUUAAAUGAUAAAUAUCUAUCUUGAUCCACCCCUAUGCUCCUGCAUCAGACUCCCAUAGUUGGAAAGAAUUCGUCCUCGAAUUCAAGCCUUUGAUUAAGGAAAAUCUGAGUAGAAUCUUCAAUUGCUGCAUAUUAAUUUUGGAUCUUUUAGCAUCCAAUUGAAACCUUCCUUUCCAAAUAAAAAGAUAUUUGGAAUAUUUCGUUAUUCUUGACUUCUUACUCCCUCUAGCAAUGCAAAUGUUUCUCUCUAGAAUCUUCAACCGAUUGACAAAAUCAACCAGAUUUUUGGCAACCUUCCAAGUGAAAAUAUUAAUGCCCAUAAAAUCAAUAAUAUCUUCGAAAGUUUUCUCAAUCCUCAUCUCUUCACUGUUCUGGUCAAUAAAUUGCUUAUCAAAAUUGCUUUGAACACCCAAACAAUUUUCAUUGUAAUUUUCACAAUUGCAAGGAUCAAAUAAUGGAGGUAAAUCCAAAUUUAAUAACUUUGAUGAAUAACAAGAUGCACCAAAAUUACCAAAUUCAUUUAUACUUUCAAAGACGAAAUGAGAAUAACCGUGCCCCUCUUCACUUGACUCACACAGUGGAGCACAAUAAUGAAAAGGGCUAUCUCCCUCGUACUCCCCGUCGAGACUCUCACGGCUUAGAGUGUCGAUGCGAGCUACUCGGUUCAGAUAAGGGUUCACACAUCCCUCCCCGUCAGAACUCUUACCUAUCUGGGUUCGAGCUUCAAUGCGAGCAAUGCGUUCCGUAAGUUGCCGUAGCAUCCUCCUAAUUUCCUCCAUGUCGUUGCAGUUGUUAAAACGACCCUCCAUCCAAAAACCUCCCCGAUAUAGCAGAUCUUGAGCCAUAGCUCUGAUACCAAUUGAUGGGGAUCGGGAUCCAGACACAGGUCACCAACCACAUACACGAGCACCGAAAUCUAGGGCUAGUGCAAACUCACAUAUAUCGUAGCAAAUCCAUGCCACAAAUAAACUAUUUUAUUAAUCAUCAACAUAUCUUCCAUAACUAUUACAUUAGCCUUAUUUAUAGGCUUUACAAGACUUGGGCACCAAGGCUACUUGGUCCAAAAGUAAACUAAUUAAUUAUAAAAUCACACAUAAAUAAUAAAAGAUAUCAUAAAACUACCUAAAUAAGAAAAUAAUAAUAUAUAAUGAAAUAACUAAUUAAAUGCUAAUAUCUAUCUUGAUCCACUCCUAUGCUCCUGCAUCAGACUCCCAUGGUUAGAAAGAAUUCGUCUUCGAAUUCAAGCCUUUGAUUGAGGAAAAUCCAAAUAGAAUCUUCAAUUGCUUCAUAUUAAUUCUGGAUCUUUUAGCAUCUAAUUGAAACCUUCCUUUCCAAAUAAAAAGAUAUUUGGAAUAUUUCAUUCUUCUUGGCUUCUUCUUGACCCCUCUAACAAUGCAAAUGUUUCUCUCUAGAAUCUUCAACUGAUUGAAAAAAUCAACUAGAGUUUUGGCAACCUUCCAAGUGAAAAUAUUAAUGCCCAUAAAAUCAAUAAUAUCUUCGAAAGUUUUCUCAAUUCUCAUCUCUUCACUGUUCUUGUCAAUAAAUUGCUUAUCAAAAUUGCUUUGAACACCCAAAUAAUUUUCAUUGCAAUUUUCACAGUUGCAAGGAUCAAAUAUUGGAGGCAAAUCCAAAUUUAAUAACUUUGAUGAAUAACAAGAUGCACCAAAAUUACCAAAUUCAUUUAUACCUUCAAAGACACAAUGAGAAUAACCGUGCCCCUCUUCACUUGACUCACACAGCGGAGCACAAUAAUGAAAAGGGCUAUCUCCCUCGUACUCCCCGUCGAGACUCUCACGGCUUAGAGUGUCGAUGCGAGCUACUCGGUUCAAAUAAGGGUUCACACAUCCCUCCCCGUCAGAACUCUUACCUAUCUGGGUUCGAGCUUCAAUGCGAGCAAUGCGUUCCGUAAGUUGCCGUAGCAUCCUCCUAAUUUCCUCCAUGUCGUUGUAGUUGUUAAAACGACCCUCCAUCCAAAAACCUCCCCGAUAUAGCAGAUCUUGAGCCAUAGCUAUGAUACCAAUUGAUGGGGAUCGGGAUCCGGACACAGGUCAUCAACCACAUACACGAGCACCGAAAUCUAGGGCUAGUGCAAACUCACAUAUAUCAUAGCAAAUUCAUGCCACAAAUAAACUAUUUUAUUAAUCAUCAACAUAUAUUCCCUAAAACUAUUACAUUAGCCUUAUUUAUAGGCUUUAAAAGACUUGGGCACCAAGGCUACUUGGUCCAAAAGUAAACUAAUUAAUUUAUAAAAUCACACAUAAAUAAUAAAAGAUAUUCUAAAACUACCUAAAUAAGAAAAUAACAAUAUAUCAUGAAAUAACUAAUUAAAUGCUAAUAUCUAUCUUGAUCCACUCAUAUGCUCCUGCAUCAGAUAAUCAGAAAGAGGAGGUCCAAGGCAAUUAUAACUUUAAAAAAAAACCAUCUGCGUUUUUUUUCCAAUCCUACAUUGAAUUGAAGUGACGAAAAAAAGAAGGAAACAUUUCUAAAUUUUUAAAACUCAUUCUUUGAUUUUAUUUCUUUCUUAAUUAAAGGUUUUCAUUCCAUCUCAAUACCAAAAAAGUAAUGAAUUUGUGCAGAAACAGAAAAAUAAAUGAUAAAGAAAAAAUCUGGAUGGUGUGGGGUAUUGCAACAAGGGAAGAGAGCUCCAAUGAGGAUUCAAUGGAGAACAUAUACAUCGGAUAAAUGAUUUAGUGCAAACCCAGAAAAAUAAAAAUGCAAGAGAAGAAACAGUAGAGAUAAAGAAUUGAAGAAUGAUUUCUUUUUUGGUUGGAGAAGUGUUUUUGUUUUUUUCCUAACGGGAUCCGUACAUAUUGUUCCAUAUCUGAAGAGUUUUAAGUAAGAAAGAAAAUGAAGGUUGGCAUUCAUGGAUUAGAAAGGAAGAAACGGAAGAGAGAGGAGAAGUGAUGGAUGAGUAACCAAGUAGAAAUCAAGAAAAGAGUGGAGAGAGAAGUUGCACUCCCAUUUCUUCUUGGAGUCCCAUAUCGACUGCAAGAAUAAACUUCAGGUGUUUAGUCCUUUAUAAAUAUCUUCAAACUCAGUCAUUUUGUGUAGGGACUUAACAGUACAACCUAUUUGGGCAUGUAAAGUUCUUGUUGGACUAGUUGUUAAACCCCUAAGCUGGGUUUUCUUGAUUAAAGUUUAGUUGAGAUUUUUACAAAAUGCUAGUUUGGGCAUUUAAAUCUCUUAAAUUUUUUUUGUCAGUUAAGGGCUUCGGAAUCGGAAUCUUCUGAAAAUUUCCAAAUUUUUUCGGAAUCGGAAUCGGAACUCUAUAUUGAAUUCCGAAAGAUAUUGGAUUGGAAUUGGAAUUGCUGUUUCCGAUCCGAUCCGGCCGAAAGACAGCCCUAGGGCGAAUUAUGGGGCCCACAAUUCAAUCCACCGAACCCUAAUUAUUUUUCUUAUCUAACGGAAUUUAUUGAGCCAAAAUUUCUUUGUCUAUAAUGUGAUCGCAUUUUGAAAUGUAUUUCCACAGUUUCCUUUUCUCUGCUUAUCAAUGGCACCCCUGAGGGCUUCUUCAAGGUAUUGGACAAGGGGAUCCUCUUUCCCCGUAUAUUUUUGUCCUUUGCAUGGAACCCCUUAUUCAACACUCAAUAGACUGGUAAUGAAUACUAGAUCUCAAGUUGGGUUGCUUUCUUCCCCUUUUGGUUGUCGAAUUUCUAACCUUGUGUUUGCAGAUGAUUGUCUCAUUUUAAUGAAAGCUUCUCUUCUGGCUGCUAGAAUGUUAGUAAAGCUUUAGAGGCGUUUUCGUUGGCCUCGGGACAUCACAUUAAUCUAUAUAAAUCUACAGUUUGUUUCUCUCAUGAAGUUUCUAAUAUUUUUAAAGGUAAUGUUAGUAAUAUCCUUCAUGUCCAGUAUAACUCUACUAUUGGGAAAUAUUUGGGCAUUCAUAACAUAGUUUUUUUGGAAAGAUCCUCAGAAUGCUGAGGAUCUCAUUGAUAGAGUAAAAGCUAAAUUUGCUGGUUGAAAAGCUAAUACCUUGUCUAAAAUUGAGAGAUUAACUCUCAUUAAGUUUAGUGUCACAGUUAUGUCCAAUAAUGUUUUAUCUUGUUUUCAAUGCCCUCCUAAGGUGGCUAAAGAGUUAAAUAAGAGCUGUAGGAAGUUUUUGUGGGGUAGUAAUAAGAUUCCCCCUAUUGCGUGGAAAGAGGUUUGCCUUCUAAAAAGUUUGGGUGGGUUGGGUAUUCGUCUCACUACCCAAUUUAAUAAAGCAGCCUUAGCCAAGCUGGGUUAGAUAGCCAAGCUGGGUUAGAAGUGCCUUAUUGAUAAAGCUAACUAGUGGACUAGAUGCUAGACCUAUUCUAAACCAAGGGAUUCACUAGAUUGUGGGGAAUGGUUAUGCUACUCUUCUUUGGACCUCUAACUAUUAGAUAUAUGCCCUAAAAGCCAAUGUAAAAAUAAAAUACUCUAAGGAUAUAAUAUAAUUAAUAUAAUCAAAGGGGCGUGAAUGUUACUCUAAGAUACAUAAUGUACACAAAGUAACAAGUACAUGGAUAAAGAUAUGAAUGGAAAGCAGUCUAAAGAAGUUAGAUUCAUGAUAUCUUUCCAUUAUAGAAGUAUCGUAUCCUAAAAGGCUCCUAGUCAUAGGAUCACCAAUUGGACAAUGGUGAACCGCAAAAACUGGUACAUGCUAUGUCUACUCAAGCAGGAGGAUGAUUAGUCUCAAGUCAUUCGUGUAGAGACACUAAGAUAAGUGUGUAGGUGCUCUAUAGAGAUGAAGUACAUUGAACGCGAUCAACUGAAGAUUUCUUGUAUGGAAGUCUUAUUUACAAGUGUCAAACAAAGAAUUCUAAGUUGUGAUAAUACAAAUUAGUCCUUAGAUGUCCUAAGACAUCAUAGUUGUUUUGUGUAUGAUACUCAACAUAUGCACAGAGGCAUGUGAAUGUAUAACAAGAAAUAUCUACUCUUAGUGAGAAGAGAGAAUACUCUAAAGAUAUGAUUCGUUGAAUUUUUGAUCAAAGUACAGGAUGAGAAUUGAAAUAAGAAGGUUUGCAAUUGCAUCCAAGUGAAUCAUAUAACUUAAAGAUGUCAUGUUAAGGAUUUAACACAAAUUAAUCAUAUCCAAACAACAUAUGCAUAGAGGUAUGUAAAUGUACAACAAGAAAUAUGUACUCUUAGUAAGAAGAGAGAACACUCUACGAAUAUGAUUCGUUGAAUCUUUGGCUAAAAUACAGGAUAAGAAUUGAAAUAAGAAGGUUUGCAAUUGCAUCCAAGUGAAUCAUAUAACUUAUAGAUGUCAUGUUAAGGAUUUGACACAAAUUAAUCAUAUCCAAACAACAUAUGCAUAGAGGCAUGUGAAUGUACAACAAGAAAUUUCUACUCUUAGUGAGAAUAGAGAAUACUCUAAAGAUAUGAUUCGUUGAAUCUUUGGCAAAAGUAUAGGAUGAGAAUUGAAAUAAGAAGGUUUGCAAUUGCAUCAAAGUGAAUCAUAUAACUUAGAGAUGUCAUGUUAAGGAUUUGGCACAAAUUGGUCAUAUCCAAACAACAUGACAUAGAGUAUUGUAAUAGAGAAGGACCUAAUUGCAUUGUAAUCACAAACUGGCUAGGUUCUCAAAAUGAAUUAUAUUUAGCUUGGAGUAGACAUGACAUACUGCUAGGUGUUACUUAUGAUUUGUGAAAAUCGUGUAAUGACUAAUUAUAAUUAGCCUUGGCUAAUAGGGAGAAUUAUAUAGAAUGAUACAAUUCACAUUUAGUUUAGAAGUAAUCAUUCUUACCCACGGCCUGGCUAAUUAGAACCUAUAAGAUCGCACAUCAAAAAGGUAUGGAUCGAGAAUUGAAAGGAGAAUAAAUGAUUUAGUGGCUUGGUCAAAGUCAAAGGUCAAACUGUUGACCGAGACUUGACGGGGUCAACACAAGGUUGACUAGGACCAAUGCUUGUUAGGCAAGUUAGCGAUUUAAUUAGUUAAGUCAUCAAAUCAAUUAUACUAAAUAGAUUAGCUUAAAUGAAUUAAUUAAAGUUAUGGAACAUUAGUUUUGGUCCUAUAUGACUUAAAUAUUUAUAAGAAUGGACCUUAUGGACUUAAGCAAAGUGUGACACAUUAAGGGCUCAUUUGGUACACCAUAUUAGACUCUGGAUAGGAGUAAAUAGUCUAUGUCAGGUGUUUGGUGUCAACUUGUAUUAUUUAAUUACCCGACUAUUUUAUACGGGUUGGGCUUUUAAUACUCUCCUUACCUGAUUAACUAAUACAACCCACACACCCUGGUUUAGAUAAUACACGCUUAAUUAUACGACUAAGCACGCGUUCUACGAAAAAAAUCAAACGCUAUUUUCAUCUUCUUCUCCUUAGGGUUCUUCUCUGCUAUCUUCUCCAAAGGUUACUUUCUUCACUCUUCUCCAGGUAUCCAUCUCUCACUCUCUCUCUCUCUCUCUCUUUCAUACUCUCUCCAAUAUGCUUCUUCUUGCUUCUUCUCUAUUCUUUAUAUAUUUGAAUUUUUUUAUUAAAUUGUUGUGGAAGGUUAUGUAUUUUUCGUUUUUGAAAUUAGGUUAUGCUUACUUACAUGAAUGAAAGCUAAAUCGUAAAAGGACCUAUUUUACAAAUGAGAAACAUUGGACAUGGGCUUAAUGAAUGAAUUGCACAAUCCUAUUACAGAAGUAAAUUAAACCAUUUAAAUGAAUACACAAACUUCACAACAGUAGCAGCAACAGCAAUUGAGUCAUCACCAUUUUCCUUUGGUACCUUUGGUUACGAUUUCUUCUAUAGUGGGUUUGGUCUUGCGUUUGGGACAUUGUUGAUUGGUUAUGGGUGGUGCUGUCUGAAUUCCUUGUUUUAUGUUAUCUUAUGUAUUUUGUUUUUGUUUAGUUUUGAACUGGUCUGGGUGAGAAGCUUGGUUCUAGCCUUGAUUUUGAGGUCUAGGUGCCUCUACCCGGCUUUUGUAACUUGCUUUGUAAUCUAUUUUUUAUGGGUUUCUUUAAUGAGAUCAGAUUUCAACCACUGAAAUGAUGAAUGAGCCUAUGCAUCACCUUGAUAUCAAUGAUGAUGAUGAGUAAGUUAAGGUUGAACCAGAUCAUUCUGCCUCUUUGCCAAGAUUAAAUCAACAAAACUCAGCUAGCUCAAGCAGUCGACAACGCAAGCGAAGUGCAGAUACUGAUAUUCAAAAGGAAAUGGCUAAAGCAUUUGGUGAGAUGAUUUCUGAGUCUAUUGACCAAUUAAAAACUAUAACUAAUAGUUUGGUGAAAUGAUCAGAACCAAGACCUGACAUUACUGCUGAAUUGGCAAAGAUAGACUUGUCUAUUAAUGACCAAAUUAAGGCACUACGUCUAAUUUUGGAGAAAGCAAGUGAUGAGAGAACAUUCUUGACAUUGGAUGGUGCUAUGAGAAAAGCAUUUGUUCUUCUCUUACUUGGGGCGAGGGAGCUGUGAUUCACUCUUUGAUAUAGUUUGAUUUAUGAACAACUUUCCCUUUUGCUCUUAUCACCUUAGUAUGUGAUCACUUUGAAUUAUACAUUAUUUGGUACUGUUUUUAUUAACAUAUGCGAGUAUGUUGGAAUUUUUAUGAGAUACUACAAUUAUUAUAAUGGGUUAUAUGAAGAAAAAAAAUAUUGGCAAAAACAAUUGAAAAACAAAUCUUGUCAUAUGAAUCUUACCAAAAAAAAUUUCGUGUCAUUUGAAUCUCAAUUUCCAUUAAAAUUAUCAAAGAAUUUUUUUUUAAUUUUAAAAAUAGUUUGAUCUGAUGUUAUCCGGAACAUCACCAAACACAGUAUAACUUAGUCAGACUAUUUAUCCGAAACAGCACCAAACGCCUUAUAAUAUUAUGGAUAAAUAGUCAGUACUCUCUGGAACAAAUUAAUACUAUCCGACGAAAAUUAGUUAGUACAGUCCGACGUACCAAACGAGCCCUAAGGGAUUAAUGUGGUAGAUCAAAGUAGUCCAAAAAGGCCAAAAAGAGGGAGGGUGCGGCACAUGGGGAGAGGGGGUUUUGGGGACACAUGUGUGAUAAAAAUGUCUCUAUAUAUUCAUACCCAUAGCAUCAAACCUCCUUAGGGUUUCAAGUUAGACAUUUAGGAAGACAGGAAGACAUCAAGCCUCCUUCCUAGUCUCCUUUGGCCGACCACUAUUGAGGAAUUAAAGGCUAACACCCAUUUUCUCCUCUUGGUUCCUUAUUCUCCUAUCCUCAUUCUACCUUGGUGAUGAUACUUUGGGGAAGUAUAACCUCAUAGUGCUUAUUUGGAGAACAAAGUGGAGAAUCAACAACUAAGGGACUAUUCCCUCUACUUGAAUACAUAUUUGGAUUCAAGAUUCGCUCCAAGAGUAAGCUCACUUUCUACCUUCUCUUUAAUAUGUGAUAUUAGUGUCAAAUGUGCAAACUAUCAUAGACCUAUAAAGAUUGGGACUAAGUUGAGACUUGCAUGAAUCUCGAGCUAUUUUCUUGCUUCCGCUUUAUUUGAUUUCAUAGUUGAUAUGCAUAGGCUAGAUGAUUUGUUCUCUCAUAGUUUCGUGGGAUUUUAGCAAUUCCUAUACCUAAUUUUUUCUUCACUAACUGGGCCUUGCCCUUCCCCAUUAUUGAUAUAAUCCCACAUAAUCAAUAGUUCUGAUUUUUAUUAUUAAUCAGAGAUGGGACAAAACAAAGCUCCUCCAAGUUCUGGAUUUGGACGUAAUGGACAAGGGCCCAUUCGGUAACGUUUUGAGAGAAUAUUUUAUGAGAAAUAAAACGAGAAAAUGAAUUUGCAUUUUCAAUAUUCAAAAAUGCGUCUGAUAGAUUAAUUGAAAAACAUAUUCAAAAAAUCAAAAUAGUGAAAACGUGUAUGGGAGGACAAUUUGAGAAUAAUAAUUUGUGAGUUAUUUUUCAAGUAUAUUUUUUGCUAAUUUCUGUUCUAAAAAAUAAUUAUUUUUUAAAUUAUGAUAUUUUAAAGGCUAAAAUUAUUACAAACAAUGAAAAAUGUGUACUUUGAGAAUAAUAAUGUAUAAUUAAAAUAAUAAUAAAAAUUUAUUUUAGAAAAACAUAGAGAAUAAAAUAAUAUUAUCUUUAAUUUAAAAUAAAUAUUUAAAAAUAAAUAUGAAAUUGAAUAAUAUAUGAUGGUUUUAUCAUAAAAUUAAUAUACACUCGUGUAGCAAAAAAAAUAAUAAUGAAGUAGAACGAAAAAACUGAAAAUUGAAAAAAAAAAAAGAAAAUAAAAAAGAGAAAGCAAUCAGACCAAUACAUUGGGUAGAAAAAUGAAAACAAUAAUUUGGUUAUUUCAGUGUUUGUAUAUGAGGUUGAAUUUGUUUUCUGAAAACAAUUCCUGUGAAAAUGAAAACGACAUACCAAACAUAUUUUUGGUAGAAAAUGAAAACGGGGCCUUGAAAACGUUACUUAAACGGCCCCUAAGAUUCUAACAGUGCCUCUUCCUAUUUCCAGUAUUGAUGAUCAGAUGAUUUGGGGCCUUAGUCCCUCUGGUGUAUUUACCAUUAAAAGUGCUUUUAAUUUAUAGGUUCCAGAUUCAGAACUCAUUUGCAGAACCAUAUUCUUUUGAAAAUGUGGAAGUUAUAUAUUCCCUCCAAAGUUAAGUUGAUUGCUUGUCUCCCUUUGAGAAAGAGACUUAAUGUUAGAAGUCAUCUAAAUAGACUUUUGCCUCACAUUAACCUGGAUGGUACUCUUUGUAAUAAUGCUCCUGAAACUAUCGAUUAUUUGUUUCUUACUUGCUCUUUUGCUAAUAAUAUUUGGAGUUGUGUAAAUGAUAAUUUGCUAAAACCUCCUAUUAGUACUGAUCUUCUUACUUGGCUUGACAUGUUGCCUACAACAAAUUCUGUCCAGGGUCCUUGCCAGCUCUCCAAAGCGAUUAUGAUAUGUUGCACUUAAGCUCCUUAUGCGAUUCCAUCAAGUUUGCACGUGUUUCGUGAAGCCAACUUCUUGGCAAAUGCUCUUGCCAACCUUGGCCAUAAGCUAUCCCCUUCGUUCUUGUGGGAAGUUGGGUUGUCAUUACUUCAUACUCCUGCUUUCUUUUUUGAUCUCCUGGGGCCUUUGUAUCCAAGAAAUUUUGCUUUGUAAUUUUCCUUUCCACAUAAAAAAAAUAUGUUGAAGAAAUCAAUACUAAUCUAUAAAAAAUAAAAAAAAACCAUCAAAGCCUGUAAUAAAUUUAUUUUCUUUUUAGCAGAUAAUAAAUUUAUAUACAAACCCAUGAAAAUAUGUUAUAUGACUUCGUUUGGUUAAUGGAAUGAAUUUAAGAGGAAAUUAUUUCUCAUGUCAUUUCCCAUGUUAGAAAUCAUUUCUUAUGUCCUAAGAGAUGAGAAAUGGAAGAUUCUUUUCCCAUGUUUGGUAAUGCUGGGAAAGUAACCGGGAUAUAUCACUUUAUUUCCUUUCCUAUGUUUGUUUUGAGUAGGAAUGAAAAACAAAAUUUGUAUAAAUUUUCAAUUAUACCCAUAUUAAAUUAAAUAAAAAAAGAAAGCAUUUAAUAAUACAGUCCUGAUCUCUUGGACCCCUGUAGUCCAAGAGAUUUAUGGUCACUCACCGUUGGAUGUAAAUUCAACGGUUCACUCAUUUAUGACUUGAAUCGGGUAAUAAUCAUUUAUGUCAUAUUGCAUUUAUAUAUAUCAUUUUGAACCAUUGGAUUAAUAUCCAACGGUGGGUGACCACAAUCUCUUGGACUCCUGUGGUCCAAGAGAUCGGGACUGUUAAUAAUAUAUUGUAAUUCUAAAUUGUUAAUGGGGACAAAAUGGUCAUGAAAAAUGUGUAUUUAAUGUUGGUUUAUUUCCCCAAACUUUCCCAUGAGGAAAGAAAACAAAACCCAAGUUGGGAAGAUGACUUCACUUUCCCCCUACUUCCCCAUGGGUCAGGCAACAAUUUCUCAUACCUGAAUUUACCAAAUAUGGGAAAAUAAUUGAUUUCUCGUCCCCAAGUCUCCUUUCUCAUGAAUCAAACGGGGCAUAUAAGCCUAUCCCAAAGUCCAUGGUUUAUUCUAAGUAAAUUUAGGUUUUAGUAACAAAAAAACUUUAACUUUUGGAAAAAAGCCAAAUUUGUUUCCAAAAAAACAGAAAAACUUCUCAAUUUUCAAAUCAAAGACAUGCAAAUAUAAAAGAUUUCUUAGGAAAUUCAAAAAUAAAUAAGGACAAUUUUAUCCUUUUUAACUUUUUAAAAAAAAUUUCUCUCUCCUUUAGCCUUUUUCAAAAUCUCCUGUCCAAUUUUUUUUGGUUCGGGGAAAGUCUCGAUUGAAUACACCAGUAAACAUAAAUGAAAACAUAAAAUUUAGUAAAAGAAAAAGAAAAGUAAACCCCACCUCCUCUCUCACUCCCCUCUGUGCCACCCACCGCCUCCACCGAGACCUUACCCGUUACCGUCAAAUUCACCAGCCUCAGCCGACCCCACCCCUACCUCCUCCUCCUCCUCUCUCUCUCUCUCUCUCUCUCUCUGGCUCUCUCAUUCAGUUUCUCUCUCUAUUUCCGCCCAAACACCCCGACCCAAAUCUACCUCUGCUAAACCCACUCUCUCAGCUCUCUCAUUCGAUCCCAAAACCCAAAUACCGUCAAAAACCCAAACGCCCAGACCCGAAUCGUCAUCUCUCUUGAAACAAGGUAAAGUCUUUUUCUUGGUUGAAUUUUUCGUGUGGGUUUGAUUUCUAGAAUGGUUUUAUAUCUACAUGCAUGUCAAAAGUAUGAGUCGGUGAUAGUGAUAAUAUUCCUAACAUGUUAUUCCUCGUUCUUGCACUUUAUAGGUUGCGUAAAAUUGGAGGCAGAGAGGUUUGCUGCCGCAUUGUAGCUUAAGCUAAUCUUCAGACAUGGUAAGCCAAACUUCAGACACUUUAUAGUUUCCGGAAACAAUGCUCUUUGUUCUUGGGAAAUUGCAGGAAAAGAUAUAUUUUCUAAGGUUUAAGUUUUAAUUGUUUGAUUCUUCGUACCCUAUAUAAGUUGAUGAUGACAUCUUGAAAUUGGGGUUUUGGGUUUGUUUGUUUGUUUGUUUUUCGGAUGCAUAAAGUCACAGGCAGAUAUUAGGAAGUGGUUUAUGAAGUCGCACGACAAGGGCAAUGGCAAGAAACCUGCGCCGACUACUUCACAGACUCCUUCUACAGCUAAGGAAGAGCCUAAAGAACCAGUGAGUUUUCGGUUUGGUUUGGUGACAAACUAAGAUUUUGUUGCAUUUGCUUGGUUGUGUCUGUAAAAGUCAGACAUAUCGUUUUUAGCAUCUAUGGUUUGGAUAAACUAACAGCUACUUGAUGCAGGUCUGAUUGGGUUUAAAUGGUUUUAGAGACAUUAGUUUGUGUUAUUUGCUUCUAAACAACAAUAUGAUUUGUAAACACUGUAUGUUCUUUUUUAAAACAAAAAAGUAGAAUGAUUUUUCCACUGCGUGGUUUUAAGAGAAUUGAUAUACAAACAUUGUACUGAAUAUAAUGAUAAGAAAAGGAGGCUUGUUUUCUUAAUCAUGUUAUGUAUUUUGUUCUUGUAGUAAUCAAGGAAACUAUGAAAGUGUAAUCAGAAUCUCAAACCAAAACGGAAAUUCCACAGAAAGAACACCACCCCCUCCCAAGUUGGCUAGUCCACACAGGAGCAUGGGAAUUUCGAAACUUUGUUUGUCAUAAUAAACUUUCCCAUUUGUUUUCUUGUGUGCUUUUAUCUGUGAUAAACCAGGUGCAUGGAGGUCAAGAGAAUCCAGGCAGGAGGAAAACUAGCAAGUAUUUUACCACAGAUAAGCCAAAAGCUGAAAAAGAAACUGAAGUUCCAGCCAAAAGAAAGACUCACAAGGAACCUGAUGAAUCCGUGAAACCCUCACCUGCAAAAAAAGUUCACAAAGUUGUCGAUGAUGACGAUGAUUUUGUCUUACCUCAUUCAAAGAAGAACUCAGUUGAUGCGACUCCUAGUAAGAAAUUGAAGAGUGCAUCUGGCGUGGGAGUCCCACAGAAACUUACGGCUAUUGAUGAAGGUGGUGAUAAUGACGUCAAGGAUGCUGAAUCUCCUCACAAGCCUGGUGGUAAGGGUCGUGGUGGAAGAGGUACUUCGGCAGGACCAGCUGGUGGAAGAGGUACUUCGGCAGGACCAGCUGGUGGAAGAGGCAGGGGCGCUGGACGAGGUGGAUUUAUGAAUUUCGGAGAUAGAAAAGAUCCUCCACACAAAGGAGAAAAGGUUUAGUGUUUUGGAAUGCCUGGAAUUGAUUGUUGAAAUGAUCGUAUUAUUCUUGAUGUUAACCAUUAGUCCCUGUUUGCGUGUCUCAGGAAGUUCCUGAAGGUGCUCCAGAUUGUUUAGCUGGUUUAACUUUUGUAAUUAGUGGUACACUUGACAGGUAUUUGUUUGUUUGACUUUCACAAGCUUGUUUGUACAUUUGGUUGUAGAUUUAAAAUCCCUUGCACAUACCUUCUUGGGAAUCAGCAACCCGAUUUUUCUAGGAAGCUAUUACAUAUAACGGCUUCAUGUACUUGUUAGGAUUGUGUUGAUAUUAUUGUUUCAAUUACGAUGUUUGUCUGGUUGCAUUAAUUAAUUUGAUUAUGUCUUCUUUCCUUGCUUUCUUGGUAGAGUUUAAUAAAUAUUUAUCUUGCAGCAUAAGAUUGAAGUUUAAAAUUUUACCAUACUUACAGUUUGGAAAGAGAGGAAGCAGAGGAAUUGAUAAAACGUCAUGGCGGUCGUAUUACUGGAUCUGUCAGCAAGAAAACGGUUACUUCAUGUUUCUAUCUUGUAAUUUCUUGUAUUUUGAUACCACUGCUGGCAUGUGAUUAACAUAGUCUGUUUGCAGAACUAUCUUUUAUGUGACGAAGAUAUUGAGGGAAGGAAAUCCUCUAAAGCCAAAGAACUUGGGUUUGUUAUCUUGGACCGAACUAGAUGCAAUUUCAUAUUACUUCUGCUUCCUUUAUUUAUCAUCUAAAUUUUAAUUGUAUUCUGUAGUACUGCUUUUCUCACCGAGGAUGGACUGUUUGAUAUGAUUCGGGCAUCUAUCCGUGCUAAAGUACCUGUGCAAGAGGCCAAGAAAUCUGUGGAUGAUGCGGCAGCAGCACCUUUGCCCAAGAAAAGUCCUAAUAAAGUAGCAUCAAAGAGUAUGUUGCAGUUAACUAAGCAGUUUUGGUCUAUCAUUCUUAUGGCAGAUUCAUAAUUUAGUUUUUGGUUUGACUGGGUUUAUGUGUGUGGGCCAUGCUUAAUUGCAUAUCACAUAGUUUGUUGAGUGGGCAUUCUUGCUUUUCAUUUUGCUUUAUCUUUUUGUCUGUCUAACUCUGUAAUUUCUUAUGUGGAUUUACUGUGUUUUUACAUUGACCUCUUUAUUCAUAUAGGCACUUGAAUUAUGUAUAUGUUUACUUUCUCUCUCUCUCUCUCUCUCUCUCUCUCUCUCUCUCAUUGUGUCCAAUUAUGUGUUGUUAUGCAGUGUAGUGUUUAUGCAUAUUGUCACACAGCUAGAUACAUAAAAACAUUUAUAGAUAAUUCAUAUAUAUAUAUAUAUAUUUAUUUGUACAUAACUUUUGCUUUACUAAGCAAUAACGUUCUUGAGGCAAUCUGCUCAAAGACAAUGAAGAAAGUACCUUACCCUCCGUUUGGAUGAAUGAAUUGAAAAUUGCACAGAAUUCUUAAAUGACGGAAUUUAUAUCUCCAUCGUUUAAAUUUCUGGCAGUUGAUGAUUUCAGUGUUUGGAUUUAUGUAUCUUGAAUUUUGUAAAUGACACAAAUUAUAGGGAAAACGAAAACCUGAUCAGUAGAAAUUGCGAAAUGACGCUUCUUUUAGCAGAAAUUAAACUCAGGAAUCUUGAUACCCAAUUUCCAUGAUUUUUUCCGCGUGUCAUUUAAUAAGUUCCGUGCUUAAGUUGCCAAACAAUGAAAAUAUCAAUUUCUCCUCUUCAAUUCCCGACUUUUAGCUAAAUCCCAAGUUAUUUUCCUCCAUCCAAACGGAGGAAAAAUUGAAAUGAGAUUUCGAAGAUAUUAAUGUAGCAUUGGCUACUGUACAGUUCUGCAGGCAAAUAAUCAUCAUAUGUUUUUGCACUGUCCCCCCCUCCCUUCACAAAUCUGGAGCAAACAAGUUGUCUUGUAGUUUGGUUUGGGUGAUUGGAAGGAACUGUGAUUAUCUGCUCUCAGAUGUUAUCAAUAUGAUUAUCUUAUAUUCUCCUUCAUCUUUUUAUUUUUAAGUGUAGCCAUAUAUCCAAUAAAAAUUUACUCUCAAUUUUACUUUUGAAGGAAUAAUACUUAGAUUUUUUUGUCAAAAAAAAUGUUGCACAUUGUUAUCUUUUAACUAAAUGAUCAAAGUCAACUUUGUGAUGAUUCUUCUUCUUCUUCUUCUUCUUGACCCCUUCGCAUAUUUCUCUACCUUCAAAAGUGUGUAUAUCUCUCUCUCUCUCUCUCUCUCUCUGCCCAUCUUGUAUCAUGUGUAUAGUAUUUUGCAUUGAUGGAGCCUAUGCCCUGGAGGGCACAAGUAAACUUUCUUGUUAUAUGGAGUUUGGAUGCUUUUCCUAGCAGGUUAAUAUAGUAGUUGCAUCUUAUUUGAAGAAUAAAAAGUAGUUGCAUGGUUAUUGAAGUUUUCUUAUAAAAUAGACAUGUACUGUUCCAGAAGAUUGUGCUGGAAGCUCCUUGGCAUCAAGUGUAUCCCACAAACAAUUGGAGUCAGAUGCUUCCCAUGCUAGGCGUAAGAAGCAACCUACUGAGCAUUCUGCCUCUACUUGGACAGAAAAAUAUAGGCCAAAGGUUCCAAAUGACAUUAUCGGGAAUCAGUCACUGGUAUGCCUGUUAAUUAUUGCUUUACCACCAUUGCAUCUGCUGUUGAAUCGUUGUCCGCACAUGCAUCUAUCUAGAAACCAUUGUAAGUUUGUUAUUGUGAUAAAAUUUAUGUAAUGUCUAAUAUGCAGGUAAAGCAGCUUCAUGAUUGGUUGGUACAUUGGCAUGAGCAAUUUCUUGAUACUGGAAAUAAGAAAAAAGGCAAAAACCCAACCAAUUCUAGUGCCAAAAAGGCUGUACUAUUAAGUGGAACGCCUGGUAUAGGGAAAACGACGUCCGCUAAGUUAGUCAGUCAGAUGCUUGGUUUCCAGACAAUUGAGGUGUCAAUACUUUUACCAAAUUUGCAUAACUAUGGAAUAAUUUGAAUGUUGCUGAGUUAUGUUACUCAAUGCAAAUGCCUGCAUAUUGUUUAGGUAAAUGCUAGUGACAGUCGUGGGAAAGCUGAUUCCAAGAUUGAAAAGGGAAUUGGUGGAAGCAAUGCAAAUUCUAUUAAAGAGCUUGUCAGCAACAAGGCCCUGAGCAUGGAUGGGUUGGUUUUACACACUUUCUCUAUAUAAUGUAUAUUUUUUGGGGUCAUUUAUGCAUAGGAUGUGCCUGAAGGAAUUUAUUUUCUCUAGUUAAUUCUUAGUUAAAUUUGCAGAUUAAAGCAUCCCAAAACUGUGCUAAUUAUGGAUGAGGUUGAUGGGAUGUCUGCUGGAGAUCGGGGAGGAGUUGCUGAUCUUAUUGCUAGCAUAAAGAUUUCUAAAAUUCCUGUGAUCUGCAUUUGUAAUGAUCGUUACAGUCAGAAACUGAAAAGUCUUGUGAACUACUGUUUACUUCUCAGCUUUCGGAAACCUACUAAACAACAGGUCCCCCCCACCUCCCUAACAGUAAAUUUUUGGUGUUUUGAUAUAUUUUAGUAUUUUAAAGAAUUUGUUCUUAUAUGUUACUUGAGUGCAUUCUUUCUAGUAAUUACUUGCAAGUUGCCAAACCAUGCUACUAAUUGGUUCUUAUUAAUGUUGGCAAUGUUUAAAAAGUUUGGAGCGCUGUCAUUGAAUGAUUUUUCUAAUUUUUUAAUUUGGCUUGCUAUAUUGAUUGAAAGUGUGCACUGCGACAUAUGUGUGUGCGCACUCGGACACACAAACUGACAGAUGUGAUGAAAAUUAAAUUGUUUAUGCUGGUUGUGAUGCAUAAGAAACUUUUUUGUUAAUUAAGCCAAUGACUAAUGUAUUUUAAAGGAUUCCACAACAUGCUCCUAUAUCUGUAACGUGAUAAUUUUUGUUGCUUUAUGAUGUUGGGUGCCACAAAAACUUCUUUGGUAUGAGAGAUAUUUUUUGAUCAUUAAACAAGUGGUUUAAUAGGUUAUUUUUGUCGACCUAGAACUGAAAGAUUAAUUUUCGACAAUAAAAGUGUCUUUGUUCCAUUCAUUGGCAUUUUGGUAGUGAAUACUAAACAUUGAAGUCAAACAAAUUUACCAAGGUUGACAAAAAACAUUUUGGUUAUGCUACAGACUUGUUUGUUUCGUUUGGUUCUGGGUAUAGCAAUAUCUGUUGUCUAACAACACGCUGGCAUGUUUUUUCUCAAAGCCUCAGCUCUUAUCCUUUCCAGCCUCGGGUUGUAGUACCUGAACUUGAAUUGUAAUUUUUUUUAAGCAGUUAGAGAAAAGCAUUAAAAUGUGAAGGCGUGAUUUGGUCCAUAAGAAAGAACCAAUUGAUUUGUUAUUGGAUUUUAUUUCUUUUGGACAGGGAAACAAGUUUGGCAUUAUUUUUCUGUAAGUUAGGAUGUAAAUAUCUCUGGCAGCGAUAAAUGGGCAGCACUCAAACACUCACUUUUGACUUUAUGUUUUUGAGGAAAAUCUCAUGUAGUGUGAUGUUUAGCCAAUUUAAUGUAGGGAAAACCUUUUCGUUCCUGUAUAUAAAAUACAGAUAUAUGCUUCCCAUGGCCUGUUGUGCAUGCAUGUGGGCUGAUGUAGUUGUGAAAAUCUGCAUUGGUGAUUGCAUAUAGAAGUGCUUGUUUUUCUUCAUGUGUAUAUGGGCAUGGAUAGGAAAUUUUAUUUUUGUGCAUUUGUAAUACAGUUAGAAAUGACAUUUCAUGCUUUUUGACUCUUAAAUUUGGCUUACCUUUGAAUAAGGUUUGAAUGACGUUGCUGCCAGGAAGCAGUUCUAACACUUUAUAUUGUGUUCAUGGUGGUAGAUGGCAAAGAGGUUGAUGCAAAUUGCAAAUGCUGAAGGACUUAAAGUUAAUGAGGUAAAUAUUGUGAUGAAAGUCUAACUGUUUGGAGUUAUCAUGUACCAUAUUGCUACAGAAGCUUUGGACCCCACCAAAUAUUGUAAAUUAUUAUUUCUGGAAAUAUUAAGCGUGAGACAAAUUCUAUUGUUAAGCAAAAUGGACUAUAUUGUAGAAUUAUAUAAUUUAAUUUUCUUUUACCCCCUUUGUUAGGGCCUAGUUCAGUUUAGGUACUUGUUCUUUUUGUGUUAAGUGCUAACCUUCGUAAUUGUAUUUUGUACUAUGGUUUUACGUGUGAUCAAGUAUCUGGCUUAUCUGGUUUCUGACAUGUAUUUAAAGGUUCUUUUUUAUUCCCAUGUUGAUUAAUCUUCUUGUCAUUUUCUCAGAUUGCUCUUGAGGAACUCGCAGAAAAAGUUAAUGGAGACAUGCGAAUGGCAGUUAACCAGUUGCAGUAUAUGAGCCUAUCAAUGUCUGUGAUUAAAUAUGAUGAUGUAAGGCAGCGCUUAUUAAGCAGUGCAAAGGAUGAAGAUAUUUCACCAUUCACAGCUGUUGACAAGUAUGUCCGCAAUAUUUUCAUUUUUGGCUCUGGUUUUCUGCAUCUUGCUGUCUAUUGAUAUGCAUGUCUUCUCUUAUUCAUUUCUAUUUGCUGUACUUUGUUUCUUGAUCGAUUUAUGCAUAAAAAUUCUUUAAUAUUUGAGGUUGCUGUUUCAACCAUGACUUUACGAUUCACUUCUUUGCUCUCAAUUAUAUGCUUUGUUUUUGUUUUUAAUAAAAAACAAAAUUUUAUUGAUAAACUUUGGAACAGUACAAAGAUGCAGUGGAAAAGCUAUCCACUGAGAAAAUGUAGAAAUUAAGAAACUAACCCACCAUCCACAAAUCAGAAAAACUUAAGGUCUGAGCUCAAUUCUUUUUUGAUUUUGAGAAAUGAAGUUUUAUCGGAAUCUUAAUGGAAAACAUACAACGUAAUACCGCAACGCACCAUCUACCGUACAACAGGAAUACAUUAAAAUUCAUUGCAUAAGCUUAAAUAAGUACAGCCUUCCAAUUGGCAAAAAUUCCAAAGGCGGUAUUUCCCUGAAUACAGAAGAAACCGGAGCUGAUAAUGAUGCCCAAAACUGUAACUUGUUCCGUAAAACCUCCACUUUCACGAUGCCCAAAACCUUACAAUAUCCCAUAAAACCUCUGUUUGUCUCCCCUCUAUAACUUUUAAAGAUCCUUUUGUUUCUCUCUAACCAUACCACCCAAAAUACAGGCAUUACACCACAAUCUGAUGAAGUCUUUGCCUUCUUUCCUUCGCCAAAAGCGUCUUGUUUCCCUCAUGUUAAAUUGAACUUCUCAGAAUCUUGUUACGGGUACUUUUUCCAGUCAGUGAAGGCUCUAUUUGGCCUUCAGGAGUGUUGAGAAUAUCCCACAUCCAAGGAUGGAGGCCUAGCUUAAGAGCUUAAAAGAUCUUGGGCCUCUCCAUCCUUUCCCAUUUGGUUUUGGGUUGAAUGCUUUCAUUCUAGUAUGCGUCCAUUACCAUGUGUGUGAUGCUGACUUGUCUUUUUGUCCUGCAGGCUGUUUGGUUUUAAUGCAGGAAAGUUGCGGAUGGAUGAGCGUGUUGACCUGAGCAUGAGUGAUCCUGAUCUAGUCCCUCUUCUUAUACAGGUGCGUGCUUUGCUAGCGCAGCUGUUUUUGGCUGGCAUAUUCUGAAUAAAAAAUGAUAUAACAAACGGUGAGAUAUUUUAAUCUGCUGAGUUUCACUAUCGAAUACUACUGCCAGAAGAAGACUUGCAGUGCAUAGUGUUAACAGGCUGCAUGGAUGAUAACCUAUUCAGCAGUUUCUGUUUCAUGUCACUGGUUAACUAAUAAUUAUCAUAUACGUUUGUAAUAACAAUAACAUCAGGAGUGCUGGUUAAUUAUAAACAUAUGACUGCACGAAGCAUUAUCUUGGAAUGCUUUUCAGUUGAAAAUGAUAUUAAUGUGAAUAGAAUUUUUAAGGGACACUUAACUUAGUAGGAGCAUAUUCCUAAAAGAUACUUUUUCGACGUUUCCUUUGAUGUGUUAUUUCACUAAUCAGAACUCAUGAACAAUUUUAUUUUAUUUUUACAAGUAAAAGAAAUUUACUAGAGCGAACAGGUGAUGGGUGGUAUACACCUUAACAAAUGAUUCCAAUGCUCACAUACUGAACUGUUCUGACUAUCAUUACAGCUCUUCAGACAAAUUUCUAAUACUAUGUGAGAACUUGAACUUGCAUCGAUAUGAAGAACUGUUUUAACAUUUGUAUCAUGACUCUGGCCAAAAAAGAAAGAGCAACAGUUGUAUCAUGAGAUUAAUCUGGAAUAUUCUUAUAAUUUGGUAUGAUAACUAUGAAAUAGGAAGAAAGGAUAAAAAAAUGUAUAUUCUAAGCUAUCAGUCUCUUUCUCUCUCCCCCUUCUCUGUAGAUAUAAUAUAUAUAUAUAUAUCAAUAUUCAAGUCAAGAAAGAGUUGAAAGGAAGCUUAGUGUGUUCUUACUCACCACACUCUCCUCCAGUUUUUAAAUAUGUGCUAUUUGACUUAAGAUCUUAGUGCGGCUAGUACCCAUACGAAUGACUAGAUAUUUGAUUUUGCUUCAUUUUCUUUUGAUCACUUCCAUUCUUCAUGGACUUAGAUGUAAACUUACAUUUAUUCAAACAUGGACACUUAUGCUGUCAAAUUUUAACCUUAUUCUUUUUCCAAAUGAUGAUAUUUGUAGUGAAAUGUUUAAAUAUUCUCGUAUAUUAAGCUUAUUAUGCAAUUUCUGGCAGGAAAAUUAUAUUAACUAUAGGCCAAGUUCGGCUGUCAAGGAUGAUAGUGGGAUAAAACGCAUGAACUUGAUUGCCCAUGCCGCUGAGUCUAUUGGCAAUGGGGAUAUUUUCAAUGUACAGAUUAGAAAAUAUCGGCAAUGGCAGCUUUCCCAAAGUGCUUGUCUUUCAUCCUCUAUUUUUCCGUAUGUUUCUUAACAUCAGCUAUGGAAGUCGAAAUAAUAUCUUUAUGAGUGUAUUCGUAUUUCUAGUAUGUGGUAUCAUUUUUAUACUCAUUUUUUGUUAUAAUCAGUGCUGCAUUGUUGCGUGGGCAAAGAGAGACACUUGAGCAGGUAAUGAAUUUCUAUUACAUGCAAGCUUAUAAAUUCCAAAAGUGUAACUGAUGCUCUUUGUGGCCUUGGAAAAUGUAUUGAUUCUGUGUGCUCUAGCGAUUCACAUUUAUUGUCCCCAUUGAUUUUCUUUUUCCUUUUUUUUAUGUUAUGCCAGAGGUAUACGCCAUAUUUGGGAUAUUAUGUGAUUGACUUAUGCUAGUGUAGACUAUUGUAAAAAAGUUCUGCUGGUUUCUUUGAGAGUGAAACCUGUGCUAGUUUCGUCUUUAGUGGGCUGAUCGUUGUUUAUGAAAUUAAGAUGAAGGUAGGGUGUUUUGUGGUGGAGCAGAACUUAUUUCUUGAAAGUUUAACGAGGAAAUUUAUUGAAAAAUGUGCUAAGGAGCUGCGUUUAACAAAGUAAUGUACUAGAGAUUACAGCCUCUCUUUAUGGUGACUAUUCAAUCAAACGAUUAAUUAAAGGAUUAGAAAAACAAAAGAUUAAUUCCACAGGGCUAGCUCAAGAAUUUGCUCCCAUUUCCAAUCCCUGUCUAAGUGUAGCAUUAAUCAAUCACUUAGGAGCUGCUCUAAGAACAGCUUGGUUAACCUUAUGAGAAUAGGCUCAUGCCAGCUUGGGUCAUUGCAUGCAGUCAAGGGAGUCUGACCCAUGCCACACCGACAAAUAUAGCUGAGGAACAUAACUCUCAAGGAAAGCAAAAUGCAAGGUUAUUUGACCCUUGCUCUGUUAUAGGACUAGCAGGUUGGGUCAACAUAGAAACUGUCUAGUUGGUCCCUCUUCCAGCUAGUCUCACUUCUUGUAAUAACUCUCUUUAAUUUUGUGUUUGUCACUUUAGUAAAUGAAUGAACCUUUACUUUCAGUAGAUUUUCACAUGGUUAUGCUAUUGUAAUUUCUCAUGAAAUUUUUGAAAAUCUUUCAAAUGCCUGACAAUAUAACUGGUUUUUCUUUAUAAUCAUAACUUCCUCUUUGUUCUCAUUGGACCACUGGUUCAACUGAAUUGUCCCCUUUCUUCAGUUUAUAGAGUUGGGUUUGAUUCCUAUUAAAGAGGACUUAUACAUUUGUGGUACUUGGAAAAUUCAGUUUUUGGGUUUUAUACCUUCCAAAUGUUGUGAAAUGUACAUGUUAUAUAUGCAUUGAGGUGUAUGCUUAUUGUCACAAGUUGGCCUUCUUUUGCAGGGAGAAAGGAAUUUUAAUAGAUUUGGGGGGUGGCUGGGAAAGAACUCAACACUUGGAAAAAAUUCGAGGCUCUUGGAAGAUUUGCAUGUCCAUCUUCUCGCUUCUCGUGAAUCUAGUUCGGGGAGGUAGUCUCUGUUCUACGUUUGAACUUCUGGUCACUAACCUAAUGCAUUUGUCUUUGAGUUUUGCAAUGGCUUAUGCCAACAUAUAAACGUUGUUGACUUGUAUAAGGACUGAAAUUAAUUUACAACCAAUGAUGUUUUUAAGGGUAAAUGUCUCCUUGGAACCUUAGGUCCUUUUGUAAACUUUUAUUUUCUUGUCUGCACAUUACCAGUGUCUCCUAGGAAAGAAACUUAACUUUUUUAUAUUUAUUUUGGAGCCUAAUGGUUAUCUUAAAAUUUCCCUUCUGUUUUUUGUCCUACUGUUCCUUGCCUUUUAGCUUGAAAAUUUUAGAAAUUUCCAUGUGCAAUCUCUGGAUUACUUUUGAUAUAAUAUAUUGGAUUAGUAAAUGUUUAUCAUAUAGUUUAUAUAAGGUUUUUAUUAGUAAAUAUGUGUUCAUUUCAAAGCAAUAGGGUGGAAGCACAAAACUAUGUUCACUCAAUGGUGUUCUUAGGAUGCUGAUUUACUUAGCUUCGUAGAUUCUUUGAUCAUAAGGUUCAGAUAUGCAAGGCAAAAUGUUUUUCUUGGGGUAUCCUCUGUUUGACUAACUAGAUAGAGUCUAGAAGCUAGUAUCCUCUGUUCUAGUCUCUUUGUGUUCUGUUCUCUUUACUGCAAAUGCAGUUUUAAUCUCAUCAUAGUCUGCUUCAUUUCUUUGCUGGUGCUAUUGGAAAGAGUUCGUUUGUCUGGAGGGAGAGAUGGUAUGAGGCGUUGGGAGUUGGCAUCUUCAGGAUAGUUCUCUUGAAAAUCUGUUUUUAGAAAUUUAAUUGAUAGAUCUGAUCAGUCAGUUUUUGCUCCAGCUGAGGUGAUAUGUGAAGCAAAGGUUUUGGGUUGGCUUGUGGUUCACAAGAGGGUGAGCACAUGUGGCUUGCUUCAGAAUAAGAGACCUAAUUGCUGCCUUUCUCCAAGUUGGUGUAAAAUGAAAGGAAGAUGCAGAUUGUUUGUUUGUCCAUUGUCCUGUAGCAUAAAACUUGUGGUGACUAUUCAAGGAGGCUGGAGUGAGUUGGGUAAUUCCACAAGGGUGCCAUUCAUUGCUUAGUGAAAGUCUUGCUGCUUUCGGUGGAGGAAAGAAGGCUAGAGUGUUAUGAGGUUGUUGCAGGAGGGCUAUCUUGAGGAUUUUUGACAAUAAAUGAGGGAUGGGGGUAGAAGCGCUGUGGGAGAGGGUGAGGAUUUUGUCGUCCCUUUGGGCUUCAGUUACAUCCAAAUUCAGGGAUCUUAAUUUCUCUUCUUAAUUUGCUAAAUUGGGAAGUAUCCGUAGCAUAAUGUGUUUGUUGUAGGUUUCGUUGAUUUCACUUGUAUCAGUUCUUUGUUUUUGGUAGACUCCUUGUUCACCACUUCUUGUGUCUAUUUCAUUAUCUUUUCAUAAAAAUUGACCUAUUUUGUCCCCCUUGAAAGGAUCUAAGUUUCUUAUGCUGUAAAUUAUUCAGGGAAACCCUGCGAGUUGAAUACCUUUCUCUUCUUCUGAAACGAUUGACCGUGCCACUCCGUGAACUUCCUAAGGUUGGAAACAAUCAAUUUUUGGUUGCGUAUGAAUCUUUAUAUCAAUAACAAAAGAUGUAAAAUAGUUGGGUUGAAGAUCAGUUGUAAAUCCAUCUUCUGUGUUUUAAAAAAUUACCAGGAUGAAGCUGUACACAAAGUUGUGGAUUUCAUGAAUACUUACUCCAUUAGUCAGGAUGACUUUGAUACUAUUGUGGAGUUAUCCAAAUUUCAGGUAACCCCACCUAACUUGGUGCAGCUUUGCUACUGUUCUAAAGUUGUUCAUGUUUUCUCAUCGAUACCUUACGUAUCAGGGGCACCCAAAUCCUCUAGAUGGGAUUCAACCAGCUGUAAAGGCAGCGCUGACAAAAGCUUACAAAGAAGGCAGCAAAACAAGGAUGGUACGAGCUGCAGAUUUUGUCACUUUACCUGGAAUGAAGAAGGCUCCUAAGAAGCGGAUUGCUGCUAUUUUAGAACCAUCUGUUGAUGUAAUUGGAGAGAACAAUGAUGAUACUUUGGUUGAGAGUGAAGAAGAAAAUUCGUCAGAUACAGAGGACUUAGGUAAGUUUUUGUCUGUAAUCAUAUUGUUGCUGUUUUCUUAUAUGUUUUUCUCUGUCAUCAGAUUAUUGCUGUUUUGUUACAUAAUUGCAGAUAGUGCAUUUUGAUAGGACUGCUUUAGUUUUAGGAAAUUUUUCACAAAUGGCAAUCUCGCUCUGAAUAAUGCAGUUUGUGAAAAGGUGGCGCCUUUCAGGAACAGUAAGCUGUAUAAUUAUUAUUAUGCGAAAUAAAGAUGGCAUAUGGUAACAUGCUGCACUCCAUAAAAUAAAUGGAGGGAAUGUUCCAUACUGUCUGGGAACAUCGUUUUGAUUCUGAAAAUUGUAAAAAGAAAAGGAAAUGCCGGGAACACGUUUGGAAAUGUUCUUUCAUGAACUGUUCAAUGAUAUAUUAUUUUUUCUGAGCAUCCAUCUCCGGGGAAUAUUGAAAUGAUGCCACAUUUUGCUCUUUGUUUUUGUUCAAGAAACCUGACACCACUAAAAAUGGUUUGUUUUAAAAUUAAUGCAAUUUUCUUAUGAUUGGCCAACAGAAACUUGGCGAUGAAUUUGAUUAUGAUAGGAUUGUAAUGGGUAGAAAAAACUAUGCAAACUAGAAUGCUUCUAGACUCUUUAACUAUUCUGGUUGACUGCGACUUAUUGGUGUUCACUUAGUGAUUGUUCUUUUCACACUUUUUUCAGAAGGUUCUGCGGCUGGUGAGAAACUGCAACAGGAACUUCAAAGUUUAAAUACAAAAGGUAGUUGGUAGCCACAUGGACUCACACACGCCCAUGUUCAUGUCAUUUAGGUGCACUUUAUUUCUGAAUGCAUGAUUUACGUGUGCCUCAUACUAUGUAGGAGUGCAUGUACAAUUCGAUUUGAAGGGUGCAACAAAUUCAAGUGCAAAGAAGACACCAACGGGCAGGGGUAGAGGUGGUUCAUCUGCCGCAGCUGAGAAAAAAGGAGGCCGAGGUUCAGGGCCUGGUGGAAAGAGAAAGAGAUGAAGGGAGGUGAAAGAAGAGACGUUGACUUUCCGUUUUCUUGUAUUUGGCUCGUUUUAUAAGAAAAUGUAAAUAGAUUUUUCCUCCACACAAACAUUUUUGGUAGGUCACUUGGCGAGGAAUGGUAUGUCUUCGGUUGUGUUGGUUUACGAGGUUACUGUUGGUGCUAUUGAAUUUGACUCCAAGAUUCAUCUUUUUGCCUUUAGUAGCGUUUUAUUUUCAUCAACGCACUAGAUAAUGGUUUUAGUAAGAUUAACUUGUGUUAACGGUGGUUUGUUCUUCACUCAUAUAGUGCGUCAGGUGACAAUUCUCAUUGAGUAAUCUGAGAACCAGAGCUUCUACAAAAUCACUUGCCAUAAAUAAUAAGUUCAUAAAAUAUGUUUGUCUGCUUCUAAUCUCACCAUGAGAAAUAUUAAUUAAUCUGCCUUAACAAAAGUAAUGCAAAGUAUUGGUUUGUAUUAAGCUUUGUUGGUUAAUACAAUUUUUUUAAUUUAAAUUUGCUGGUUGUUAAUCUUUAGUUAAGCUUAAUAUUUAGGGAGGGGAGUGUUUCCUCACACACAAAUGUCGGGUUUGAACAUGAGAUUAUUGGUCUGUAAAUUAAGAUCCUUUUUCAGUGGUCUCCGAGUCAAGUCAUGCUUAAAGAAUACUAAUAGGGGAUUUUUCUUUCAUGCGUUUUAUAGAUGUCAAACUUUGUUCAGCUGAUAAAAGUAAAACAUCAAAGCUCAUCACGGUGAUCGAAAACCAGAUGCAUCUAAAUUGCAAGGCAUGCCUUUCUCUUUGUGGUAGUAUAAUGAGCAUCCCUCUCAUACCCUCCAUAAUAAUCCUAAGCAUUAAUGUUGUAAAUUAGAUAAAGAGUGCUGCUAAACAAAUCUUAAAAUUAAUUGAGUACACCCUAUGAUCUAAGUACACUCUAAUAUUUAAAUCAAAAUGUAAAAUUAACUAAGUACAUCCUAGUUAACUACUAAAAAUACCCUUGAUAUACCCUUAUACACUCUAUCACACAACACCCUAAUCAAUCCUAAGCCAGAUUUCUCUUUUUACAUGAAUUCGUGCUCUAUUUUCCGAUUUUGGGUUUGCAGUACUUUUGAGAGAAAUUGGUAAGGACUGGAUUUGUGCACGAAUGAAAUUUUGUGUUGAUUUGUCAAAUUGCAUUGGCUCAUCCAAAAUUUCAACUGCAGCUAUGGCUAAAGAUGGGACCUGGUCGAUUGAGAAGCCAACACUUCAGAACAUGAACAAGCAAGGUGAGCAAGAUUGCUUCAGUUUUAACAUCACAAUAACUGAAGGGGUCCUUUGUAGCAAUGUUUACCUAAAUGGUGUACAUAUUGAUGAUGGUUGUCAUGUCGACAGUUGAAACUAGUGUAACACCCCAUGAUACAACAAGUGGAAUGCUAACCAAGAUAUCUGAAUCCGAUUGUGAAACUCGGAAUCGAUUUAUAAAUUGUAAAUAAUUGAGGGCCUUGAGUGGAGAAUUGAAAGGCAACCUUCUUGAUAACUGACUUGAAACCGCAAUCCAGUUUUCCAAUAAAUGAAUUACGAUUGCUCUAAUAAGGGAGGGAGGGAGAGAGAGAUGGAGACGGGGAGCAAUAAAACGGAAAUAGAAAAGUUUUCUCCCAACUAACGAGGCGUCAAAAGUCUGCAUUUGGACAACACCAAUAAAGGGCAUUUGGAGAAGAUGCUCAACCCAGCAAGAUCAGAAAACUAAUUGUUAGACGUUAGAGUAAAAUUUUCAGAUUCUACGACAGGCGGAUGAAACUCAUUGUUUAUGUAUGUACGGAUAAAAAAUACAUUUGUAUUAUUAUUAACAUAUGGUCAAUAUGUUCUUUUUGGUCAUUUUAUAUAACGGUAAAUUAGUAAUUCAAUAAAUAGUUUGGUAGUAGAGUGUGCUUAGUUAAUUUUAAGGUUUAUUUAGCAACACUCUAGAUAAAUCCAUACAUACGUAAAACGAGCAUAAUAAUAGUAGCUAGUAGGAAUUAUAUCCCAACAAUUCAACAAGAACGAACAAAGUAGUGAUAUUCUCACUCUCAUAGCAAUACUACAAAUAAUAGGACAAAACAAUAUUUGUAAACACACGAGUGGUCCAUAUAGUUCUCCAGAAAUCCCUAAAAUAGAUCUUGCAUCUAGGUAUGCAACACCACAUGAAAGGCCCAUACCAUAUGUGAUUAUGAACCUUUAUUUAACUACAUAUAGAUAUAGUAGUACAACAAAUAUUACUGUCCGGCUGGGAAACGAAACCGUCAAUAUGCCACUGACAAUAUGCCGAUAUAAUUGUCGCAAACAAAACGUACUCACAUGUUAUCGAUACAAUUUCACCAAUAUUAACGGACAUAUAUUAUUUCAACAAUGUCGAUGCACACAACCUUUAUUUAAUAAAGAACUGAUGGCUUGCAUAGAGAACUUCUGAGAUAUUCAUCAGAGACAUAUAUGUAUACACCAUUUUUAUUAAGGGGUGGUGGUUAUUGAAGGUGGAGAGAACGGAAAUAUGGGAGUUGAUGGGAAAUUUGGAAGUGAAGUAAUAAUAGGGGGAGGCAACCUAUAUUCUGGCCAUAAAGGUGCGGGGGUCAGAGGAGGAAACUUCAGGUUCCGAGGAGGAAACUUCAGGUUAGGGAUCUUAGGCAGCUUAUAAUGAGGAAAGGUAGGGGCUAAGAGUUUUCGAGGAGCGGCGAAAGCUAAAUGUGUGCUUGAAAGUAAUGAAGCGACGACAAAGAUAGCUAUGACAAACGAUUUCCAAGUGGCCAUCUUAGUGUGUGGAAAUAAAGCUGAUGAAAUUUGAUGUGGACGAGAAGACCAGCCUAUGGUUAUAAUUUAUAACGUUGAUUCCAUUGGGAACAAGAACAACCCCAUUUAUUUUUGGUUUUAAAUGCUGUAAAAUUCUGUUGAAAAAUAAAAAUAUGUCAGAUGCCGGUAUGGGUCAAAAUUUAGAAUAGGAUAGUACUAAUUUGUAGUUUUCCAUUAAAAGUCUCGCAGUUGGUAGGUACACCUAUCAUUGUCUUGGUUUCUAUUUUGCUUUGCCAUGCCAUUCUUCACAAAGAGAUAUGCCAUUUUUCUCGUUCUUCUUGAAAAGGAAAGGUUGAUAGAAUAAUUAAUCUCAAAGAUAAAAUAGACUUUGGCUGGAAAGGGAUAAUGAAAUGAUUGAAAAAGGCGAUGCGGCCCUUUGUUGUUUUGUUGCCGAUAACAAUAUAUAUAUAUAUAUAUAUAUAUAUACAGAGAGCUUUCAUUGAGGGAUCCUUCAAAUAAGCUUAUUUGAGGGACACCCCUUGUAGGCCCCAUUCCGGAUUGUAUUUCACUAAUCCAAACCGUCUAUUUUGUACAUACUCAUUCAAAGAUCAUCUCAACAAAAAAUCACUUGAAUCCGAUAUUAUUUGACCACUCAAUUAAGCUAUUGAAAUUUUAGCAUUUUCUUGAAGCAUCGUAUUCUUUGAUUUUGUAAGACACAAUUGGAUGUCGAAAUGGUUUCCGAUUUGUCUAAUUUUUUGUAAGGAUGAUCUAUGAAUAAAGACCUAAAAAAUAGAUGGUUUGGAUCAUUGGGAAAAAAAAUUGUGGGGUACCCUAAGGGGUGUCCCUCAAAUAAAAUUAUUUGAGGGAUCCCUCAAUAGAAGGGGACUGAUAUAUAGAGAGCUUCUAUUGAGGGAUCCCUCAAAUAAGCUUAUUUGAGGGACACCCCCUUGUAGGCCCCAUUCCGGAUUGUAUUCACUAAUCCAAACCGUCUAUUUUGUACAUACUCAUUCAAAGAUCAUCUCAACAAAAAAUCACUUGAAUCCGAUAUUAUUUGACCACUCAAUUAAGCUAUUGAAAUUUUAGCAUUUUCUUGAAGCAUCGUAUUCUUUGAUUUUGUAAGACACAAUUGGAUGUCGAAAUGGUUUCCGAUUUGUCUAAUUUUUUGUAAGGAUGAUCUAUGAAUAAAGACCUAAAAAAUAGAUGGUUUGGAUCAUUGGGAAAAAAAAUUGUAGGGUACCCUAAGGGGUGUCCCUCAAAUAAAAUUAUUUGAGGGAUCCCUUAAUAGAAGGGGACUGUAUAUAUAUAUAUAUAUAUAUAUGUUAUAUUGUUGUUUGGGUGUGGUCUCCAAUUCCAAGUCAAGUCACGUCAAGUCAAUGGUCUCAAUUUCAAGCCAAGUUAAUAGACUCAAUUUCAAGCCAAGUCAAGUGGUUCCAAUUUCAAACUAAGUCAAGACAGACUCAACUUCACAAGAAAUUAUUAUUUACAAUGAAAGUAAAUAAAUGAAAGACCAAGGAGUUUUGGUUGGGAUUUCACUCAAAGGCGAACUAGUGGCCCAUGGAUUCUCUCUCUCUCUCUCUCUCUCUCUCUCUCUCUCUCUCUAUAUAUAUAUAUAUAUAUAUUUAAUACGAAGGAGUAAGAAGUCAUAUGAACUUUGGCCAAGUUUCUUGAAAAUGCCAAAUUGCCUAAAGAUCUUUAGGCAAAAAGAUCUGAUGAAAGUUCGAAGGCUAACUUUAUGGCUUUAUACUAUCUAUAUAAUAAUAUUUAAACUCAACAUGAUGCAGAUGGACUCAUUAGAAUUCUAAAUCACCCAACAUCAGUGGAUUAUGUUUAAUCAAAACUAGAAACUCCGGAAACCAUGAUGUCUCACCAGAAGAAAAUAAUGCCCUGUUGAAACUGGUGAGUUCGUACUCCAUUGGUACGCUGAGAAGGCUAGACAUGCUGCAGGUUUCUAAUGAAAAGAUUCUGGGAGACCAGGAGAGACUCAUGGCUAAGCUUAAGAGGCGCCAUUCUCUUCCUUCAGAGGCUUCCAGAACAUAAUGUAAUCUUUUAGAUUUUACAGAGCCUGCACCUUUAUUGCAGGUGGAAAAUCUAUCUGUUGUAUGCCUUCUUUCAUGUUAUAAUAAUUGUGCAAAUUCUUAAACUUGCACCUGUGGUUUUUACGUCUUUUCAAAAUGACGAUUUGGAACCUUGUGUCUUAUAGGUUCAAGUAACCACAUCAAAUCUCUCAAAUUACAUAUUUCAAUGCAUGUGAGCCCGGAACUUCUGGCUCGGGCUAAACACGACCUCAGAAUUUAUUCGCCCUUUUCAAAUAUGCAUGAAAUAUGAAUUGAGGAAAAGUCAUGAUAAUAUUGUAAUAUAGUAGUGAAGAGCAUUAACUACUAUAUAAUCAAAACUUCAGGUUCAGGACUUUUCAUAUAUUGGGAUCAAUGGGCUUCUAGCCCAGAUCAUAUAAUAUAACCAAAUAUGUGGGGAGCCUCAAUUCAUCAUUUGAGGUUUAUCCUGAUAUUAUCCAUUUCAUGGUGCAUUCUUAACAACCGGAAUUCACAAAAUAUAUUUCUUCCUUGAGGUGUCGAUUGUAACAGAAUUGAACUUUAUUAAAUUUAUCAUUUCUUAUGCCAAAGAAAUAUGUGGUGUACCACAAUUUGCAAUAAUACCUCAAGGGUUGCCCAUUUAACUAUAGGAACUUCAAGUUCUCAAUAUUGCCAUAUUUUAAACUUUAUGCCAAAAUCAUAUAUUCUUAUAGUAUGGGCAUUCAAUACUCUUAGAUUUUGAACUUCAGGCCAAAAUCACAUAUUCUCAUGGUAUGAACAUUUUUACAAUUUUCUGUAUGUAUUUUGGGACUUCAAGCACUUACAUAAUUGUCCAUAUUUUGAGAAACUUCUGGCAUCUCAUUUAAUUGCUCAUUUAUGAGUUUAAGGAACUGCAUGUUCCCUUUUGUAUAUAGUGACAAUUUACCCAAAAUGGUUAAUAUUUAUGCAUAUGUCACUAUUCAUGUAUACGAUACUAUUCAUCAAGUCAUGAAUACGUAUCUAUUCAUGUGUACAGUACAUUUGCUAGUACAGUUAUUAUUUAUGUGUACAUCACUUUUAACCAAUACGGUACUGUUGCAUCAUCAAGGAACUCUAGGUCUUUAUUUACAUGUCAAGGAUCAAGGAUCUUCAAGUCCGAUAUCUUGUUUACAAGUAUAGUAAACAAGAGAUUGUCAGCUCUCAUAUCAUUAUCAUCAUCAAGGAUCUUCAAGUCCUGAUGUAGUUGUAUGAUGGGGAUCAAAGAACUUUUGGUCCUGAUCUGUAUGCUGUAAAAACUCAUCAUACUGCACAAUUAAUCCAUAAAAUAAAUUGCUUGUAAAUAAAUUGCUUGAUGUAUGGACGUUAAUCCUGCGCCAUACCUUAAAUAAAAUUAAAUAUGCGGUAAAGUAAAUUCAUAAAUUAAAUUGCUUGCUGUACGGACGUUAAUCCCACACCAUACCUUAAAUAAAAGUAAAUGUGCAAUAAAGUAAAUUGCUUGUUGUAUUGGAGUUAAUUCCACACCAUACAAUAAUAAAGUAAAUGUGCUUGUAUGAGCACUAAUUCUGCUCCAUACUUUUAAAUAAAAGUAAAGGCAGUUGUGUGGACGAUAAACCUGCACCACACUUUUAAAUAAAUAUUGUUGUAUGGGUAAUAAACCUACACCAUACAAGAAAUAAAUUGUAUGAGUAAUGAACCUACACCAUAUAGUAAAUAAAAUAACUGUGGGAAUAAAACCACCACUAAAAAUAUAGGAAGUGAAACCGUCUAUUUUUAUUAGUUGUUAGUAAUAUGAAAGCAAAUAAGUAUAUUAUAUUACUAUCAACUUUUCAUAUCAAUAUUAUAAUUAUAUAUAUAAGAUAACCAUAUAUAAUAAAUUGACAGUUAUCGCUUCUGACAAUCGUGGAUUAUAUAUACUAGAUUAAGACUACCAUAUCAAAUAAUAUUCUAUAAAUAUCACUUGUGUAUAUACAUAUAACUUGAGUAUAUUGCCAUUUAUAUAUAUAAUAUGUUAUAUCAAAACCAAAAAGUUAAUGAUGCUUUAAUAUAAUAUAUAAAGCAACCAUAUAUCAAAAGGAAUCAUGGCCGACAAUGAAUCAUUGCAUAUGUGCAUGUUUUCAACUUUGUUGCUUUCACUCCUGCCAUUAGCACUCAAACUGUUUGUAUAAUCAGCAUAUAUAUAUAAGGUAGCAUUGAAUAAUGUAAAGUAUUAAUAAACGAAGAAGAUGAAAAAAUAGUGAGCUUAUCAUGUUUUGGUGGAUUUGCUCGUAUAUCUCUCUAGCAGACCACAGCUCCUUCUCUUUUCUUCCUUACAUCAACACAAUGAUCAGUAGUAUAAAUAAUAGUGCAACACAAAAAUUAUACAUGAGAGCUUCUCGUGCUAAUAACGUGUUAUACAAUAACUGGAAUAUGUGCGAAUAUUGAGCUGCACGUAAAGUGGAUGAGAAACAGUAACUUUUCCACUAUGUAAAAUAAUAGGGCUACAACUUUAGUGUUUACAAUAUAUGUAGCUCACUAAUUUUUCUCUCUUGGAGAAUUUCUCUCCUCUCACCCACUCUCUUUCUUUCUUUUCUUUCCUUCCUCUCUGCCUGACUCUCUUUCUUCUCUCAGUUGGAGUCUUCACCAAAGGAAGGGGGGAAGCCUUAUUUGUAGGCAGAAUUUUGUGGCUGCUUACUCAUUUCUCUUUGGCUUCACGUGGGUGUUGACAAGCAUCAUCAUUACUCUUCAAUUAAUUAGGUAGUGUGCUCUACCAUUUUGGCCUCCACAUUCUUGACUUUACAACAAGUAUAUAUUUUAAUAUGGAGGAGUAAGAAGUCACAACUUUGGCCAAGUUUCUUGAAAAGGACAAAUGGCCUAAAGAUCUUUAUAAAAAAGAUCUAAUGAAAGUUCGAAGGCCACCUUUAUGGCCUUAUACUAUCUAUAUAAUAUUAUUUAGACUCAACAUAUAAGGUAUAAUCAUAGUCUAAAAUAUCGAUAAUAUCGACGAAAUUAUCAUUUUUUCGAGUCACAAAUAUUUGGAACGUAUCCACACAUAUCGUAUAAAUAUCGAUAAUAUCAGAAAAUAUCGAUGUCGAUAAUUGUGCUCACUCACUACUACAAAAAAGGAAAAAGACGACGGUAAAUCACCGUCGUGUAUUCGAUUUUUCAAUGGUCGUGGAAUCCACCGUCAUCUUUUCCCUCAUAUACCACGACGCUAAAUCACCGUCGUUGUUAAAAUAUACAACGUCAUCAACAAAUACAAAACGACGUCUUUGUACUGCAAAAAGAUCUAAAAAAGCAGUCGAGGAUGAGAAUAGACGACCAACUCUCUAAAAAAACCGUCGUUAAAAAGGAAAAAUAUGACACAUAUUAAGAGAACAAGGCCGCAAGAUAGACAUACAACGACGGAAAUAAAACAACGACGCCGUUAAAUAUCAUUUUCACGACAAUAAAAAAUUUGACGUCUUUAAAUACAUUAGAAGACGACGUUAUUGAUACCUACUACGUCGCAUAUAUAAAAACAGCCGUCGUAAAAUUAAUUUUCCACUUCGAUUUUUCGAUAAAAGAUGACGUGGAAAUAGUUGUCAGUGUCAUUAUUUACGACGUAUGUAUUUAUUGAGUAGACGUUGAAAAACUAAACAACGUCGGUUACAAAUAUAUGAGAGUCGUAUUACAAAAUUUAUACGUCAUAUUUUCAGAAACAAACAACGACGAUAAAUAUUAGACGUUGUUAAAUAAAACAACGUCGGAAAACAAUAAAAACAGACGUGUUUAGUCUGCUAAAGUUCUAGAAAAUAGUCGAGGAUGAGAAUAGACGACCAACUCAAACAAAUCACCGUCGUUAAAAAGGAAAAAUAUGACACAUGUUAAAAGAAAAAGGCCGCAAGAUAUACAUACAACGACGACAACUAAAAUUUUACGCCGUUAAAUAUAAUUUACACGACAAGAAAAAAUAUGACGUCUUUAAAUACAUGAGAAGACGACGUUAUUGAAAUAUACUACGUCUCUUAUUUACAAACAACCGUCGUGAAAUAAAUUUUCCACUUCGAUUUUUCUAAAAAAGAUGACGUGGAAAUAGUUGUCAGUGUCAUUAUUUACGACGUAUGUAUUUAUACAGUUGACGUUGAAAUGCGAAACAACGUCGGUGGCAUUUAUAUAGUCGACGUUGUAUUUAUAUCUAUCAUCAUUACUCACGACGCACUUAAUAAUAUAGACGACGUUGAACUUCUAAACAACGUCGGUUCCAAAUAAAUGAGAGCCGUAUUACAGAACAUAUAGACGGCGUUGAUUAUGAUGAGAGCCGUAUUACAAAUAACGUCGUUUAAUUGUUAUUAGACGGCGGUUAUAAUGAAUUUCCGUCGGAAUUCAUUUCGUUCCUCUUCGUUUAUAAAAGAACUUGCGACGUGGAAAAUGUAUGAUGACGUCGUAUUUUUUAACGUUCAGAUUAUAUAUCUCGUUUUUUAGACGUCGGUAUUAUGGGAUUGGAGUCGUGUUAUUUUGAAUUACAUGGCGGUUCUUAAUCCUUCCCCGACGUGAUAUCCUGAUUAAUUGCUUCACAAUUGCGUCGUGGUUCUUCAUUGUUACGUUGCUUUAAGACGUCGGUAAAUAUGCUGAAUAACUGGUUCACAAUAACGUUGUGUUUUAUUUGAACGUAGAAAGUGAAGAAAUCACAUUACAAUAUAUUACAAAAUUAAUGUCAUACACUGCCAAUUACAUAAGCAUCAUUCAAUCCAUAUAUCUUCACACCCAUCUCGAAUAUUUUGACCGCCUAACUCACCCACCAGUUCAUCAAAUGUGUCAACAUUUGGCAUCCCUCUAGUAAAUGGCUCACACUCAAUUAUCACAUCACCUAAGACUUCAUCACCAAUAACAUCAUUAUAUUCUCUAUUAGGCAUUGAUAACACUACCGACCAACCACGAUGCAUCGGGUCGUCAACAAAAAAUAUUUGUUUGACUUGAGAAGCCAAAACAAAUUGGUCAUUCCUAUGUCCAAUUUUACUCAAAUCUACAAGGGUAAAUCCAAGUUCGUCGACUACAAGACCAGAACUAUCUAUCCAAUCACACCUAAAGACUGGGAUUGUAAACUUUUGGUAGUCAAGGUCCCAAAUUUCUUGAAUGACACCAUAGAAACCCAUAUUUGAGAGAAUUGGGUUUUUAUCCUUGGCACUAGCAACUUGCAUGGUAUGUGCAAGUAAAUAAACUCCACUAUUUUGAGUUGUCCGCACAUCAUCUUGUGCCUUGAUAUUGAAUUUAAUACCUUUAAUAAGAUAGCUCCUAUAUAAUGGCACUGACAUGUUUGGACCAGCUGCUAGCCACCUUAAAUUUUCUGAUACGCCAUGAUUGUCUUCCUCAAGUUCACUUUGAACCUGCAAAUUAAUCAUAUCUUAAUUCAAUCUAACAUAUAAAUAAGAAGAAAAUUAAAAGAGAAAUAUGUUAUUCAACAAUAUAUACCUUGAAGCGUAGCCAUUGAAUGAAAGUGCUAUUGUGCUUAUCCUGCAGCCACUUUGUUCUCUUUCUAAAUUUUGGAUAAGCAGUCUUGAUGUGAAUCAUAUGUUGCCUACAUGACACGAAAAAUUCAAGCAUUACGGUCCUAAAUAUAGAAGAUAAACAUAAGAAAUAAUUUAAAAUGGAAACUUAAAGAAUAAAGCUCAUACGUACUCGAUAUAAGGUAGGACUUCCUCCGUAUUCUCCAAGACAUAUAGAUGUGCUUGAUUCAACAGGUCCUGAUCAACUACGCUCACUGUGCAACCUGAUAAUGGCUUUGAAAGUCCCAUCUUUUGGCUUGAAGGCACUCCAACUGUACUAACAUCAGAUAAAUGCUGAGUACAACACUCUACCGCUUCUUCAGCUAUAUACCGCUCAGCAAUGCAACCUUCGGGACGAGUACGAUUCUGAACAUACCCCUUCAGCACUUUCAUAUAUCUUUCAAACGGAUACAUCCACCUAAAAUAUACUGGCCCACAUAGACGAACUUCUCUGACAAGAUGUACUACUAGAUGAACCAUGAUAUCAAAGAAUGAAGGGGGAAAGUACUUCUCAAGCAAACACAGAGUAACUACUACAUCUUCUUCCAACUUAUCUAGCUUGGAAACAUCAACAGUCUUUGCACAUAUAGCAUUGAAGAAGAAGCACAAACGAGUUAUUGCAUACCUUGCAGGCUUCUCCAAAACAGAACGAAUUGCCACAGGGAGCAAUUGUUGCAUUAAGGUAUGACAAUCAUGUGAUUUAAGGCCAAGAAGUCUUGAAUCUUGUAAAGAUACAAGAUUUUUAAUAUUUGAAGAAUAACCUUCAGGGACCUUCAUACCAUAGAAAGAAUUGCAAACCUCUCUCUUCUCUGCUCUUGACAAAUUCCAAGGCCCAGGAGGCAAACGAGUACGUCUUUCUCCAUACUCGGGUUGCAAAUCAGUUUUGACCCCCAUGUUCAAUAAAUCUAAUCGAGCAGCAAUCCCAUCUUUAUUUUUUCCAGGGAUCUCCAGCAAUGUACCAAUGAUACUAUCGCAAACAUUCUUCUCAAUGUGCAUAACAUCUAGGGCAUGCCUCACAGGAAGGUAUUUCCAAUACUCGAGAUCAAAGAAUAUUGAUUUCUUCUUCCAACAAACUCUGUCACCAUUUUCAACCAUAUGCAGCACUUCUUCUCCGGUUAAUGGCUCGGGAGGUAUGCCAUAUUCAGGUUUCCCAUUAAAAGCUGCACGUUGCCUCCUAUAUGGAUGAUUGAUUGGUAACCAUUUUCUAUGCCCAAUGUAACAAAUUUUGUGGCCAUUUUUCAACCUGUGACUAGGUGUAUCAUCGCCGCAUAUUGGACAAGCUUUAUAUCCUUUAACAACAGAACCAGAUAAGUUUCCAUAGGCGGGGAAAUCAUUAAUUGUCCACAUUAAUGCAGCUCUGAGUGUAAAGUAUUCUCCAUUAUGUGCAUCAUACACUCCUCUAAUCCCAACCCACAAGGAUUUUAAAUCAUCAAUCAAAGGCUCCAAGUAGACGUCUAUAUCAUUUCCGGGUUGUUUAGGACCGGAAAUCAAUAAGGUUAACAUCAUGAACUUUCGUUUCAUGCACAGCCAUGGAGGGAGAUUAUAUGUAACUAAGAUAACCGGCCAACAACUAUAUCUGCUACUUAGAGAACUGUGGGGAUUGAAUCCAUCAGAUGAAAGAGCCAAUCUCAAGUUUCUCGGCUCAUUACCAAACUCAGGCCAUUUAUCAUCAAGAAGUUUCCAAGACGGGGAAUCCGCCGGAUGAGACAUCUGACCGUCAAUUGAUUUUCUAGCAGCAUGCCACCAAGUCAAACUCUUAGCUGUCUCAUGUGAUUGAAACAUCCUUUUAAACCUUGGAAUUGGGGGAAAAUACCACACCACCUUCGCUGGCACACCCUCUUUCAAGAUUGAAUCUUUGCCUUCCUUCCACCUUGAGAUACCACAAGUAGGACAAUUAGUUGAAUCCUCAUACUCCUUCCUAUACAAGAUGCAAUCAUUGGGGCAUGCGUGCAUUUUCUCAUAACUCAGCCCCAAUGCACACAAAGUCUUUUUAGCCUCAUACAUGGAGGUUGGUAUUGUAUUUCCUUCUGGAAGCAAAUCGCCUUGAAGUAUCAAUAAUUCUGUAAAACAGACAUCACUCAUCCCAUGUUUUGCCUUCAAAUUAUACAACUUCACUAAUGCCGAUAACUUCGUGUACUUUCUACAACCAGGGUACACUGGUUGAUCUCCAUCCCCAAUCACAUUGGCAAACUCAUACGGAUCCGAACCAAAAUCACCAAAAUCAUUAUCAUCCAUAUCAAUUUCUUCAGACACAAAACUGUACCUACUAUGGCCAUCAUCUUCUUCAACAUUUCUACUAGCAUUAGUAGUUGCUUCCCAAGGUUCUCCGUGAAAUGUCCAAUUCUUAUAGCUUUGGUCAAUUCCAUUAAAGUAUAAGUGAUCCCUUAUAAUUCCAACCCCAAACAACUUCAAAUUAACACAUUUAACACAUGGACAACGGAUAUGUGUUGUAGUUAGAAGAUUUUCUACAGCAAAGUUCAAAAAUGCUUCCACCCCAAAUUCAUAUGCCUUCGAUCUUCUAUCCGAGUGCAUCCAUGACUUAUCCAUCUCCGACACUAUAACCUAUUAUCUAUAAUAAAGUGAAAAUACAGGCAAUGACCAUCACUAUAGCAGAUUAUAAAAUGAUCUAAUCGCAAGUAAUACACAACAGAGACGACGGGUUUUAAACAAAAACAGACGUAUUUGGCAUAUAUAGACGACGGAUUUUCAACAGACGUCGUCUAUUAUAAGUAAUACAAACGACGGUUUAUGAAAAAACCGUCGUGUAUAAGUAAUACAACGACGGUAGUUUAAAAAAAUCGUCGUGUAAUCGUCGUCGUAAGCCUUAAAAUUCGUCGUGUCUCAGUUUAUUUUCAAGAACACAAAACCCAUUAAGAACACAACAUAUAUAUGAAACCAAGCAAGAAACCAACAUAUACAUGAAACCAAGCAUGAAAACAAUAAAUCCAUUCCCAAUUCAACAUAACAGAUAAUCCAUGAACCCAUUAAACAGAAAAUCCAUGAACCCAUACCUAUAAGCACAUUAUUAACAGAUCGCAAAGCAUACACAUAAAACCCUUUAACAAAACAACCUAAUAUAACUCGAAUCGUUACUAGAAUCAUCACUCGAAUCCCCAUCUUCAUUAUCAGUUUCUUCCUUCGUAGGUACUAUUUGCUCCCCAUCAUUUUCUCCAUAGCGGAAAAUGACAAGAUCAAAUAAAGGUGUACUUUUGCUGGAAAUCAUUUGGAAGUUGGUGAUCUGUGUCUUUUUGUGUUGAUUUCCAGCAAAAGUACACCUUUAUUUGAUCUUGUCAUGAACCCAUUAAACAGAAAAUCCAUGAACCCAUACCUAUAAGCACAUUAUUAACAGAUCGCAAAGCAUACACAUAAAACCCUUUAACAAAACAACCUAAUAUCAUUCAAUGAAUUUACAAGGGGAAGAUAGGGUUUAUACUUACAGGUUGGACGAGCUCACAGAUUCGACGGAGCCUGGAGAGUGCAACUUUUAAUUAGAGCAGAAGUGAGAGAGCGAAAUGUUAUGUCGCGCGAAAUCUGAAAAUUUAAGGUUUCAGGGUUCGAAGUAUAAGAAUAAGAGCCAAAUCUAAAAAAAUUUAGGUCGCGCGAAAAUUUUUAGAGUUCGCGCGUUUUAAAACGUCGAAAGAAAAACCAAGGCGAAAGUUCUACACGUACCGACGUAAAUUUAAUAUUCCACGACGGAAACUUCAUUUUUCGGAUUAAGAACGUAAGGCCGUUCAUUUUGAAGCUUCAUUUUUCGGAUUAAUUUUAAAUUUAUUUUGAAUUUUUUAUAUAACGACGACUGAAAAACCACGUCGGUGUUAAGAAAUUAAAGACGUUGUAAAUUAUAUAAACCGACUUACAUAUUAAAAUGACGUCGUUUAAAGCGUAAACCAUGUCGUAUGUUUUUCUGUACGACGUAAAAUAUGUAUUCCACGACGCAACCACCGUCGUUAAAAAUUAAUACCCUAAACCCAUAAAACUAAAUUAUACAAUUUAAAAAAUUAAGUUUAUAAAAGGUUUUAUGGUUUUAAAGCCUAACAUAUACCCUAGACUACCCAAAAAUUAUACUUUAAAAAUAAACCCCAAUAAAUAACAACCCUAAUCUCUAAACCCUAGACUCUAAACCCUAAACCAUAAAACUAGAAGUGAUUUUAUGACUCAUCAAAACAAUUUUGUUUUGGAUGGUCAUUUUAAAUUUUUGUUAUUCAAAAUGAAUUUUUUCAAGGUUUAUGUGGAAGAAAAUAUAUCAAUGACUUCAUAGGAGUUGACUUUUCAAUUUUCUGAUUUAUUUUAAAUUUAUUUUGAAUAUUUUGAUAUAAAAAUAAUAAAAUAUUCUUACCACAACAACAAACCACGUCGGUGUUAAUAAAUUGUAGACGUUGUAAAUUGUAAUAGACUACUAAGUCGUUAAAAUGACGUCGUUAAAAUGAGAAACCAUGGCGGCUAUUUAACUAUACGACGUAAAAUAUAUAUAUCAACGACUUAACCGCUGUCGUUACAUAAACGUCGUCGAUGAUACCCUGAACCCUUAAGAAAUUGAAGAUGUUGUAAACCAUAAACGACUCAAUUGUUCAAAGAACGUCGUCUAACUAUAUUUUUACGUCGUAUUUGUUUAAAACACGAAACAACAAAAUACGACGGUUUGUGACUUUAUUAGGUCGUUGGAAAAGUAUUACACGUCGGUUAAGCAAUUUGUAUGUUUGUUUUUUUUUUAAUUUAAGAAAACCUCAACAAAUUUUUACAUUACAUAUUAUAGAGAAAAUUUGUACAUUAUACAUAAAUAUCAAGUGUUCAAUAAUUGCCCUGUUUAAUAAUUUGGAAAACAAACUCUGCCCAUUCAUUCCGGACUUCAUCAAUGGCUUCUUGGGGGUAUGAAGCUUCCUGGUUUCCCUUGGCAUACUGCAUAAACAAUGACUAUUAGGGUUUAUAAAUAAAAAGAAAUUCAAUCACAGACGACGAUAUUUUUCAUAACCGACGUAGUAUAUCCAUUCAACGACGUUAAUUUUACAUGACCGUCGUUGAUAAUACAAAAAACGACGUGAAAUGUAUGAAGGUAAUUUCUUCUUACCUUAUUCUCAAACCCCAAGGAAGGAUCCAUGAUGAUGUCCCUCAUGAAGCGCAUCACAUAAUACCCGCAUUCGACAUUGCUGGGUUGCUUUGGUGUGCCUGAGAGAGUUUUCCAAAUUACAUUUUUACGUCCUGCUCGGGCUAUGUGGGUAUUAUAUAUUUUUAAAGCACUGUUCACGAUGUUUUUCGCCUCUUCGUCGACCACACGAUGACCUGGCAGAGGAUCCAGAAAAUAGACGGUCUCCUUCUUUGCUCUUACAAUCAGCAAGAUCCAAUGACGGCUGCACAAAAUUAAUAUAAAAACGACGGUUAUUUACAAAAACGACGUAUUAUAGUAUUCACACGACGAAANNNNNNNNNNNNNNNNNNNNNNNNNNNNNNNNNNNNNNNNNNNNNNNNNNNNNNNNNNNNNNNNNNNNNNNNNNNNNNNNNNNNNNNNNNNNNNNNNNNNCGACGGUUUAUUUACAAAACCGACGUAUAAUAGUAUUUCCACACGACGAAAUAAAGUAGAUAACGACGACAUUAUAUAUUUAUCACGACGAUAAAUAAAUACCGACGUGGUUAGUAGUUUCAAACGACUAAAUAAAAUAAAACACCGACGUGGUUAGUUUAUAAUCUGUCAUUUAUUGAAAAUCAUAAAAACAAAAUCCUAAGGAGACUAACCCUGGAUUGUAAGGCAUCAUGAAAAUCUGUUCACCCGUCUGUCUUCUGAAGUCGAGCUGCUACCAGUCGUGAUCUUUCAGUUAUUGUGCCAGAGUUGGCACUAACUGUAGCAGGGUCGAUAAAGCCAACCAUGCUGCACAUAUUGGCUUGUUUCAAAACAUCGUGUAAGUACCUAAAUACAUAAAAUAAUAUAAACAAGUCAGCACAAACAAACAUGACGGUUAUGUAUAAAAAAACGACGUAUUAUAAUAUUUCACACGACGUACUGAAAUAGAUGAGGACGUUAUAAUAUAUUUAUCACGACGGUAGUUAGUUAAGACGACGUGGUUAGUUAGUUAAGACGACGCAAUAUAUAAACCAACGAGGUAUUAUUUUAGAAGUACAAACCUCAUAUAUACAGCCAAUACAGUAGCUCCAAUUUCUUCCAUGCCUGCAAAUUGUGUAAUAUCUUCAGGCAGGAGGAAGGUAUCGCGCUCACCACCAAACACCUCCUUAUUAAUUGUAAAUUGGAGUGUCUUAUCCUCAGGCAGGAGUGUCGUUUCCACAAAACGACAAAGGGUUUUUAAAGAAGAUGGCGCCUCCAUAUUUGAAUAAGCACCAACUUCAAUAACCUGUUUAAAGAAAUAAAAAAAAUGACAUGGUAAUUCAAUAAAGACGACGGUUUAAGUAAUAAAACGUUGUCUUAAAAGUAUUUAAACGACGGUGAAAAAACCGUCGUGGUAAUUCAAUAAAGACGACGGUUUUAUGAAUAAAGCGUCGUCUGAAACCAUUUAAACGACGGUGCAAAAAUCGUCGUUUAAAUAUUUUAUUACGUCUUAAAAAAAUUCCGCCGUCUAAGUUUUAAACAAACGACGGAUUAAAUAAAAAUAUCGACGUCUGAAAUUUUGAAAAACAAAUAAAAAAGGCAAAGUUAUGUGAACAUACCUUGUCGUCAUGCUUUUCUUCAUCUUCUUUCUCCUUUUCUUCUUCCUUCUCUUCAUCUCUUUUUUCUUCUUCCUUCUCUUCAUCUGGCUGAUGUUUCCCCAUUUUGGCAGUAUCAUCCUCCAAAUGUAGGGAUCUCACAUCACCUCCAGAGCAGCUAGCUUUGUCAGACAUUGGAUUUUUGGGGCUUUGGCUAAUUCUUGGUUUAAGCAUGCUUGGAUCAAAAUUGGGAAUUAAUUGGGAAAGCUGACUCAGGAAAUGCUCCCUCUCAGCCUCUACCAAUUGUUUUGUCCUAGCCUCCAUCCUUAAGGCCUCUUCCCUUGCCUUAGCCUCCAUCUUUUUAGUCUCUUCUUGAAGGAGAACUCUUAAACUGUCCUUCAAACGGUCGUCAAAGCUCACCCUCUGUGGUUUGGGAAAAUUGAAAUAUUGCCUUGGGGAAACACCAGCACCAACUCCCCUCAGUCUGCCUGGAUGCUCGGGGCCCAAAGCCAUGGUCAGCACAUCAUUGCUGCCAUCUACUCUGACUUUGCCUUCCGAGACUUGUUUCUGCAAUUCAUCCUAAAAAAAGAUAAACAAAAAAACACACGACGGUUAUUUAUGUACAAACGACGUAUUAUAUAAUUUCACACGACGCAAUAACGUAUAAACCGACAUUAUUAUAACUUAUCACGACGGUGGUUAUACCGACGUGGUUAUUUAUUUAAAACGACGAAAUGAAUAAACAACCGACGUCUUAUGCUAUAAUUAAAGAUAACAGAGUAGUGACUCCUAUUUAGACCGUUAACGACGUUUUUAAAAAAGUUUCGACGUGGUAAUAUCAUUCACACGACGCGAAAAUGAACCACCGACGUCUUAUGCUAUAAUUACAGAAAACAUAGUAGUGAUUCCUAUUUAGACCUUUAACGACGUUUUUAAAAACUUUUCGACGUGGUAAUAUCAUUCACACGACGCAAAAUAUAACAUACGACGUAAUAAGAAUAAUUCACAGUUUAAUACAAAUUUAAAACAGAGUGAUAGUAGGCUUACUAUUAAUUUUGCUUUCUCUGCCACCUUUGGAUCAGGGAUGUUACCAUGUUUGUCCUGUCUAGCUCUCUUCCAUAAGGUAGAUCGAUCAAUUUCUACCCCAGGCAUGGUUUCCUCCAAUUGAUCCUCCAAUCCAGCAUAUCCUUUUCGAGACAAUCGAUGAUUGUACUCGAGUUUCUCCCUAAUCUGUGCAUGUUGAGAAUGCACAGACUCAAAAUCUUUGGAUAGCCUUGAAGCUACAAAGGCAUCCCAUUGUGCUUUCUCUGUGAAUUUAUAUGUUUCAGGGGGUUGGCUUAAUUUCUCCCUGUCAUUGGUGUAUGGAAGGAUAUAAUGCCUCGUUAGUGUAGACUUGAAAUCCUUCCAUUUCUUGGAAGCAGAAGCUAAAACAGAGGUCUUGCCCCCUUGGCCUACGACAAAAGCCAUGUCAACUGCUUCCCAAAUCUGCUCCUUUAUAUCCUUGGGGAUUUGGGACCAUUUCUUGUCCACAAGUGGGAUCCUGGAGCGUGCCAACACACCAAUAUACGACUGCAUCUCAAUAUGUGCUUGGCCAACACCUUUCCCCCUUUUAUUGUACUCAACAAUUGGCCUCAGUUUCUGAAGCUUUCUCUUCACAACACGAGGCAUUGUGCUCAUACCUCGACCAGUCUUUGAAUCAUCUGAGAUUGUUGUCUGGCUGGUUUGUUCUGUCUCAGCAGAUGAUGAAGCAAACUUCAUCUUCUUCGAAGACUUCAUCUCCUUCGAAGACUUGUCUUGAGGAGCUACCAUUCCAAGCUUCUUGGAGCCAGAAUCCUUAGUUUGUUGUUGAGAAACCAUUUUAACAGACAAAACUGCAAGUGAAAAUAUUUCAGGAAAACAUUAAGAACACAAACGACGGUAUUAAAAAAAUACGACGUAUGAUAUGAUUGUAGACGACGCAAUGAAAUAAUCUCAGACGUAAUAAAUGUUUAAAACCAUUAUUUAUAUAACGUCGUGGUAUAUAUGUUCACACGACGUCAAUAGUAAUACACCGUCGUGGUAAACUAUUAUUUAUAUAACGUCGUGGUAUUUAUGUUCAUAUGACGUCAAUAGUAAUACACCGUCGUGGUAUUAACAUUCACACGACGUAAAACAAUAAGAUAUUUUGUCGUCUAUAUUAGAUACCAACCCUAGUUUCUUUUUCUUUAUAUUUUAUCAAAUAAGGGAAAAACAAAAACCAUUGUUCAGCGAAAUCAAACCUGCAAUUAAACAAGCAUAUAAAAAAAGACUAUUAUUUUAAAAACAACUUUGUCAAUUUUCAGACGACGCUAGAACAACUGACGAACCGUCGUGGUCUACCUUCGUCUUAUUUAGUUGAUGUAGUUGUCUUCAAAGUUGGAAACUUUCACUCUUUGUCUGUAUAUUUUAUCAAACUUGGAAAGAAGUAAAAUGAUUUUGGCCAGAAAAAAGGUAAAAAGAUUUUUCAAACAAAAAACGUAUGAGCAUGCAAAACAGUAACCAAAAUAGUGAAGAUGAAAGCUUACCUUUUGCGUGCAAUGAAAGCAAGAGGAAGAUGAUCGAUGUUUAAGUUCAGAGACGACGAAGAAGACGAGAGGAAGACGAUGAGAAACUCUGACAAUGCUCUGACAAGGAAAAAAGACGAAAAGGUUUCUCUGGGAGAUUGAAAUUUUUAAUCGGGUUUGGAAACAGUGCAUGUGUAAGUCGAAAAGUUGCUUACAUAUAAAACCAUUUCAAAAAAAUAAUACGGCGGUUACAUUUAACUACGUCGUUUUUAACUAAAACGACGCAAUAUUUUUCAUUCGACGUGGAAUCAUUUCAUUUAACGUCGUUAGGUUUAAUAUAACCGACGUGGAUUUUAAUUUUUAAAUUAUGAAUAGAAUUUUUUUUCCCGUGACCUUUCAGUUUAUUUUUCAAUUACAGUGCGUUAUAAAUAGAGUUUUUUUUCCGGAGGAAAUUUAAAACGAAGGAAAUUAAUAUUCUGCAAUAUGUAAAGUUUCUUUUUUGGAUGACAGAUUUAAAUAAAAUAAGAAUAUAAAAACAACAAAUGUGUAAGUCAAGUAGACGAAAAGUUGCUUACAUAUAAAACCAUUUCAAAAAAAUAAUACGGCGGUUACAUAUAACUACGACGUAUAAAUUACAAAAUACGACGGUACAUUUAACUUCGGACAUGGUAAAUAAAUACGACAGUAGUUUGUAGGUACCGUCGUAGUAAACUCAAAAAUUAAAGUACAUAAGUAAUAACUCGCGUCAUGGUAUAUUAUUUAACACGUCGUUUGUAUUAAUUUACCGACGUGGAUUUCUGUAAUAUACGUCGAUAAUACCGACGUUGAUUUUACAAUUUAAACGGCGGUUUUUUUGUAAGGACCGCCGUUGGUUUUAAAAAUUUAUUCUAUAAAUUUGUCGCUUUCAUUCAUUUUCGGUUUACAUUUAAGGUUCCAAGUUCUUCCUCUCUCAGUCUCUCAUGUCUCAAAGACAAUAAUUUGGAUGUUUUCUCAAAGAGAAAUUGAGCUUACUCGCAUCAAAUAUAUGUCCACAAGAAGAAGCUUGUCAACUAGCCUUCUCACUUCCUUGAUCAAGCCUGAUAGGACACUUAGUGCUUCUGAAUACUCCUUGCUUUCCAUCAAAAGAGAUGCAAGCCUGGCCUCCACUCGCUGUCGAAGGAAAGUUCGCUUCUCAGGGAAAUCUGAAGAUCAGAUGUGCCUGAUCCUCUGCUUGAUUUUCUUGCCUAAGAAGAUCCGUCGGAUUUAUUGUGAUAGCCUCUUCCUUUAUCCGUAGAGCUUCAGAAGAAGAAGAUGGGUUUCAAGAAUGCGAUAAAGAAUAGAAAUUGCUUCAGAUGGCCUCUAAAGCAUGAGCAAUUGAAUCAGUAGUUUCUGGGAGAUAUGAUGAAGACAUUGUCAAUGCUUUGAACUACACAAGUCCUGCAGAAAGAUAUGUUAAAGAAACUGAAACAACGGCGGUUUUCUGUUCUACCGUCGUCUUUUAUCGUCGUCUAUAUUAAGUUAAGAUGGCGGUAGAUUUAUAAUUACCGACGUAGAUUAUUUUGUUAAACGUCGUUAAGUGUACUACAACCGACAUGGAUUUUAAUUUUAAAUUAUAAAUAGAGUUUUUUUUCCCGUAUUCUUUCAGUUUUAGUUUUCAAUUCCAAAGCGUGAUAAAUAGAUUUUUCUUUCCCGAGGAAAUUUAAAAUGAGGGAAAUUAAUGUUCUAGAAUUUGUAAACUAACACGACGCAAUAUUUGCAAAUCAGUGUCAUCUGUUAAGAUUAUGAUGUGGAACAGAGUUCCAUCUGGUAAGAUUUCGUAACCCUUGGGAUCUCAGACAAAACUGAUUAUGUCGGCGGUGUUCUAUAUAAACCGUCGUGGUUAUUUCAAUUCUUGUCAUUAAGUAGAUCUACCGACGUAGGAUAAGAAAAUCAAAGAAAAAAAUUGUUAACAAAAAUUCUUAUUAAGACGACCGUUAAAAUUAAAGGUACGACGUAUAAAAUGAAUAAAUACGACGAUAAAUUUUAUUGUACGAUUUAAAGAUAACGUCGUAGAACUAUACGAGAAUGACGUCGAUAUAUUUAUAUUUUCCGUCGUUGUAAAUUAAUUUAAUACGGCGAUAUUUUGUAUUUUAAAGCCGUGGAUUUGUUUGUAAUUAUACGGCGUCUUAUACGAAAACCUCGUCGUGUUAUUUUAUGAGUAAAAACGGCAGUUUUUAUUGAAAUCGUCGUCUUUACUUUCUACGUCGGUCGAUUCAUAACUUCUGCCGUUCUUUGUUGGCAUUGAUUUUACACUGCGGAAAUCUGUUUCAAAUAGACGUCGGUUGUUUAAUUAUGUACGUCGUUGUUUUUGAACAGCCAUUUGAAACUCCAUUUUUUAGUUGUCUAAGGUUGUAUUACACGACGGUGUUUUUAGAACCGUCGUCUUUUUAUAAACCACGACGAUUUUCACUUAGACCGUCGUUGUUUUCUGGUCGUCUUUUUCACUUUUUGUAGUAGUGACUCUUCAGCAAUAUUUUAUCAAAAUAUCGCUAUAAUAUCGAAAAUAUCGAUGUAAUGAAAAAAAAAGAAAAAAGAAGAAGCACAAAACACACAUGCAAAGGGGAUUCAAACUCUUGCCAUUUCACUCUUUCAACGCCUUAACCACCAUGUUGCUUAUGAUUUUUUGAUAAUAUGGUAAAAUAUGUAUAUUUAUAUUCUUUUGUUUUGAACUGUUUUUGUAAGAAUCAGAUUUUCACAUGAGAAUGUGAGUCAUUGACCGUUCUUUUUGGGAUGGAAUCGAGCGGCUCACGGAAAGAAUUUAAGACCCAAAUCUUCAAAUGAUUUUGCUUAUAGACAAUGUCAAUCAAUCUCAGAUCCAUAUGGGUGACAUGUUAACAAUUACAUACAAAACUAUUUUGAGGAUUUAUCAUUUGAUGACUACUCUUCACAAUACACUUAUUCUACACAUAGAGAUGAUGAAGAUAGUGAAAAAUUUGAACUUCAUAGGAACUCUAUGUGGCACUAAGUCACUCAUGUAUCUUAGCAUGCAAGUAUAAAGUGUAAGAUAUUGUAGUAAAUUAUUAUAUAUAAAUGAUUAUGGUGUGUUUAAUCUUCUUUCAUUAAUUAUUACAUAUUUUCUAUACUCACAAUGUUCAUCAGCUUGCUAUAUAAUCAACUUAAAUCAGUUAAACCCAUCAUGCAAUGCAUUUCCUUCCAAUUUUUUGUGACUAAUAGAUAAUUGACUAAAUAAACAUCCUCCAAAGUUUCAAUAAAAUUUUCCAAGUUUUUCUUAUAAUUUACGUCGUUUUUAUUCAAUUUUCAUCGAUAUCAAUAAUAUUCAGAUAUUUCCAUCGAAUUUUCGUGUAUUUGGACUACCGAUAUUUUCGAUACCAUCGAUAUUUUAGACCUUGGGUAUAAUAUAUAUAUAUGAUAAAGAUGGACUCAUUAGAAUUCCAAGUCAUCCAACAUCGGUGGAUUAUGUUCAAUCAAAACUAGAAACUCCGAAAGCCACGAUGUCACACCAUAUGUGAAGCCAAGUCUUCAGAGGUCUAAGCCCAACCCGUGGAAGUAGGCCCAAAACCUCCUGAUGUUUUUAUGCACGUGACGAGAUCCAUCCAAGGAAAGCAGUUGAAGAAAUUGAUGUCAAUCCGGAACAUUCAUAAUGAGGAGAGAAUCAAGUGAUUAGAUUUGCAAUUCGAUAAUCUCAUUCGAAUUAAUUCCGCGGAUUUUGGAAGCUACGAAAAGAAAAUUUUUGAACGAAGUUGACCUUUUGUCAUUUGAUGGCCAACCCAUGGACUGACAGAUGCCCCUAUAUAUACCUCUUUAGAUGAAGAGCAAAGGAGACCGACAUGAGAUACAAAAACCUACUUUUUGUUUUUCACUUUUCUAUCCCUGGACUAGGUUUUUAUUUUCCAAGCAAGUAGACUAGAUUAGUUCUUCGAUUUCGUUAGUGUAAGUUUAAUUUCUUGCAUUUUCCAUUACGUUAUUUUAAGAUCCAAAUUUGUUGCUUUACUUUUAAUUGUUAUCGAUUUUUUUUUAAGUUUAAUAUAAUUUCAAAUUGCUUUAUUUUAUCAUAUUUAUCGUUCAUAUCGUUCAUAUAGUUCUUGUUUCAUUCUUACUUAAAUUUACGUUUAUUGUUGCUUCAAUCUUAUUUUUGCAUUUAUUUUCUUGUUAUUUAGUGGCUUGGUGGCUUGGUUUGCCUCAUACUAUGUAGAAGUGCAUGUACAAUUCGAUUUGAAGGGUGCAAAUUCAAGUGCAAAGAAGACACCAACGGGCACGGGUAGAGGUGGUUCAUCUGCCACAGCUGAGAAAAAAGGCGGCCAAGGUUCGGGGCUGAUGGAAAGAGAAAGAGAAGAAGAGGGAGAUGAAAGAAGAGACGUUGCCUUUCCUUCUUCCUGUAUUUGGCACGUUUUUUAAGAAAAUGUAAAUAGAUUUUUCCUCCACACAAACAUUUUUGGUAGGUCACUUGGUGAGGAACGGUAGGAUCUUCGGUUGUAGUGUUGGCUUACAGGGUUAUACUGGUGAUACUAUUGAAUUCAACUCCAAGAUUUAUCUUUUGCCUUUAGUAGCAUUUUAUUUUCAUCAAUGCACUAGAUAAUGGUUUUAGUAGAUUAACUUGUGUUUACGGUGGUUUGAUAUAGUGUGUCAGGUGACAAUUCUCACUGAGUAAUCUGAGAACCAGAGCUUCUACAAAAUCACUAACCAGUUCAUAAAAUAUGUUUGUCUUUUUCUAAUCUCACCAUGAGAAAUAUUAAUUAAUUUGCCUUAACAAAAAUAAUACAAAGUAUUGGUUUGUAUUAAACUUUGUUGGUUAAUACUUUUUUUAAUAAAAAAUUUGCUGCUGGUUAAUCUCUGGUUAAGCUUAAUAUUUAGGAGGGGUGUGUUUUCUCACACACAAAUGUCAAAGUGCCAUAAGGAUUUGAACAGAAGACUAUUAGUCUGCAAAGCAAGGUACUUUUUCACUAGUGUCCGAAUCAAAUCAUGCUUGAAGAAUACUAAUAGGGGAUUUUUCUUUCAGCUGAUAAAAGUAAAACAUCAAAGCUCAUCAUGGUGAUCGAAAACCAGAUGCAUCCAAAUUGCAAGGCAUGCCUUUCUCUUUGUGGUAGUAUAAUGAGCAUCCCUCUCAUACCCUCCAUAAUAAUCCUAAGCAUUAAUGUUGUAAAUUAGAUAAAUCCAUACAUACAUAAAACGAGCAUAAUAAGUAAUAGUAGCUAGUGGGAAUUAUAUCCCAACAAUUCAACAAGAACGAACAAAGUAGUAAUAUUCUCACUCUCAUAGCAAUACUACAAAUAGUAGGACAAAACAAUAUUGGUAAACACACGAGUGGUCCAUAUAGUUCUCCAGAAAUCCCUAAAAUAGAUCUUGCAUCUAGGUAUGCAACACCAUAUGAAGGGCCCAUACCAUAUGUGAUUAUGAACCUUUAUUUAACUACAUAUAGAUAUAGUAGUACAACAAAUAUUACUGUCCGUCUGGGAAACGGAAACCGUCAAUAUGCUACUGAUAAUAUGUCGAUAUAAUUGUCGCCAAUAAAACGUACUGACAUGUUAUCGAUACAUUUUCAGUAAUAUCGAUGCACAUAUAUUAUUUCAACAAUAUGCACAACCUUUAUUUAAUAAAGAACUGAUGGCUUGCAUAGAGAACUUCUGAGAUAUUCAUCAGAGACGUAUAUGUAAACACCAUUUUUAUUAAGGGGUGGUGGUUAUUGAAGGUGGAGAGAACGGAAAUAUGGGAGUUGAUGGGAAAUUUGGAAGUGAAGUAAUAAUAGGGGGAGGCAACCUAUAUUCUGGCCAUAAAGGUGUGGAGGUCAGAGGAGGAAACUUCAGGUUAGGGAUCUUGGGCAGCUUAUAACGAGGAAAGGUAGGGGCUAAGAGUUUUCGAGGGGCAGCGAAAGCUGAAUGUGUGCUUGAAAGUAAUGAAGCGAUGACAAAGAUAGCUAUGACAAACGAUUUCCAAGUUGCCAUCUUAGUGUGUGGAAAUAAAGCUUAUGAAAUUUGAUGUGAACGAGAAGACCAGCCUAUGGUUAUAAUUUAUAACGUUCAGAGGGAAC